UCAAACAAAAUGUGCGCGACAAAAAAAUAAAACAUAAAAAAUCCAAAACAAUUAGGCAUUAAAAGCCAUUACAUUCAUUCUUCCUCGUCACACAAGUCAAUCGGGUUGCCCGCUACAGUCCCUGGGGCACCUUGUUUUGGUUGAGGACCAAAAUAGCAUGUCCUCCCGCUCCUCCUCAACCUCGACUGAUUGUACACCGACACCUUCGAACCCUUUUUUUUUUUUUUUUUUUUCGGAACCAUCACAAACAAUUUCGUGCCAUGUCAUAGGCAAUUUUUCUUUGUUCUUCUCAUCACCCUGAACGUUACCCUGAUUCUGAUUCUAAGACAUAUAUACAUUAAAAAAAAAAUGGCGAUCAAAACCUAAACUAAACAACAAUGCCAUAAAAUCGUAAAAUAAAAAACUAAACCUAACCCUAAACCCUAAACAAUUCUAACAAUUCUACAACGAUUCAUCAAAACCUAAACCUAACAAUUCAAUAAAAGUUCUCUAACAAUUCUAACCUAAACUAUCCUAACAUAUCAUAAAAUCAUAAAAUCAAUAAAAUCUAUAUAAUCGAACCUAUAUAAUCGAAAUUUAACAAAAAAAAUAAAAACAAUUCGACCAAAAAACAACAAUUCAAUAGGGCUCAAAAAACUUACUUGUUUUUGUGAUUGAAAUUGGCUUGGAAUGACUUGAAAUUGCUCAAAAUCGCACCCAGGAGAAUAAAAAACGCAACAAUGAAGUUUUGAAAACUCAUAUGUCUGUUCUGUUCUUAUAACAAAUUUUCGAUAGUUAACUGUCAAUUUCUUCGGUAGUUAACUGCAGCUGAUUUUUGCAUUCUUCGACAGUUAACUGCCGAGGAGGCAAAAACAUAUUUUACUUGUGCCUCAUCCUUAUGAAAUGUGUCAUAGGCAAUUUUCAAAGAAAAUAGGGUUUGUGUAACCGGAUAGAUGUGGAGUAAAGAUAAAGAUUAAAGAAGGGAUGAGGGACACGUAAGUCUUAUUUCCUUCAUUAUUACAAUACAACCCCCGUCUCUCUCCGUUUUCCAUGUUUCUAGUUGUUUUGCCCUAAUCACCAACCACAGAUCUGUUCCCUCCAUUUUCAGUAAGCCACUCUCUCUUUCUCUUUUUCCUUCAAUUCUCGUUAUUCGAAUUCAUUCGCGUUCGUUUAAUUUCUACUAUCAUCAUAUUCCAAACCCUAACUCCUUUUCAUUCUAAUUAUUGUGUAAAUCUAUUAUUGUAUCUGAUAGUGUAAAUCUGAUUUUAAAACUUGUAUGUACUGACAGUGUUUGAUAAUUGAGCUAGAAUUUGUAGUUCCAAUUGAAAAUAUUGCUAUUUAUUGUUUUGCUGAAUUUACUAAACUUGUUUUUUGAAUAAAUGGAUUUCUGAUGUUAUUUUUGACAAGAGAGGAUCCAAAUCUAACUUUGUAUUGAUAAAAACCUAAUUGAUUUGAUUUAUAUACUUGUUACUUGAAUUUGAAUUGAAUCUGCUUCUUAUGAAUGUGAUAUCUGCUUAUGUAUGAUAGUACCGUUUAACAGUUAAUAGUACCGAUUAUUAUAAGCUUCCGCACAUUUAGUUGAUGUCUAAUGUCUAUGUUUUUGUUUGAUUACGCCACGUUCCCCAUCCAAUUAUUUAGUCGGUUGGAAAUAGUUGGGUUGAGUUGAUUCGAGGGUUUCAUAUGGAGGAUAGUCUGAUUGCAAGAGGUAGAGGAAGACCUAAAAAAACUAUAAGAGAAACUAUUAGGAAAGAUUUUGAGAUUAAUGAGUUGGAUUCAAAUAUGGUUUAUGAUAAAAUAUUAUGGUGUAAUUUUAUCCAUAUAACCAACCCCACUUAGUGGAUAAGGCUUGGUUGAUGUUGUUGUUGUUUAGUUGGUCAGAGGGUUAGACUAUCUAACUUAGAUGGAAGUGAAGUGGAGUGAAUUAGGUUGAGUUGGUAGGGUCUGUUUUGGAGAUUGGAGGGGAGGGAAUGUGAGGGCUUGGAAAAAAGGAAGGAGGAAGUGGAAAGAAUAGAAGACUUUGGGAUGGUAGGGUUUGGAAGGUUUCAUUUUUCUUCAUAAUACAAAAUCCUUCUAAUUUGGGGGAACUCAAAAAAUGUAUUGGAGGAGGAUUUAGAUUAAUUUUCAAACUCAAUUUAUGUUGUUAUAACACUCUUAGGAAAUGAUAAAUGAAAUCUUAUAAUUAAUAUAUUUUUAAGAGUGUUAUAACAUAGAUUGGAUUUGAAGAAUUUAUCUAAACCCUCCGAAGUCCCCCUCCAAUACAUUGUUUUAGUUCUUACCAAUUAGGGAGAUUUUGUAUUAUGAAGGAAAAUGAAAUUUCCGAAUCCUCUCCUCCCAAAGUCCUCUAUUCCUUCCACCUCAUCCUUCCUUUUUUCCCAAGGCCUCCCCUACUAAACUCCCAAACAGACCCUUAGGGUAGGGAGGUUGCAUUGCAGACCCUUGAAGUUCUGUAGAUAUGUAAUCAACGGAUUUCCCCUAUUCUUGCUAAUAUAUUUUCUGGUUUGUAUGAACUGGUGUCAGAGCUCCGGUCUUGGAGUCAUGGGUUAUAUUGGUUUUGAAAAUGUUUCCAGCAUUUGAUGGAAAAGAAGGUAACGUGUCUCUUCAAUGUAGAUAAGUAUUUUUGGGGUCGUUUAAGUAAUGAGGAAGGGGAAGCUAUCAUGAAUUGCGAUGGCAUUGAGAGGUGGAACUCUCAAACGGUUGUUUUUUGAGAAAUGGAGCAACCUUGUGGACAUUUGACAAGUCAGUGUUCAAGCAGUUCCAGCAAAAGUUUGAUCCAGAGACAUUCCAAUUUGGGUCAAGAUGAGGAAGCAAAAACUACAGUAGAACUAGUAUAUCAUUGAGAUCUCAGAACCAAAGCAAAGAAUAAAAAACAAGAAAGCCAGAAAUAGAUACAUAUAAGAAACAAGGAUCAAGGGAACUAAAAAUUAUUGGAAGGUGGAGCCUAUUGGUAGGGGGAAAGCCAACAAAAGCAGCAGUCAAAGAAGCAAGAUCAGGGGGAAAGAUGGAACUGUGAACAUAGAGGAGGAACAAAGGGGGAGAAGUAAGAAAAGUGAAGGAACCAAACCUGACCGUAGAAGUGGUGCAAGUAGAGCUUCAUCAUACACGGACAAAAAGAAGUCAUAAAAAUGUCAGUGACUUAAGAGGAAUGUCAACGGACGUAGCAAGAGAAGUGGGUUUCAGCAGCACAGUGCCUUGGAGUGACAGGACGUUGCAGGCCAAACGGCCCAUUUCCGUCACUCAAAUCACCAUACUCAUCCUCGUCUGUGGAUGGGAAAGCAGCAAGCAAGCAAACUGUGCAUGGGUGUGGUUUUUGCAACUCCAGUGAUUGAUGCCAGACUGGAGAGGUGUGCCAUCCCGCAAUUCCAAAUCUUUGGGGUGACAUCAAGGAUCAAACACAGCGUGGCCAAGCUUCCAUGGCUGAAAUGUUGGACUGAGCCCUUUGCAAGGUGGACGGUGAAAAACUUGAGGAACUAAGCGAAGACUGUUUUAGCAAAAAGCAUGUUUGUGAAGGAUUACAAAUGCUAACAUAAUUUAAAUCACUACAGCUGAAUCAAUUUUUGACAUAAUGGGUAUUUCAGACCAGUCCCAAGGUAUUGGAAAGAAGAAGUAGGACUUUAUAAAAUAUGGACUGGUGCAACUGCAGCAGCUUGAAAUAGGAGUAAAACAAUAGUACAGUUAGGUGCUUCUUUGACCCGUUGAACCAACCAAGCCCAACUCAUCGAAGUAAAUUUGAAUGAUAUAGCCUAAAAAUAAAGACUUGUCUUUGAGGAGGGAAGGAUAAGCCAAUCCAAAAUCAACAGACGAUAAGGAUGUGGGCAGGGAAAAUAGUCAUCCGAUUUCAUUGCUAAGAGAGUCCAGCCAAUUUAGUUGUUACUCAAUUAUUCAGUUAGUUGGUAAUAAUUAGGUUUAGUUAGAUGGUUAUAGGCUGUGAUGUAUCUUAUCAAGAGGGAAGCUUGCUAGUCAUUUGAGUGAAUUGGAGCCUUUGGGAAGACUGUAUGACCAUGAAUUUAGACUAUACUAAUAUACAUUUCCAAAUAAAAUGGUAGUAUUUACAACUGAACUAUUCAUUUUUUUAUUGAACACAUUUCUUAUAUCUGCAACAUUUGUUCCAUAAUCUUAUACAUACCUUUUUCAUUGGAAAUUCAUAACAACUUAACGAAGAUUUGAAUUCGUCUACCUGUGUCUUUUGAAGUCUUCUUUCAUGUAUUUAUUAGAAUUAGAAUAUGAUAGGUAUAGCAAACUGUAGUUCUAGCAUUUUCAUUGGAAAUUCAUAACCAACUUAACGAAGAUGUGAAUUCGUAUGCCUGUGUCUUUUAAAGUCUUUCAUGUAUUUAUUAGAAUUAGAAUAUGAGAGGUAUAGCAAAAUGUAGUGCUAGCAGUUUGAAAGGUUGGUAUUAAAAGUUCAUUUUAUUAACACCAUGGACCUUUGCAGGUUUAUCACAUCUUAGCUUACAGCCUUACAGACGGUAGGUACGCUUAAUACUCAUCAUGGAGCUAAGUUCUGUUAAAGAUGCCUUUGACCGAGUUACAAAGAAGCAAAAGUUAUCCAGUUCUAAGGCUCAAGAGAUGAUUGAUCAGAUUAGUCAUGAAAUUGAGACUGUUAUAGAAUCACUGCAGUCAGUCAAUAACACUGUCCAAGUGCUUGAUUCUAAAACUGUCCUGAAUGAGCUGAAGGCCAGUUUACUUAAAAUUUCCCCAAUUGGCCAAAUGGAAAGUACACAGAAGGAGCUAAAUGUAGCACUCAGCAAGUAUGGGAAGCAUCUUGAGAAAAGUUUCCCUGAUAUAUCAAAAGCUUACAGAAACACCAACUUUGAUAUACACACUUUAAAUCAAAUAAUUGCCAACCAUUUUUAUCGCCAGGGCCUUUUCGAUGUAGGGGACCAUUUUCUUAGUGCAGUCGGUGAGCCUGAAUCUGCUGCAAGUAUGAAAUCUCCAUUCUUGGAGAUGUAUCAAAUACUCGAAGCCAUGCAGAAUCAGAACCUGGAGCCAGCCCUCAACUGGGCUGCGACUAAUUCUGACAAACUCGCUCAAAGUGGAUCUGACAUUGUGUUGAAGCUUCACUCAAUGCAAUUUGUGAAAUUACUUCAAAAUGGUGGAAGUAGAGAUGAAGCCCUUCAUUAUGCAAGAACUUACCUUUCUCCUUUUGCUACCAGUCAUAUCGCUGAAGUCCAGAAGCUUAUGGCUUGUCUUCUGUGGCCUGGGAAGAUUGAAAAGUCUCCAUACCAUGCAUUGCUUUCCCCGUCUAACUGGGAUAGGUUGGCCGAGGAACUUAAAAGGCAGUUCUGCAAUCUUUUGGGACAGUCAUACAACAGUCCGUUGAGUGUGACGGUAGCAGCAGGGAUUCAGGUUUUGCCAGCUCUCCUCAAAUUUAUGAUUGUCAUGAAGCAGGAAUGGCAGUCUAUGAGCCAGUUACCGGUGCCAAUUGAGAUGGACAGCGAAUUCCAGUUCCAUUCUGUUUUUGUUUGUCCUGUCUCAAAGGAACAAGCAACUGAGGAGAACCCUCCAAUGUUGAUGUCCUGUGGCCAUGUCCUCUGUAAGCAGUCUAUCUUGAAAAUGUCCAAGAAUAGCACAAAAGUAUUUAAGUGCCCGUAUUGUCCCUUUGAUAUUGAUGCAGCACAGUGCAAGCAACUAUAUUUGUGAUUUUCUUGUAUUUGUAUCAAACUUUCUUGUAUCAUCUGAAUUACGUGUUAGUAUAGGUGUACCUUUGUAUGGUUGAUUGCAGAAGCCAAUGGUUAGUUGUGAUGUCUGUAUGUUUUACAUACUUGUAAAUAUAUUCUUUUUAGUUUUGUUAUGACUUGUUUCCGUUAUUAAUUACAAGCAUUCGCAUUCACUUUUCAUGCAUUUUUCUAGCCAGAUUAGUAGGAAUAGGGUUAAUUAAGUUUUUGGUCCCUAUAAAUAUCUGCAGUUUUGUUUUUAGUUCCUAUAAAAAUAAUUUACACUUUUUAGUCCCUAUAAAAUUUUCUAUUAGUGUUUUUAGUCCCUGUUAAAUUAAAAUUUGUUUAAUUAUGCUUAAACUUCUAAAUUUUUGAAAGAUUUUUUACAUACAUGUUCAUUACAUUGUAAGACACUCUUUUGUAAAUUUUUUUACUCUUUUGUAAAUUUUUUUAGUUUUUUACAUGUAAUGAAUUAAAUAUGAAUUUUUCUAAAAGUCAAAUUUUCAAGAUUAUAUUAAUGAAAAUUUGGAUCUAAUAAUAAAAUUUUAAGUUACUUUUUUGCGGAGGAACUUUGUAUAAUAUUCUAAGUAAGUAUGUGAAAAAUAUGUUACAAAUUUAAAAGUUUAAGCACAAUUAAGCAAAUUUUAAUUUUACAAGGACUAAAAGUAUGCGUUGGUCCCUGUUAAAUUGAAAUUUGUUUAAUUAUACUUAAACUUUUAUAUUUUUAAAUGAUUUUUAACAUAAAUGUUAAGAACAUUAUAACAAUCUCUUUUAUAAAAAAUUAGAAUUUUUUAACAUGUAAUGAAUUAAAUAUAAUUUUUUUAAAACGCCAAAAAUUCAAGAUAAAACUAACGAAAAUUUGGACUUAAAAAUUAAAUUUUGAGCUAAUUUAUUAUGGCGGAACCUUUUAUAAUGUUUUAAACAAGUAUGUAAAAAAUCAUUAAAAAAUUUAAAAUUUUAAGCAUAAUUAAACAAAUUUUAAUUUAACAGGGACUAAAAACACUAACGGAAAAUUUUGUAGGGACUAAAAAGUGUGAUUUAUUUUUAUAGGGACUAAAAAUAAAACUGCAGAUAUUUAUAGGGACCAAAAACUUAAUUAAUCCGUAGGAAUAUAACCACUAUUUUAUGUUUAUACAUGUUCAUAUUUACCACUUUCUGGAAGAGAAACAGAUGCUCAUGUCACGUUGUGAUCCUCUUAAAAGGAUAAGUGCUUGUUUAUGCAGCAACAGAAGUUGAGUUGAGAAUUUAAAUGAGCUAAAUGAAUUGAACAAUAAUUUUUAAAUAAAAAUCAAGUUUAGAGGUAAAAGUUUUAAAUUUUAAUUUAGAAGUUAAAAGAGCAAUGUUCAUGUUUGAGAACAUUGAUGCAUGUCAAAAUCAAAUUACAUUUCUAACAUUUCUCAAGAGCAAUGCUAUAUAAAGCAAAUAUUGGUAUAACAAACUAAUCACAAAUCGCUUUUGAUUGUUGAAUCUCCCAUUAGCUUGCGUUGCAGUUACAGUUACAAUUCAACAAUCGUGAAAUUUCUGUGAUAGAUUUUUUCGUGAAAUAGUAUUUUCUUUUUCAAAAGCAUCCACACUUCUCAUUCCUCAACAUUUUCACCAAAAACAUGUCAUUCAUGAGAAUCCACGAUAUUUCUUAAAAACAUGGGUUUGACAUUUGUUUUUGUAUAUUACAAUGACUAAAUCACAACAACCAAUCAUAAGACCACAUUUGAAUGUGAUGUCCGAAAAUUGUUUAGGAUAAAUGCAGACAUCAUAUAGGAAAUUAGGAUGAAUAUUAGCCUUUUAAAUUGCAGACCAUAUGUCUCGUAAGGACAACUCAUAUCGUAAAAAACUGCAUAUAGACAUUUGAUAUGUUGGAUUGUAGUUUGUGUUUGAAUCCGUAAUUUUCCACUCUCCGCAUUUAGUACGUGGAAAUUUCACCGUAAGCUCACUAGAACAAGAAAAAAUUGCAGAACAAAUUUUAUAACUGUAUGAAGUAAAAGAAGAUAGAUGCACAAGGACUAUAUAGUGCAAAAGUAAAAUGAUAAUGGAGAUUUUGAGUGCGUGACAAGAAAGUAAAGGAAGAUUAUCCAUAAUUUCAUCAAUUAUCCAGGAUUAGAUUUUGGCUUGGAAUAAAAAAGUUGGUAUACAGAUGAAAUUUUUCUACCUUUACAUGCUCAACAAAUGCUUUAAAUAGAAACACUUGUUGUAAAUUAUUGUAUAGAAUAAUAUUGUUUGUUCAUUUGUGGACACUAAUGCAAAAAUCACUUUUUAACUCAGGGAUAUUAAAUAGGUUGCUAUCCACCUGAUUUAAAAUCUCACACAGGUGAUAAGGCUUUAACUAAGAAAUUUUUAAAAUUGGACCACCUGACUUAAAAAAGGUUUUUAAUAAAUUAAAAACUAUUAAUAUAAAAUGCAUUAAUCUGUCCAAAAAUAAAAAACACUAAACUCUAUCUUCCAUCUCAAAACGCAUCAACGCGACAUUUCUACUCUUCACUGUUCGAAAACCUUCUCUGCCGUCGCCGCCACACCGAGCCUUGCCGCGACCACCACCUAGAACCUCCCUGCUUCAACCUUCUUUGGUUUUUCUAUUCUCAUUUCCACGCAAUUUGUAGAUGUCAAAUCUAGGGUUUGCGAUUCGAAGCAGAAGAAUCGCUAUCUCGCAGAUCUACACGAAGUUGUCACCAUUAGUGAGUAAAUUUCCUCUUCCUCGUCUUAUUUGAUUUUGUGAAUUUGAUUAGGAUUUGCUUCUAGCGAUUCUAGCGUUCUGUGACCUGUGUUGUGGAUUUUGAGAUUUUGGCAACAUGCAAUUCAUGGCUUCAGAAAGAGAAUGUCAUUAAAUUCACAUUAUAGACUCUCGUUUACAUUCACUUAUUUGAUUUGUUGCUGGUUGAACACAAAUUGUUUGAUAAAUGUUCUUUUAAGUGAUUAUUUGAUAAAUUUACUUUAGUGUUAUUUUAUAUGAACUAGGUAAGGGAAUGACUUCAAGAUGGAAUUCUUAGCUCAUGACAAAUCAACUAGUACUAGAGAUGUUUGAAAGAAUUUUGAGUGUGGAGAUUCGAUUAAUGCAUGAAAUGAUUUGAAUGUGUUUGUACAGAUUUAGACUUUUAGUAAUAAAAUACAGCAGGAUGUUCUUUUUAUUACAUCACAGCAGGUUAUUUUAAUACAUGAAACAAUGAGUGUCAUUUUGUUUAAAAGAGUAGUUAAUCUUGAUGGAAAACAGGUUACAAAAAGUUAAGUAAAUUUUGUUACUCGCAAAGUUACAAUGUGUUAGUCAUGUUUGGUAAAUUUGAGAAGUUUUUCAUUCAUGUUGAUUUUCAUGAUUUUUCCUCAGGAAAGUUGCCACUAUAAUGCUCAAUCUACGAAUUAUCCUUUCUUAUAUGCAUUGUUGAUUUUUAUUAAUGGUUCCGUUUUUAUUUGUGACUCUUUCAUAACUUGUAGGCAUUUGUUGUUAUGUUUUUAUGGAAUAUUUGGCAAUUGGCAUUGGCUUCAUUCUCACAAGGAGAUAAAAGAAAUUAAGAUUUGAAGGUAAUAACUAUCUUUCUUGAUUGUUUUCGAGUCUUCUAAUAUUGGAUGUUCUUACAGGCACAUUGUUCAUUCUCUAAAGUCAUUAUACUUUUUUGUCUUCAUCACCAUGAUACUGAAGAGGGUUGUUGAUCAUUUAGCAUGCCGUUGUGUGGUCAAUUUGGUAGGAGUGGAGUGGUUUUAUUUUUAAUAAUAAAGUGGUGCAUUGAAGAGGUUGUGGAUAAUGUAAAGGCCAUGUCGUGGUGGUAUCUAGGAAGAACCGCUGAAAAUCCUUGUAUGCUAUAUGAGCGGAUUUGGGAGUUGAUAGGUUUCUUUGAUAUGUAAAUUUGGUUGACAAUAUCGUGAGGUAAGAACUAGUUUUCUGCUGUUAGGCUGAGUCUGUUUAUGUUGUGUGGUUUUGUGGUGGCUGUCCUGUUUUAGCCCUGGUGCUUUUCACAUGCUUUCGACUAGCUUUUUUGCUACUGCUCCCUGUUGCUGUUUUACUAAUUAGCUUUGGUUAUUGUUUGGCUUUUAAGUUGUUUGAGGUGUAUGUGGGUUUGUUUCUUUGUAGUGUAUUUUUGGGUUAUACUCUUGACAGUUUUGAUGUUAUCUUAUCUGAUAGUGCCACAAGAGAAGCUCUGAUAGAUGGAGGGUGCCUGAAAACUCAACCUGGUAAUGAUGCAUCUUAUUUCAAUUAUCAAAUUUUUUUGUCUUAUUUUCCUAGUUCAAUUUUAAAUUUUUAAAGUGAAUGGAUGCAUAAUGAUGAGGUUGGUGGAUGCAUCAGCAACCUAACUUCUAGAGCCUUACCAUAUUCAUAUUUGUGCUAGUUGUCUUUGUUCAAUUCUAUGAAUUUCCAUAUUUUUUUUUUCUCUCUAUAUUUGUUCCCUCUAAACUACCUUAGUUGGUGCAGGCUGCUUGACCCACAUCAUAUAAAUAUAAGAAGGCAUAUGCACAGGUGAAGGAAGUUUAUUUAGGUUGCUAAUUUAGUUUUGUUGUUGAAUUUUAUGCUUGAAUAAUUUGUCAUGCUUUCUGAUUUACAUCAAUGUGCCAUGGUGUUUUAGCAUGUUGUAUUCAAUGUUCAGCCCAUUUGUGACUUUGUAUUCAAAAUGGCUUCGAGCUUAUGAAAGUCCUUAACCACUUUGUGAUUUUGUCUUUAAUUAGCUUUGUUAUUUUGUUUGCAAUUGAAGUUUAAGUUGGCUCUAAUUCCUUAAUUUUUCUAGUUUGAUCUUGUAUGUAUCCAAAAUAAUUCUUCACCUACUCAAUUUUCCAUUUAAUUAUGCUUGUGUGUUGAAUUUAGUUUGUUAUCUCUUUUAUCCAGAUUUAUAAGGCCAGAAAAUAUUCCCGUUGAACAUGGAGGAUUGAUUCAACCCAAAGACUUUAAGAAUGGUCCCCCUCAACCAUGUUUUAAGUUAUAAUUGUUGAAGCCUGAAGGAGGAGAAAAAGCUAACAUACAAAUAGAAGGAAUUGAGGUUUCAAGUAUAACUUUAGUGUUUUAAGUAUAAUUUUGUAACUUUGUCAUUCUAAUUUAUGCUUCUAGGUAUAACUAUAUAUAAUUUUGUAAAUUUAUACUUUUCAGUGUAUAGCGUAUUAACUCUAAUAUUGUGGUAUGAUUUAGUGUGUGUAAUUAUAAUAUUGUAAUUGUAUGUUAUUAAUAGAUGAUUUUCGAUCAAAGGAUUCUGCAAGUUCAUUUAGCUUAUUUAUAUUCAUGUAUAAUGUGAGAUUUUUGAAGUAAAAAAAAAAAAAAAAAAAAGUAGAUUUUAAGUCAGGUAGACCUAUGUAAAAUGUUAAUUUAAUAAAAAAAGAAGUAGAAUUUAAGUCGGGUAAACCUAUUUAAAAUGUGUGAUUUUAAAUCGGAUUCAGGACAGACUUAAAAGCGAAUCACUUUUUAAAUCGGCCACCUAUAAAUCGGAUCCAGAACCGACUUAAAAAGUUAUUUUCACCUGAUUUAAAAAGUGUUUUCUGUACUAGUGGGAACUAUAAAUAUAGAUUAAGUAAGAGUUGAUAUAUUUGGUAAGAACUGAAAUUCAAAGUGUCUAAUUAUCAUGGUAAUAAUGACUAAUAAGAUAAAUUCCCAUCUCUUCAACAUUAACCAAAACAUUAUUCAACCAACUUCACCAACAUGUGGAUGGAUGGUCUAAGUAGUAUAUGACUCGGACUCUUUUAGGCAAUUGGUUAUAUAUGAUUCGAUCUUCUGACUCUUUCGUAUGAAAAAAAACUCGAUUGAUAGAUGAGAAUUCAUUUUGCAUGCUCAAUAAAUUCUAUAGUGAAGAUUAGUGAUUAGAGUCCACUUUAUCUACUCAACAGAUUCUUUAUUAAAAAUUAGUCAUGAUUAAAAGACGAUGAAUACUUUGAUCCCUAUGUUACGGUGAUAAAAAACAUUCAUCUUUUUAAACUUUGUUAUUCUAUUAUUGACCAUUUGGUUCAUAUAUGCUUUAUAAGUCAUCGGGGAUCCAAGAAAUGCACAUAAAUUCAACAACAUUAUUUAGUUGCUGACUGAAAAAGCAAAGUGAAUGCCCUAUUGUCAUUGAUGAUUUGAAACACACCGUCUUAAGAUUUGUUUGUAUUACAUUACCUUUUCUUCACAAACACUUGACAUGUGACACCAUGAAACUCGAAUACAAAUAGAGCAUUUUCCAACAAAAGAUAAGGUACAUGAAUCUCAUCAUACAAGUACACACACUAUGAAAGUAAAACUUUAUUACAAAAAAAUGUGCAUAAUGAAAAGAUGGUAGAGCACAUUCACGCGUUUUAUCCUUAAAUUGUCUACCAUUUUUAAUUUGCAAGAAAAAUAUGAACACUUUGUCAUUAGUGGGGCACACUAAUUCACUUUCUCAUUCAUCAUAAUUUUAGUUGCUUGUCACUACUUUUGAUUAAUUCUUUGAAGUUAUUGUUAGGCAUCAUAGUAGCAAAACCCCACCAUCUAGUGCGUUACACAUAGAUAGCACCAAGUAAACUCUAGAGGAUAAGAUUUUCAACCGGUUAUAGUGUACAUGCUGACCUGGUGCUCUUUUUGUUAUGUGACUUUAUAAGUAAUUUUUGAAUGAAGUAUUUGUAUAAAAUAUUGUAAAGUGGUUAAUGUUUGUAUAAUUGAAAAAGGAAAAAAAAGUUGAUCAAUUAAUUUUUGAGAGUGUAGAAAAUCUCAGAACUUCUCACAUUACCUUAGUUUUUUUUAGUAAAAAGGAGAAUUAAAUUAAAAAAAAGAAAAGAAAGAGAUACAGAGACUGAGGAUAUUAGACCUGACAAGGUACAACCCACAAUCCAAACGGAAAUACAUCAAUAUAAAUAAGACCUAGUGAUCAACCCUAAUUUAUCACAACAAAAAUUCACUAAUUACAUACACAACUAAGCAAAUCCGCGUACGGGGCCCGAAACCAAGUUAAAAAAUAAUAUGAAAAAUGAACCUUUGCAAAGAACAAUUACAAUUUAAGUUCAACGAAUAAAUCGACCACCAACGUGGUAUCAAAAUUAAAGUACCAACAACUCUCUAAACAAAACAGCAAACAUAAAACUCUUUCGAGCAUGAAGUACCAGCGUGCAAACCAACAAGGCAACUUAUCACAUUCCCUAAGUUACAUUGGUGCACUCAAAUUUUAUGUCAGCGAAAAAAUCUAAAAAUGUAAGCUUAUGCUAUGUAGAAUUGAACAUUUGAACUUAGGUUGAAUUGAAGAUGAAAUUUGUACCAAAAAACAAUUAUUGAAGAUGAAAUUACCAAAUAUGACUAAUUUGUGUUCAAACCAAAUUUGACCAAGCUAAAGUAUAGAGUGUGUGAUUGUGAAAACAACACAUAGGCCUAACUUAAACUUCACCAAAAUCUCAAAUACAUAGGAUUUAGAUAGGAUUGGAAUUUAAAGCAAAACCCCACCUUAAAAUUUUAAAUCAGUUCCAAAUUCAAACACCAAUGCAAUGUAUGUAAAGCCAAAAAGUUCUUAAUUACUUGGUACCAUCCAUUAUCUAAAUUAUCAGAAAUGUGACCCACCAAUUUUGCUCUCAACCCUCCGGACACAAGUACACUACCAGAGAAUUAACAGCACAUUCAAACAUACUAAACUGUUGAUGACUUAAACAGGAAUAUAAUUUUUAACAUUUUCCUUGAUGAGACCCAACAACAGCUUCAAUUAUACAUACAUAUUUGAAAGAGAAACUAAAGGACAAAAAUUACAACUCCAAUAAUUGUAUUUCUAAAAUUCUUCUUAUACCUAAAAUCUCACUUGGCAAUCACAAUCUAUUUCUUUUCUAUUCACAAAAGGGCCAACCCGGUUGGUACUUCUUGUCACUAUUAUGAGUCAUGGGCCAAUUCCAUUUAUGCUUUUGCCAUUUUUUUUAAUUAUUACAAAAAUUUUAUUAACAUAUUUUCACCGACAAUAACCUAAAGAAAACAUUAUGACAAUAAGAAAAAAAUACAUUUAGAAUCUGGCAUCUUCAAAGCCAUGUAAAUCACUGACUUUAUUCAUAGACUUUCUCAUGAUAGCCACUUUAGCCAGUUUCUCAGCUGCUUUCCAAGCCGAUAUCGGCGUAAGCGGCUCCAUCUUUUCCUCCAAACUAUUUCUUCUGAGCUUAUGGCUCCUCAACUUAGGUUGUCCGCGAAGCCGUGACUCGGUUUCUUCGGCUUCAAGCCUUCGCAACCAUUCAUGAGCCGCAUCGGGACUUGAAUGUUUAAUUGAAGCUCGAGCAUUGAUGUGUAAACGUAUCAAUUGUUUGAUCUUAGGGUCUAACAAUUUAAUGGAGACAGGGCGUGGAACAAUAAUCGAACGCUCCUUCGAAUGGACAACCUCUUUAGUAAACGAGUCACAAUAAGAGGACCGUACUGAAAGAGCGUGGGUAUGGAACCCAUGUGAUGAAGGUACUUUUAACUCAACAAGCAACUCUCUCUCCUCCGCCGCGUGAAGAUCUCCCAUUGUGGCAAAUCCUGGCAAGAGUUUAGCGGUGAAACUUGACUCUGACCCGUUUUGGAAUUCAAAUUUGAUGUCUUGAGCAACCACGCGCAACAAAUUACCGAUGCAUUCUGAAAACGCGCCGUCAUGAAGCGCGUGUGAGUAGUUGAGUGCGUGGACUGGAAUUUCCAAAUUAGGCAAGCGCGUGGAAGAUAAUCUCCUAUCUUCAUGACCAUUUCCAUUUGUAAGAAGUAUAAUUUUGGCAACAGGAUUCUUCUGUCUCCGAUCUUCUAGAAUCUUCGCGGCUUUCUUCACCGCCUCCUUCCUCGCCGGAAAUCCGUCACCAUUCAUCUCAUCAACACCGAUCGCUUCUAUGCUCCGACGCACCGAUCUGCGACCGCGGCCGGUCAUUCUCCGCAAAGGAAACAACCGUUUUGAUCCACUGGAGAAUACAACGACGGAGAGACGAUCGGAGGAAUUGAGCGCAGAGAUUACAACUUGCAUUGAACGUUUGAGUUUCAAAAUAUCUUCACCGGAAAUUGAACAACCUAUAUCCACCACCGUGACAAGAUCCACCGGCGGCCGAUUUACCACCGCAUUAUACGGCUUUGCCUUCACCUUUAACACUGCAAUUAACGUCUCGAAGCUCUUGUUAGAUGCUACUAGAGCAGUUUCUGGUAGAAAAAACGCUUCAAAUGUUUUUGUUGAAGAAACAUCUAAGCCUUGAAAUUCAACAGGUUCUUUGUUUUCUUCAUUUUCUUCUUUUUCUAGUUCUUCUUCUUCGUUUUCGGGUAUGGUGCUGAAGCGAGAAACGGAGGCAGAGGACAGGAGUGGCUCGUCGUCGUUGUAGUUUGGAAGCUUCGACAACGUCGUUGUUUUGGCGUUCUCUGCAGUUUUCUCCGGUUGAAGAUCGUUCCAGUUUGUUCCGCAUACAGGGCACGUGAUGAUUUGUUGAUUUUUCACGUGAGCUGCUAUGCAUGGAAAGUGAAAGAUAUGAGAGCAUUCUGCUGUGAAAAUUGCUUUUCCUUCACCAGUUUUCACACUAUGCGUACAAAUUCCACAUAAAUUCUACACAAAAAAUAAAUAAAUAAAAGUUAGGAAAAAAUGUUACUAAAACAAGAGAAUUAAUUAAAGCAUAAUUCUAUAUCGUGUCUGCAACCGCAAUUGCAGUUGAAUAUGUGUAGUGAUACUGCAACUGCGACAGAGGACGCAAUAUAGAACUACGAGUAGAAAAGAGUGUGAAUAGGUUAACUUACUUUGGAAAGGCGUAAGGUGGCUUUGAGAAGAGAGUAAUAAGAUGAUGAUGGCGAGUUAUGGGAAGACCACUUAGGACUGUUGUUGCUUUUGUUGCCAUCCAGAAGUGAAGAAUCUGAGAUUCGACAAUGGAGGUUCGGACUAGUUGGUGGGGUAGUGGAAAAUGUGAAUUUAGAAGGAUUGAUUUGAGGACUACCAUUGAUGUUGUCAAAGUCCAAAUGUUGUUGUUGGUGGCUCUCAGCUAAUAUUUUGGUGUCUUUGUCUUUGGAUGUGUAAAACGCUCUUCUCCAUCCAGCUACCAUAAUGAGUUGUUUUUUGUGUUCUUACACUUGUUGUGUGUAUAUGAGGAGUUUGAUUGUUUGGUUGAUAUAAAGUUUUAGAGAAGUUGAGAGCUUUUUUGCUCUUUAGAAAUGGUGGAAAAGGCAGUGGAAUAUUUGAUUCAAAAGAGCUACUCUAUUCCUCCUUUAUAUUUUGAUUUCCUCACUCAAUGCAUAUUUGUUUAUUCUUCAUGCAUGUCUAUUUAUACUAUUAUAUUGGGAAUAAUGGAAAGCCUUUAUUGCUAGCUUUCAAGCUGAAAAUAUCACACUGAAAAUGAAUUUGUCUAUUUUUUGGUUGAUAUUUUUAUUUUAUUUUUUUGAUACAUAGAAGAAAUGAUAAAGCCAUUAUAAACUCACACACACAAAGUGGAGGUGUCGGGGUUCGAACCCCGGUCAAGAAAUCCGGCCUAAUAAUUUCGGCAUUUUUGUCAGUUGAGCUAAGACUUAUGAAACUGGUUGAUAUAUUUUUUUAAUCGGGGUAGUUCAUAUUUUUAUAAUUAGUUAAAUAAUGCAAAAUAUACUAAAACUUUUCAAAAUAAUUUGUUAAUAAUAAGAUUGACAAAUUGUGGGUGUGAUUGCAUUUUAAGAAAAUGUUUAUAUUAUUUUCAUAUGGCUAAAUUAUAAAAGUCAAAACAUGUUAAUCCUCUAUGCUUAGUUUUUAACCUACAGCCACAUCAUAAGAAUUUCAAAGGAAAUAAUUCGCAAAUCAUAUUAUCAAUAAAAAUUAUCUCCUAAAUAUAGACAUGUCCAAAAUAUAUAUUAUAUGUAAAAUGAAAAUUACAUUGUACCUUCAUUCAAAAAUUUUGUUUGUAUUUCUUAAUUUUUUUUGCAUGUAACAAUAGAUAUGACAAUUGUUCUUUCUUACAUACUAGGUUCAAGAAAAAUAAUAACAUAAAAUAAUCUAGUUCUUUAUUUUUUUUUGUAAACUGAUGCAAAUGCAUCAUACCAUUAGAUUAAAACAAAAAAGAGUACAAAAAAAAAAAAGGGGGACCAUACCAAAAAUUUUUCAAAAGGUAGAAAAUUUAAAGUUGGGCAUACCCAACCUAUUCCUAUUGUACUCUCCUCUAAUGGAGUCAGGUACCUGUCAGACCAAAACAAGUCAGAAGAAGUUAAUGAAAGACCAAUAUUUGCAAGACUGUCGGCACAAGCAUUUCCCUCUCUAAAGAUGUGCGACACAAAAAUCUCAUAUGUCUAAUCCUGUACAUACAGUUAAGCCACCUAUUUCUAAGGACCCAAGGAACCACAAAAGAAGAGUUGAAAGCUAAAGUGACCAAUUGUGAAUCUGUUUCUAACCAAAAGUGAGAAUAUAUAGCCAUUGUUGUGAGCAAUCUCAAUAGCAGACAUGGCAGCUACAAGCUCAGCAUAAAGAGCGUUUUGCUCCCCCAGUGAUUGAGUGAAACAACCAAUGCAUAUGCUCUAUGAAUUGCAGAAGAUGCCUCCUGCAGCUGCUCUGUUUGGGUGUUUGGUAGCUGCUCCAUCUGUGUUUGCUUUGAUCCAAGUUGUCAUCGGUGGAGCCCAAAUUACCUCUUUGAUUAUGGGUGCCCUGGGGGGUUUGAUGUUCACCUUGAAAGUUUUCAGAAUCCUGAAUUCUUGCAUGUCCCCUCUGUAAACUUCUUUGGUGAUGUUACCUGCAAGAGAAGUCUGCGCAAUAAUCAUGUUAAGUGCAAGUUUCCAGUGCAUUUUCUUAUCUUUGAAUCUCACAUGGUUUCUUCUGAUCCAAACAGUGUAAAUAAUAUUGAACAUGCAAGCUUUGAGAACAGUCCUGCACCGCGGAGACCAAUUUCUAUCUAGAAUCUUCCAAAAGUCUAGACAAUUGCUGAAUUGCAUGCUUAUGUUAGUAAUAUAGAACAACCAAUUCCACAAAUGCAUAGCAAAAGGACACUCAAAAAACAAGUGGAAAGUAGUUUCACCCUGAAGAAAACAAGAUGAGCACAAAGAUGGAAAUUGAAACCCUCUGGACAGAAGGUUUUCAUCAGUUGGAACCUUAUUAUGCAUGAUCCGCCAAACCAAAAGAGAUUUGGUUGGAGGAAUAUCAGGACACCACAACUCUUUGGCCCAUUUUAUCUUCUGACCAACCCCAUAUUUGAACUCAUAAGCUUGUUUGAAAGAUAAAUCGCCAUUAUUGCUAGGAUGCCAGAUUCUCUUGUCUUCAGUGGCUUCAAAAGGAAUAGCUACUUGUUUGGCAAGCAAUUUGACUUGUGGGAUGAAGAUGAGAACGGAGGAAGGAACAUUCCACUGACCAUUGAAAAUGAAGUCUUUUACUUUAGCAGUUAAGUUUCCGUGCAUAUGGGGAGGAAUAUUAAGCUGAGAGGCUAUAGAGACACCACACCAAUUGUCAAGCCAGAAAUUUAUGUCUUCGCCAUUACCAAGCUGCCAGCCACAAUUAGUUUGGACAUUUGAAAACUCAUUCUUGAUGCUGCUCCAAAUAGAUGAGAAAAUGUGGUGAGAUAUCACUCUUCUGCCUCUAAUGACCUUACUUCUUAGUAAAAGAGCCCAAUCUUCCUUGGAGUUCAGUAAAUCCCCAAAAAGCUUCAUAUUUGUUGAUUCAUUUAGAAUAGAGAGAGACCUGAUGCCUAAGCCACCUUCAGAGAGAGGCUUGCAAGAUUUUUUCCAAGAAACAGUCAAUAGUUUUCUUUUAGAGACAUCACCACUCCAUAUGAAAUUCCUUGUCCAGAGUUCAAUGUCAUUAAGAAGCUUCUUGGGCCAAGAGUAAAUGGAUAUUGAGUGAACCAACAUACUUUGAAUAACACUUUUAACCAUAGUAACUCUACCAGCAAUACUUAAUAGGGAGGCUUUCCAAGAUGCUAGUUUGGAUUUGAUUUUGUCUACAAUAGGCUGUAGGUGGCACCUCUUAGGUUUCCCUUUGAAAAUAGGAACCCCUAGAUAUGUGAAUGGAAGAGAACCCUUGUUGAACACAAUUAGAUCAACAAUCUGAUUAAUUCUAGAAGUAGAAAUUGAUUCAUAGAACACAAUAGAUUUUGAAGGGUUUAUCACUUGACCAGAAGCUUGAUCAUAUGAGUUGAAAAGUUGCAGAAGAGCAUGAAUAUAGGAAAUUUUACCUUUGCAAAAUAUCAUAAUGUCGUCAGCAUAUAAAGAAUGAGAAGGAACAUGUGUUGAUCUUGAACCUUUGAUAAGCUCCACCUUUCCUUGUUGCACAAGAUUGGUGAUGCUCCUGCUGAGCACAUCCUCAGCAAUACAGAAAAGAAGAGGGGACAAGGGGUCACCCUGCCUGACUUCUCUCUUGCAAUGAAAGUAUCCAUCCGAGUUUAGAAUUGUGUUGAUCCAGGAGCAAAAUCUAUCUUUGAAGCCAAACUUUCUUAACACAGUAAGAAGAAAUUUCCACUCCAAUGUGUCAAAAGCCUUUGAGAUGUCAACCUUGAAAGGUAAAUUCCCUGCAUAUGCUUUUUGAUGGAGAUGAUUUAUUGCUUCUGAUGUGAUACAAAUACCAUCUUUGAUAUUUCUUCCUUUGAUGAAGCCUCUUUGCUCUGGUGAAAUAAUCAAAUUCAUAAAGGGAGCCAAUCUGUCUGCUAGAAUUUUAGAGAUAAUCUUGAACUUGAAAUUUGCUAAAGCAAUUGGUCUGUAAUGACCAACAUUAGUAGCAUCUGGAAUUUUCGGAGUCAAGAUGAUUGUGUUUGCAUUGAAGUUGGGGAGAAUCCAAUCUCUAGUAAAGAACUCUAAAAUUGCAUUAAUUACAUCAUUUUUCACAAUGUCCCAGUAAUUUUGGAAAAAAACCGCACCAAAACCAUCUGGACUGGGGGCUCCCUCCUUAUUCAUUGCUAGCACAACUUGAUGGAUCUCUGAUGCAGUAGGAAGUCUUGUUAGAAGAUUGUUCACAUCUUCAGUAAUGAGAUUAGGAAUGGAGUCUUCUAUCAGUUGAUUAACCUGCAAAUCCUGCACAACAUUGUUAGUAACAAAAAUAUUUUUAAAGUGGUUAGUAAUGAGACUUGAUAUUUCCUCAGGGUUGUAAACCAUAUCAUCACCAUUCAUGAGGGUAGUUACGAGUUUGGAGGUGUUUUUGAUUUUGGUUAGUCUAUGGUAAUAUUUGGUGUUCCUAUCUCCAUUUAAAUGCCAAGCAACUUUAGAUUUCUCCCUCCAAUAUUCUUCUUCUAUUUGUAAAGCAUUUUCAAGUUGAAACUGCGCAUCUCUGUGUUGUUCCAAUAGGGAGUCAGUGAUACCAUUUGUGUCCAUGACAGAUUGUAAAUGGGCAAGGUUUUGUUCUGCCACUUUAACCAUGUUGUGCACAUUACCAAAAACAGUUUUAUUCCAGACUUUUAACUUUUGCUUUAGGAUUUUGAGUUUCUGGCUAAGAAUGAAUAUAUGACAGCCAACAAUAUUUGUGUUCCAGACUUCUUGUAUCACCCUGUGACAAUCUUUAUGAUGGGUCCACAAUUGCAUGAAUUUAAAUUGGGAAGUAAAACUAUGAGUAGAAUUAUCAAAUUCAAGUAAUAGUGGAAAGUGAUCCGACUUGUGCUUUACCAGUGUUGACACAUUCAGAGAGUUGCAAACAUCCAGCCAGUUUUGAUUACAAAUCACUCUAUCCAAUCUUCUUUCAGUGUGGCUACGUCCUUCCCUGCCAUUUGACCAAGUGAACUGCACUCAUCUAGUUGGAAGGUGUAUGAAGUUAUUAGUGUCUGACCAGUCAAAAAAGUCAUUCAUUGGAGUUCUAGUAGGUGGACAGGCCCCUCUAUGUUCAUGAGAGCCUACGAUGGAGUUAAAAUCACCAAUUGCACACCAGGGCAUGUUUAGGUUAGUUUGGAUUGUUUGAAGGUUAAGCCAAAGGUGUCUUCUGGUUAAGUGGUUAGUGGAAGCAUAUAUUGCAGAGAUACAAAAUGAUUGGUGGUUAUGUACAAAAGUGAAGAAAACUUGCUGGUUGUCAGCUGAUAUAAUUGUAGGGUUUAGAUGAUUCAGGCAAAAACACCAGAGGUUUGGAUUGUUGUCCUGUCUGUUAUUGAAAGCAAAAGGUUUAUAAUUAAGAUGAUAAAACCAGUUUGUGGGAAAACUAUCAUAGUGUAUCCAAGGUUCAGAGAUGAAAAUGAAGUUAGGUUUGUUAGCUAGGAUAAGGUUUUUCAGAGCUAAUCUUGAGGCGUGAUUAGCAAGCCCUCUAAUGUUCCAAUAUAGACAAUUCAUUGAGAAUGUCUAGAUGUAACCUUAGAUCUUGUAAGGUAAGAGUUGCUGUCUUUAGAAGUCAAGGUUUUGGGUGUUUUUUUCUUUGGUGAUUUUCUGGUAACAAGUUUAAAGCCAGAGUUUUCAAUGUUCUUACGUACCUCAUGAUGAAUUUGGAGAUCAAUGUCUGCCUCUGCAGCAGUGGUAUCAUUAAAAGCUUGUUGUUGUGAUCUGAUUAGCACUUCAUCAGCAUCUUCAAGGUUGGCCCAAACAUCAUUUAAAAAUUGGAUGUCUUGCUGGACUCUAACAGGAGUUGCUCGCUCAUUUGCCUGGAACUCGGUGUCUAACCUCUGCGUAGCGUCCACAAAUUCAGAAGCCUGGGAGCUCCCAUCUUCACUGUCAUAUUCAGUAGAAUUUUCCAAUUGAGGGAUUUCCAAAUUUUGUCCUAGAACAGGCCCUAAUACAAAAGCAUCAUCCCUGCAAUCUUCGUUGUUCAUUGAUACAUGCACAGGACUUCCAUCAACAAUGUUCCUAGGGUUUGUAUCCACUAAUGGUUCAGUGUUCUCAUCAAGGGCAUCAUCAGCUAGAGCUACAAACCUGUUGGUAUUAUCAUUCUCUAUUUCCAUGACUACAUGCUCUCUUUGAGUCCACUGUUUUUUCUUGAUAGGUUCUUUGUGGUGUUGCUUCCCCAAUUCUUUAUCUUUAUCAUUAACAAGAGCCUUCCCUUUAUGUGCUACAUCUUUCUUUAUAGCUUUCCUGCAAACUGAUGCAUUGUGACCAAUCAUUCUGCAAAAGCUACAAAAUUCAGGCAAAUUUUCGUAUUCAAACUCAACAAAGAACGCAAAACCCUUUCUUUCGACCAAAACUUCGUAUUUCAGGUCACAAGAAACAUCCAAGUCCACUAGAACCCUAGCGUAAUGACCAAAUGUUCUUUCAAUAGCCGGUUUACUUGUCACAUAAUCGACACAUAUCGGUGUUCCUACGCUGCUUGCUAUUGCGAAAAUAAUUUUCUUUCGCCAAUACUCUUGUGAUAGACCAUGGAUUCGCAUCCAUACUUGCACAGAAGUGUUGUUUUGAAGGGUAGGACUAAAAUCCCUCGACCAUGGAAACAAUUUCAAAAUUCCCGGAUUCCAAAGCCAAGAGUUUACAGAUCUUACCCUUCUGGCGUCUUCAAUCGAAGUAAAAACAAAUUCAUAGCACCCUUUUCCAAUUGAAGUCACUCCCCAAGGGAUUAGAUCCUUCCAUGCCGGCUUCAGCUUCUCUUUCAGUGCCAUCACCGUCAAAGGGGUAGCGCCUUUCGUCCAAAUAACACGUGCGUGGAGAUUGUACUUGCAACCAUCUAAACCAAUGUCAUACUCAUCAUCAGGGAUCAAAAUUGAAAACUUAUCACCUUUGAGAGUGGGUCUAGGCAGUUGUGAUUCCGGGAUAUCACAAACAUUUGAAAGAACCUACGCAAAAGAUUUUUGGGUUAAGGGUUGCGGUUUAUGGGUUAAGGGUUGUGGUUUUGGGAUUGUUUUUGGUGCGAUCUUGGAGGGGACAUCAUCAUCUAGGCACUUCCAGGGGAUUGUGAAAGGUUUGGAGGAGUAAAACAAAGUGGGGGACAUGGCGGAGGUUUGGUUGAUGUGAAGGAGAAGAUGAAUAGUGAAUCGUGUUUUAAUCGCCAGAGAGAGUAUCAAGUCCCAUUUUUUCAAAUAAUCCCUAUGGAUCUUGUUUUCUGAUUGAAAUAAUCUAGUUCUUUAGAGUGUAUUUGAAUGAGAUAAUUCGAAAAUUUGAAAGAACUUAGAAUUCUACGCAAUUUAAAUGAUUCAAUUAAAUUACUCUUAUUUCUCAAUAUUUUUGUUUGGAUGAAGCAUUAAAAAAUUUCAUUGUCAUCAUUUUUAUGCAACUUUUAUAAAUUAAAUUUUUUUUUGGGCCAAAUUUGAAAAUUAAAAUUAGAGGUCAAUUUGUAGAUUUCAAAAACUUUGAGGGGUCACAUUUUAAUUUUUGAAAAAUUUAAGGGGUCAAUUUACAAUUUUUUUGAAAUUUAUUGGGGUCAAAUUGAAAAUUUUGUAAAAUUUGAGGACCAAAAUGCAAAUUUGAAAAAUUAUAGCAAUGAAGAAUUUUGAAAUUCUCUCUAUUUAACUUGAACAAAAUAUUUCAUAAAUUUCUAUCAUUUUGAAAUUUUUCAUGAUUUUUAUUUUUUGGUACAAAAAUUCUUUAAGUUAUUAUCCAAACAAUUGAAUUCACCUCAAAAUAUUUGAAUUCAUUUCAAUAUUACAAUCACUCGAAACAUUCCCACAUCCAAACACACUCUUAGGAACUAGCUAACUAUAUCGCAUGUUUUUCUUAUCAUUUCCUGGCAUGAAAUAAUAUUUCUAUAUAUGAAUUACACAUGUAGAAAUUAAAAUCCAUCAAAAUAUAUUUGAGUUUAUAUAUCAUUAUUUACAAAAUUUACAACACUAUUACCAUGAAUAGUAAAGAUUAUAAAACCAUAAAUAAUACUACAUCAAUGGUAUUCUCCACUACAUCCACCGCCUUUCACAUUUUUAAUCAAAAGGAUAGACCAAGUUGAUAUUAUAGUUUGUUACUUGAGCUCCUAAAAUGGUAUCGUAACAUGUUGUUUUAGUUUUGAAAAUCAGUCAAAUCUUGUCAAAGUUGUCUCCUCUUAACAUUUUUAUUUAGAACUUGGUAUUCAAUCCAAAGACUAAUUGAUAUGGAGGACUAAUUCCACUGAAUUUUUUAAAGUUAAAAUAAAUUAUGUAUGAACUAGAUCAUAUGGGUUUGCAUUUAAAGAACUCGGACAUGAAACCUUGAGAAAAACACAGUCAUAAGACUUUAAGAAAAACAUAUUCGAAGAUCUUAAGCCUACACUUCAACCUUGGUUGAAGCAUAAAUUGAACAUAUUCCAAAAGAUGUAUUUCCCUCGAUGGAUACUACUACAGGAUCUAAGUGCAUAGAACAUAGACAACAAAUAUUUGGCAACAGGUUAUCUCUAUCAUCGACAAAGAAAACUUUGAGCUAAUUAAGGUAUUUUUGAGCAAUGUUGUCCGUAAUUCUAAUUUGGAAUCUCAAUUGGCUUCUUUUCGUUGGAGGUUGAACCAUCAAAAUUAAUUAUUUCUUUCUCCUUCUCCUUCCUAUUUUAUUUUGUUGUCACGUUUCUUUUGUUCUUGCAUGGUUUUCCUCCUAUCGAUCAGCAAUAUCUGGCUCACCUUAAACUUUGGGUAACUUUGACUCUCUUGGCAAAACUUAUAUCAUGACCAAUACACUUACAAUGAGUGCAAAAGUCGGAAAUUUUUUCAUAAUAAAGUUAAACAAAAAUAGAAAAUCUUCAACAUAGACUUUGUAUUUUAGUUGUUCAGAGAGAUCUAUAUCAACCAAUAUACGAAUAAAGUGACCAAAUUAUCUAUCAAACAGGGGUUCCAACACUACUUGCAAUAGAAAAUACUCCCUCCGUCCCUAUAUAUAAGACCCUUUUGCCAAAAUUACGGGAAUUAAGAUAGUGGAUAUUUGUAUUAAAGUUGUUUGUAAUCACUAUUGUUUAUACAAUUUUAUCCUUUAAGAAAGAAUGUUAGUUUAUGUUUUCAACAUGUUAUUUAUUGUUGAUUGAAGAAAAAGAUGUAUAAUAAAUAGGGGCAUGUAUGUAAAGAAAUAAUUAAUGUAGUUGGAAAUAACAAAGGGGUCUUAUAAAAAGGGACAAAAAAAAUUCUCAAAAGGGUCUUAUAAUUAGGGACGGAGGGAGUAAUAUUUUAGGUCUCCAAUACUCUUGUGAAGUACUGUAAAUACGAAUCCAAACCUAGACUGAUGAUUUUUUGUUGCUUGCUAGGGUUGAAGCCCCUGCUUCAAAGUAAGGGUAUGAAAAAUCGAGGGUUGAGGUUCCAUGAUGCAAUCAAUCAAACACUUUCAACAUCUUCUAAUGAGAAGAAUGAGACCUAAUAAAAACCUUUUCCAAGGGAUGUAAUUCCCCAAACACUAGUAGAUUGAUACACAAAGCUUCAAGAUUCAAAAGUGUUACAUUGCACCUUUUGUAACAUCCAAGACUGCUUUUAGGAUACAAUUUUGCGGAAAAAUUCAUAAUAUUAUAAGAAUGUCUUCCAAAAAAAUUAGAAUAUUUUAAUAAAACAUGAAUUAAAUAUGAAUUUUUAUAUUUUUUGCGGUUAAAAAUUCAUAUUUAAUUUAUGUUUUGUUAAAAAAUUCUAAUUUAUUUUGGAAGAGAUUUUUACAAUAUUCUACACAUUUAUGCACAAUUUCAUUAAAAAAAACAAAAAUUAACUUAAAAAUAGGGACCAAAAGUAAUGAUUAAAAAUUUUAUAGGGACUAAAAGUUGAAGGAAAAUUUUAGAAGGACUAAAACAAAAAGUUAAUAUAUUUAUAGGGACAAAAACACAUUGGUAGAAAACAUUGAAGUGGAAAAAUACACUGAUGUGUUUUAUUUUCACCUAGGUUUUCAACUUUUUGAAUGCUUUUUGGCAUUGUUUGGGCUUAAAGAUUGAGUCCAUCCCUUCUUCAUCUUUACAAAAAAUUUCUCGUAAGAGACCAUUUCCUAUAUGACAGACAUGAAAGAUGACCAAAUUGCUAGAACUAGCAUGUCAAAACUCAAAACAAGGUGAUCAUAUAAAUUAUAAAUAACUAAUCAAGCAAACAAAAUUGUAUUAUAAUCAGUAACAAGAGAAUCGCUUAGCCAUCUGUUCUCUUUCAUAUGAACAAGCAAGAUAAAGACACACAGACAGACAGUUAGUUACACAAAUCUAACCUAAUGGGGGACAAAAAAUGGUUCUAUAUCAAUAUUAAAAAAUCAAAUCGGACAUCAAACUUACGAGACAUAUGAAUAAAAUAAUGGUUUAAUUGCUUUAAAUCACUAUAAUCCAGAUAAAAUUGUGAUUGAACCACUCAGAUAACUAAAAUGUACACAAUAUUGGUUUAGGGUUCGACCCGUUUAACAUUCUAAUUCGAUUUGAUUUUUAAAAUAUUGUUCUAUAUUGUGAAGAAUGAAUGAAGGGCUUUAACCUAUUUGGGGUUGGCCUAGUGGUUGGCUUGGGAUCUUGGAGUUUGCUCCUCCAGAGGUCUCAGGUUCGAUUCCCUCUGGUGCCAAUUUCGGUGGGUUAAGUCCAUACAGAGCUUGCUCUGGCUUUAAACGGGGCCCCUACAAGUGGGCGGUGGGAUUGGUCCCCUCGGAUUAGUCGAUUCUUGGAUCGGAUACCGAGUUUAAAAAAAAUAAAAUGAAUGAAGGGCUUAUACUCAAGGUUGGUGAAAUGGUUAUUGUGUAGCUGCAAUAAUUAGAGCGCACAUGCAUGCUCCAUAAAUGCAAGAAUAGCCACCAACCAUUUUCAAUUAAUCUCACAUAUACUAGUAGUAUAGUAUCAUAAAAUAGUUCACUCUAGUGUAUUGUUUACACAUGCACACAUCAUGUGUCUAGUAUUUGCCAAGAUAAUAUUGUUGUAAACAAGAUGACAUUGGCAUCAUAAAUCAAACCAUGAUCUAUGUUCUUUCUUUGUACCUUCUUUUGUUUAUAAAAUUUCUUGUACCCUUUUCUUGCUAAGUAAGAAAUUUCAAAAAUUUAGUUUGAAGCAAAGGUAAUUUUAAGCAACGGUCACGUUAAGAUUUCAUUGCGAAUUUUGAUAUUUCAAAAAAAUUGCACUCAAAUAUAUACAAUUGAUGCAACCAUAGUAACAUUCAUGUAUAGGCAUAAAAGAUUUUGAGAGCUUGGUCACAACUAUGUUGCAACCACAAUUGCGGUCACACAUAGGCAUAAAAACUUUAAAUGUCAUGUGCGGUCCGUUAGGAUUUAAGUCUGUGAGACGAGUCAAACUUAAGUAUCAUAUCGAACAUUUUUUUUUAUCUAUUCAAUGUAAGACUUUUAACACAGUAAUAAACCGUUACUAAAACCUUGAUUUGCACCCCGUGAAUUUUGCUCAAUUGGCGGAGACAUUGCAUAACAUAUGGAGAAGUUGUAUUUUGUAACCAUCAUCACAUUUGUUCACAUUUUAUCCCACUGUAAAAAAUGGAGAACCAUAAUAUCUAGAAGAAGAGCCAAAUCAGGUCCUAUUGUGUAUAUACCUUUCAAUAUUACAUCAUAUCAAUGUCAAAUCCUUUUCAAUGAAAAUACUAUGAACGGUGUAAGCAAGGAACAGUUUUCACCAUCAAACAAUACAACAAUUGGUUCAAACUUAAUAAAUUCUGCCACAACAAAACGAUGAAAACAUAGAGAAUGUUCUAACCAUACACAUUGCAUGAAGCUAUAGAAUGAGUAGUAAAAGAGUUUCAUAAAUUCUGACACUGACUCACAAAGUCACAGCACACGACAUUCCUUAAUGGAGUGUGGUCUAAGAAGAAACGCGUGGAAUCAUUGUUUAACAAUAGUAAAGAUAGUUGAGAAUUUGUGAUAGAGUUUAAUUUGUAGCCUUAGCUUAAUGCAUGGUUCAUGUACGGUUUUGUAAUAGGCAAUGUGGCAGCUUAGGGCACAUAAAUGUAGCACCACAUUAUGUUCUCAUGUAUUUCUUUGUCUUUAAGUUAACCCUUCAAUUUUCACGAGGAAUGAACUCUCGUAAUUCAGAGUUUGAUAAAAGGUAAAUAAAGUAUGAUCGAUGAUUGUUAUAGUCAGGAUUCGAACUCAGGUUCUCUUAAAAUAUUUGUCUUUAAUUGAAGUUUAUUAACCAUUUGAGUCCAACCACUUGAUUAUGCGAUAAAAUAUUGAAGGGUCUUUUUGUCUUUUUACAGCAUUGGUUCAGAACAAUCCUAAUUAACAAACAAGAGAAUAAUAUCCAGAUUUUAGCUUAUUUUGGUAACUUAUAGAUUUUCUUAUUCCUUCAUUUUGUAGUUUAAUGAGAAGAAAACUCUAGAAAAUUGGUUGAAAGAGAUUGAUGAUGCUAUAAAACAAGUUUAAUUCUUGGUUGUCUUUACCACUGUUUUUCUUUAGUUAAGUUGAUGGACUUGUGAGACUAAACAUGCAAGUAUUAAAUGAUCAUGACUUGGUACAAAGCAUAUAAUAUAGUUUGUUGCCAGCAAAUAUAUGAAUGUGACUUCUAAGGAAGCCACACACGUUUCAAACACAUGGGUCGUUUUAUUUUUGUAGAAAAUGAAGGGUAAUUUGAUAAUUAAAAGUUACAGUAAGAAAAAUUGUUUGAUUUUUAUGUAUGUUGCUCCUUAUGUGGUUCUAAGGUCAGCUUGAAUAGUAAGAGGAGAGUGAAAAAAUAUGUGAUGUAGUUGGCUACAGACAACAUUGUUGGUAUUUAAGUGAGAGUGGUUAGAUUAGGAAUGAGUUAAAUAACAAAUAUAUAAGAGAAUUCAUAUACUCAAUGUUAAAUGGUUUUGAUGAAGAUUUGACGUUCAGUUGAUAAUUUAGGUCAUUAGCCUUUGUUAAGAUAAACGACUUAUAUAUUUAAUGUCUUAAAAUUUUAGAUGAGAUUUGGUCUCUUAGAUCCACUCAAGCUCCUCAAUAAAGUUGAAUCAUAACCCUUAUACCACUGUUUUGGGAGAUCGAGAGUAUCGUCUAUAAGUCACUCAUGUAUUCUUUAUUUGGCUCCUUUCUAUUGUAUGAUCGUAGGUCACACAUUUCCAAAAUAUAAAAUGGUUUAUUCAUAUUUUUUUAUAUCAAUGAUUGAUUACACAUGAAUAGGGCAACAAGUUGCGCCGUUAGGCUUUUUGGAUGACAAAAUCAAUUCCCGUAAACACAACAUCCGUGGAUCUAGGAGACAUGACAUUGUUGUGCAUGAUCCUUUGAACUCUACGUAGAUGGUCAACAACCUAUGGUGCUAGGAAGACAAAAGUGUCAAAAACAAAUGGUAUAAAAACAUGUUUAUUAUCAUAACACACUUUCUCAUGUUUAGCCGCUUUACUUGAUGCAGUUUUUAGGACUGUGUCCACCGUAAAAACCUCGACUCCUAACUCCGUGAAAGCUAUCUCACGUGUUUAGUGUCCAACCACUACUUCUCUAGGUAAUUUUGGGUUGUCCAAUUUUUACCUUCUCAUUUUCACUCAAUCAAACCCCACCAAGAAAACCUACUUCUCCCGUGAUGAAAGGGAUGUUUAUGGGGAAUGUUAAAAGUUUGCAUUAUAAUUCAAUAAUAUAUGCUGAAUUUUGUAUAUUAAUAUAGUUUUCACCGAGAUUCACACUGCAAUAUAUUUUUACAAUAGGUGGUGGUAUUUUUAAAUUAUGGUACUUUUGAAUAAAAUGAAAGGCCAACCAAAUCUUCUGUUAGUAAGUCCACCCUAUUAUAUUUACUAUUUCAAUUGAUAAACAUUGCCAUUGAUUCCCACUAAAUUAGCCACUUUGUAUGGUUCUUGUUUUCCUCUAAAUGCAAUUUGGGGUUCUAGAUUUGGUAAAUAUUGGGUGUACUAUUUGUACUUUUAAAAACUGGUUGUACUUUGGAUAAUGAAUGGGAUAUGAAAAUAUUAGAGUGUUUUAAGAAUAAAAUCAUUAAUGCAUCUUCACUAAUAUCCACUUGAAAUUUUAGAAUAGUUCAUUCAUUAUAUAUAAUAAUUUGGUGCAUAUGAUCAAGUAAUCAUUUUUCUAACUAAAAGGUUGAAACUUAUAGGUUAAGUGAGUUUAUUUAUCAUUAAUAAUUUAAAGUUCAAAAAUAAUUUGUAUGAGGAGUUAUGUUGAUGUUGUAAAAAUAUAAUGUACCUAAAUUAAGUUUUAGAGACAGUUUACAUGAUACAAGCCUAAUGCACUCACCAUCAAAGCAUGGUCUCUUCUACCAAUUUUAGUUCAAUUAACAAAAAUUUUGAAAUUAUUAAACCGGACGUGGUAACUAGAGUUCGUCAAACUUCGAUUUGCUAUUUGUAUAUGUGAAUUUUCAAAACAUAUUUAACCCUUAAAAAUAUAUAUAUGUAGUGGAGUUGUGGGAAAAUAUGAGAAAAACCUCACACCCACAAUUAUGAUCAUGGACCAUUUUUCAAAACCAUAAUUUUUUAUCUUCCAUUUAAAAAUAGCUUUUUGCAAAAAUAAUAUUGACACAAACUUCUUUCUUUCUUUCUGUGUUCCAUCAUUUCACUACAAUUCUACUUUAAUUCCUUAAACAAAUAUAUAAGCACUAUAUAAUUAUCAUUAAACUAUUUUUACGUAAAGGUUGUGUUUCCUUGAGCUGCAGCACCAUCAUAUGACAUUAUUCAACAUAGCAUAAUUAAAUAUUAGAUUAAACAUUAGAUCCAUAAAUCUAGAAGAAACAGCAAACCGUGAUCAGUGUACCUUUAUUCUUAUUCUAUGUUUUGGUAUUUAAUCAAUCCAACAUUCCAGCUGCACUAGUCUAUGAAUUAUUCAAAUCCAUCGUGCAUCAAUCACUAACAAUACUUUAUUCAAAUAUUAACCAUUCAAAGAUCUUAUUGGCUCGUAGAAUUGGACCAUUGACAACCGUACAGUACAAUAUUUAUAUUGAGAAGUCAAAAGUAGCACAUAGAUUAAGUUAGUAGUGGAAAGUGUAGAAUGUGAUGCACCUAAAUUUGCUCCAGAAAAUCCUAUGAUAAUGUUGUAGUGGAUCGAAACAUUAACCAAACCCAUUAACAUGGAAAAAUUACAUUAGGGGGAACUUUUUAGUCCUAAAUCCAAGGUGGUGGUGAAGAAAAUUGAUCACUCUUAGUUUCAACACCAUCGACACUUCGGAUUAAAGGUGUGUCUAAUGCUUGAUUAAAGCAUCAUUUUUUUUUUUGUUAAUGUGUUAAGUGGGAUAGUGAUGAGAUUGGACAUCGCACCUUCACUAAAUCAUAAGUUCCACUCAAGACAAGUGAUGUUACCUCGUAUACUCAAUGUCUUACGAUGUUGAGUGAAGACAUUGUCUAAACUCACUUGUAUGGUUGCUCUAGUUCAAUUUGUUGAACCACUCCAAUGUUGUAGGCUUCUUGAAAAGUCCCAACAGUAGUAUCAAAGUCCGGUUCAACUUGAUGAGGGAACAAGAAGUGGUUCCUCAAGUGAGUUAAAAAUAUCCCACAUUAGAAUGGAAGAGUAGUUGUUAAGAAAUAUAUAAUAACUUAAUCUUUUGGAUGAAAAUAUAGUAUCAAAACUCACUUGUGUAGUUGCUCUAAUCCAAUGUGUUGGUCCACUCCAGUAUUGUAUCCUCCAUCGAAAGUCCCAACAAUAAUUACAUUCAAACAAAUUUGUUUUUAAUUGUUACAAGUGUAUGUUUAGUACUUCAUAGUUGCAUCCACCAGCCUAGUUGGGGGCGAAGUAUAGGUAGAAAGUUACUCUUAAAUCAUUCAUGAUUUCAAGACUUUAAGAUUAAAUGGAGAACACACAUUGAAUUCGACUCCUUUAAAGUGAACAACUCAUUUUAGAAUGUAACGUGAAUAAUAUCAACCGUUAAAUAAUAAAUGAAAUGUAGAUAUUAUGGCUACAUCAACUCUAAUAGUUUUAUUGUCAAAAAAAAAACUCUAAUAGUUUUUAAUUUUGAAUUACAAACUCUAAUAGUUAAGAUUAAAUAACUCACUAAUUUAGUUAAAAAAAUCGCAGUCAUGUAAUGUUGGUAUUCGGUGAUUUAGUACUCCAUGAGUGGGUGGUUAUUAGAAAUGGAGAUCACUCAUAAACAUACAAAAUGUGGGCCCCAUUGGACCAUGACCAAACAGUACUGCCCAAGCUGUAACCUAGCAUGGAAAUAGAGCUUGUAAGAAGGCAAACAUUGUUCAAGUUACUCGAACCAAAAUGCAUCAUAUCUUCCAUUCUUCCAAAUAAAAUGCUCUUGGAGCAUCUAAUGGGUACCUCAUAUGUAUCAGUCUUGAAUAGAGAGAUCUCCAUUGAGGAUGAUGUUACAUUCUUCAAUGUCUUCAGAAAGUAACAAAUCAGAUUUAGAGGAUUUAGUUCUUGUAAUAGUUUAGUGAAUGUAAAGAUAGUAUAGUGGUUAGUAGAGACUUUCGUAUCAAUUAGAAUAAAAUUCUAGGUUUUAGUAGUUUUAAGAUUGCAUAAUCCGAAAAUCCCAAAAAAUGAGUUCAGAGUAUAUAAUUCAAACAUAUUAUUUUCAGAAUAUAGGAGGAAAUAUAAGAAGAGUAUGGUGAAACAAGAAACUAAGAGUAUCUUGAAAUUUAGAUUCACCAACAUGCUACAGAGUUAUUGAACUCAAAUGUUAAGAUAGGUAUUGAAAUUUGGGAUCUGAAAAAUCAACAUAUAAGGUGAAUAUUACUCACUUAUAAACUCAUUUUAACUUUAUGCCAUCCAAUGUGGAACUAUUGAAGGUGAUGAAAAAAUGCACUUGAGGGGUAAAAUAAAAGCAAAAACUAAGGUAUAACAAAUCACAUAUACUAAUUGCAACAGACAUUCAACCAAACAUAAGGUUCCUAUAAAUAUUACAUAACUCCCAAAAUACAAAUACUGAAGCUAGCUUCAUAAGUACUAAAGUAAUUAAUAGUAAUAACAAAUGUAACAUAAAGAACAAGACACUACUAGGGACUUCAAAACAUAAUAACAUGUGAACCAUAUUUAACCAUCAAAACUCAUGGAUUUAGUUCUUUCUACCAUGGUUUUUGUUUCCACCCUUCUCAGAUAAAACUUUACUUUAAUAGACAAAAAGCAUAGUCAGCAGUCCCAAUCAUAGCAUCUAUCUAGCUCCUGCUCUUGGAUUUUUCCAUGGCCCUUGGAGCUGCAAAGAGAAGAAAAACUAGAUAAGCAAACUUGCACUACCAAUAAUAGUUUUCUUGUGGUACAAGGAAACAAGAAACUCAACAAUACAUAACAGUAUCAUUGCAGAUGUAAACCAGAGGCACUUUCAAUCAUAAUUUCCUUAAGUUACAUACAAGUUUCAAGCAAUCAUAAUUUCCUAAGUUACAUACAAGUUUCAAGCAAUCACAAUCCAACUGAAUCAUUAUAUUCAAAUAUUUUUUUUCUCUUCUUGUGGAUAAAGAAGUCAAAGACUAGGUACUUCCUCUAUCUCAUGAUAAGUGUCACACUCACAUUUGCAAUAUUUUUGUCUCAAAUUAUUUUCACUUUAGUUUACACCAAGAGAUGAAUCAUUGAUGUUUUUUCCAACAAUACCCUUAUUUAAUUAAAUAGUCCACCUAGCUAUUCCUUUACUACUACUUUCAACCACUCUAAUUAAUAUGGGUUUUUUAGGCUAUACACAUUAUUUUACAAUAUAAACAUAACUAAUCAUUUUGUCAAGAAGUAUGCAUGAUCUAAAAUAACACUUAUAAUGUGACGGAUUGAAUGUUAUGCUUCAAAAUAAUAUUGCUCAAAGCUGAGCAGCUACACCUACACAUCAUAAAUUCAGUAUAAGUAGACUAUUCAGUACCUAUAGUUCUUAAACACUAGCUUAGUGAUUACUCACAAAACACAACAAUUCAGUAUAAAGAAUAUACAAAUUCAUCCUUCACAGCAUGUAGGAAAUUUUUAUUCUCAGUCUUAUGUUAUGCCUGUGUAAACAACAUAACCUUCAAUGAUAUAAAAUCAAUUGGCAUAUCGACCCAGUUCGAUAGUUUAACAAACAUAUCACUUAAACAUAUCAGGAUUGUAAUCUACUGUUGGAUAUUAGCCUUGUGACUAAUUGUAAUGAAUUUUACAUACCUAAGCCAAUUGCAUCAGAACCCUUCAUGAUUUUCAGUCUUUUGCAUGUGUCAAUGAACAUGCUGCAGACAAAAGAAAUAUUAAAGUUAAGAGUAGUAUGCAAAAUAGAGUGCGGUGAACAAUUAGUUGAUUUCGUUCCAUCAGUCUUCAAAUUGACAGUUUGAUCGUACAAAUAGUAGUAAUUUGCAACACUUAACGCCUAGGUACAAACACGAAUAUUUAACAUAUUUCAAUAACAAACAAGCUGAAAUGUACUGCAGAUUCAACUCAGCAACAAAAUUUAAGCCAAAAUCAAGUUCCAAAGUCUGCACUCUUCAUCUAUAAAAGAAAAUCCAUAUCAUACCUAAACUUUUAUGUUCCUAUUUAAGUAACAAAUUAAAAAGGAAACAAAGCACUUUUUACUCAUGUUUUUUCCAUUAGAAGGUUUUUUGGGAGACCUAAAAAAAGAUACUACAUGAAAGAAGUUGAAAUUUGCUAAUCAUUCUUGACAGUAAUUAUAGUCAUACCUCAAUUAUCAUUUAAUAUACAGUAAACAAACUGUGUCUAAUGGGUUGCACAAGCAUAUUCAUGACAAAGUAUUCAAGGAAGCGAAGCUUAUUUACAUGUGCGAUAACAUCAUGGCAAGUAUUUUAUAAUUUUGUAUCUACACUACUGCACAUGAAAGUAACGCAAUAGUCUCAUGCUUAAAGGUCAAAGAAGAUUUAAAAACUUACUCCCAUGGUACAUCUCCUACAAGCAUCCAGUCACCAUCUUUAUCUUCAUAAGUGACCACAUAUUCAGAACCAUGCAGGAAGUCCUUCAAUUUACUCUCACUCAACAUUUCUUUCCCUGGACCUCCAUGCGAACCACAUUGACCUGAUGAGGUACAUCGAGUGUAGUAAUCCACGCCAAAGAUACAUUUCAGUAAGAAAAAGAUAUAUAAAAAUAGUGAUCACAAAACUCAUUUUAAGAUUCAUUAAAAGUAAAUUAAAGUUGUAACAGAUCACCUAAGGUAAAACAGCUGAACAUCUUCUCAAGGUCAGACGACAGUUCCUGGUAUGUUGUAUAGUUUCUUAGAUCUACCUUCCUAAGAUAAGGAGCGCCAUCCAUGCUAACCUUCACAAAUAGUGCAGCUGCACCAGGCUUUCCAUCCACUUCGUCAUUGUUCUUUGAAGUGGUGGCCAGUGAGUUUUUCCUAAAUGAUCUAAUAGGAGGCCAACCAACAACUUGUGCUCUGUCGUACAUAGAAAGUAAUUAGCAUUAUUACAAAGACAUCAAAAAAUCCCUUCUAAGGUAUUGAGUAAACCAUUGCUUUAGUCAUUGAAGAAUCACUCUCUUCUAUUUAGUCCCUAAACUAAAUCAAAAUAAUAAAUAGUCCUUAAACCAUCUGACAUCUGUCAAGUUAGUCCCUAAACUAUAUGAAAUUCGUCUCUUUAAUCCCUAGUAGCUCUUGUCAAUAUAUAAUAGCAAGAAUUACCGAUUAUUUCUAUAUAUUUUACAGACUAAGUAGAAGAGAGAAUGAUACUUAAAGGAAUAAACUGAAGGUUUAUUCUUAAUAUAUUUGUCCAACUAGAUUGUCCAGAAAAUAGUGGAUCCUUGAUGUAGCAUGUUCUACUUACUUAGCAGCCGGUGCACUGCCACUGAUGGGAGCUCCAGUUCCAUUCGCUGUACAAGGGCUCUCUUGUACCACCUUCUUUGGCAUUUCUUUAAUUGUAGUAGGCUGAGCUCCAGAAGGUCUCGGCGAAAGCAGUAUGUUUACGCGAGUAUUAGCAGUAUAUUUUGCCUGCAUCACAUAUUGUUAAGAAUCAGACUCAAAAGCAGUAUGAACAUCCAUUUGACCUUUUGUUAUUCAAAAUUGAUGUGCAAAAGCAUCCCUAUAGUUUCAACAAUCCCAUCUAGGUUAACAUCCCAGACACUAAAAUCAUUUGCAACACACCAAAAAUAUAUUAACUCUAGUAAAAGGAAAAAGUUUAAUUUUUCACCUCAGGAAACACUUCCAGUGUGUCGGCGAAACCUCUUUUGUUGCCUGAAACAACGGUCUUUUGGGACAACGAGCAGAUUCCAUCUUUAGUGGGAAGCAAAGGGAAAAGUGGUUUCUCGUCAAGUUUUGUUGAGUUCAACGGAAAAAGAUCAAGAUCCCUUUCAGGCGACUGAGAUCCAGGAAGUCCGAGCCUUAACUCCGUCGCUUUCAAAUUUAGGUUCUCUUUUUUCUCAUCAGACAAGCUUGGGACAGUAGAACUGUCAACCGAUGAGCAAUCAGACAAUCCGAGGUAAUUGCGUUCCUUCAACCCAGCUGCAGUUUGAGAAAAACGGUCCAAGGAUUGUGGAGAUGCAGAUGCUACCGUUGAGGGGUUGCUCUGCCCUUCCUCUUCAGGAAGCAGCAGUGGCGGAGACAUCAGAUUCCAAAUAUGCAAACUGUCAUAAAAGAAAGUUAUAAAAGCACAAUUCACGCAAUACAUUGGCAGAAAGAUUAAACAGACCGAAUUUUUACACUUCAUAUAGGACGAACAUGGUAACCAUUUCAUCUAACUAUGAAUGAAAUAAUAAAAGUAGGCUAGCACAGACUAUGUAGCACUAACACUUCAAAUUAAAAGUGUUUUUGGCGUCUGACAACGACACACCUCGUUACCUUCAGUUAUUCCAUUUUGUCAAAUUAGUAAAAUGAUGUCGCAUGUUAGUGUUAGUGUUGUGUCCGGUGUUUGACCCAAUUCUUCAUAGUGCAAAGACUAAAUCAAGAUUAAUAAGAGGGCAUCCAAUUGCAUGUGAACACUCUUAGACAAUGUUUAGAAAAAGGGUUGCAAUUACAAUCUCGGCUGUGACAUCAAGAUAUUUAAUAUCUGUGCAACUGCGAUUGAUGCUACAUCAGCCGCAUUUAGCCGUGAUUUUCCACAAUAUCAAGGAUUGCAAAGACAACCACGUUUUAAAUCUCUGCUUUUGGAUAUAGUAUAUAUUAUUAUGUAUGUAUCAACCUCUGUAGCAUCGACACUUUUGAUCGAAGGCGUCAAUGUCCCUGUCGGACAUGUAAUUACAUUCAAUCGUAUCAUUUUUUCAAAUUACUAUCAGUGUCGACGUGUUAGUGUCCGGUGUGCAUCAGUGCUCCAUUGGUUUUUCAUCUAACUAAUAACUUUAGAAGUGAGAGCAGACAUUUUUGAUUUAUUAAUUAAUGGUCAAGUUUGGUUUUUAUAGGAACCUAUCAUUUAUCAUCUAUGAAUGAUUUUAUCUCCAAGAUUAGUUCUUCUCACCCUCUCACACGGAUCAAAAUAACAUUUUUACCCCCUAACUUUCACACUGAUCAAAAUAUAUAAAUAAGUCUUUUUUCAACAAAAAUAUUAUAAUAAAGCUCAUGAAAUAAUAUUCGAACGCUUAGAAAUGGAAAAUACCCUUCAUUUUUUAAAAUCGUAAUUAACAUGAAAAAAUGCGUUGUACCAAAAAAUAAAAAAAGUAAAAUGUGAAAAAAUGAAAAUACCAUGAAAAAUUUGGGAUUUUUAUUUUGCAAUAAGGAAACCCCAACAUAAUCUAAGUAAAAUUUAAUAGCCCCAUAUUAAGCAAUAAAUUAAACAAAAAAUCAACUUGCAAGAGGAAAAAAAGUAAAUUUAUAAAAAUAGAUCCACACCCACCUUUUUUCCAAAUUAUUUCCUUCAAAUAAAAAGAAAAACAAAAAAAAACAAAACUUUUGCUAAGGAAUGUGAAUGAAAAAACUAAGAAACAAUAACAUAAAAGACACAAACAUAAACAAACCCGAAAGCAAAAUAGCUAAAAACAACAACACAAGAACAAUUAUUGUCGAAAAAAAAAAUAAGAAUAAAAUAAAAUAAAAAAUGAAGCAUAGAAGUAACAUACCUGUGAAAAUGGAAGGUUGGUGUAGAAGGCAGAAGAGAGAAUGAAGAAGAAGAAGAAGAAGAGAGAGAGAGAGAUUAUUCCUUGUUGUUUGAAGAAUUGGCAGAGUGAAGAAGAGUGAAACCUAAAGAGCAGAAGAGAGAGAGUGAAGUCUAUUCUACUCAAGGGCCUUCCAUUCCAUUAAGCACAAAGCAACAAAAAGUGUGCUUUGGAGUGUGUAUAAUAUACAUACUCAUAAAAUAAUUUUACCUUUUUCAUCAUAAUACUAAUAUUAUAUUCAUUUUAAGGGGACAGGGGCAAAACAGACCAAACAUCUUCUGUUACCGUAACAACUUCCACACUUUCAUUUCUUUACUUUUAAUUCCAAAUUCUUUUUAGUCUCCUUAAAUACGUCCUUAGAAGUAGCUCAUUAUCCUUGCUAUUGAAAUCAAGCAACUUGAUAUCAAUUUCACUUUAAGUUUAAAAAGAAAAAUUAGCUUAACUAACUUAAAAAUAACCCUAUUAUUUCGGUACCAGAAAAUUGACUUUGUAUUUUUUCCUUAAAUUCCUAAAAGAAAAGAAUUACGAUAUGAAUAUUUAUAUGUCUGUUUUUUCUUCUUCCUUUAUCAUCUAAAAAGUGUAACAAACUAAAUGAGUAUAUUUAUACUUACUUUUUUCAUUAUACCAAUUAUACUUUAAAACAAUAUUUUCUAUAAUAAAGAUUGUUGUUGAUGUCAUUAAAAAAAGAAUUUGGAUUUUUUUUUUUGUUAUAUUGUUGGUGUCAUAAAAAUAGAUAAUCAUGGUUAAUUUGGUUUGUUAUAACUUGAAAGCAACAAACAUCUAUAUUUUUAGUUUUAAUCAAAAUCAAAAUUUCAUAAAAAAAAACACUGUUUAUAAUUUUGAAACGUUAUCGCAAUAAAAAGAGCGGAAAGACAGAUACAUUGAAUGUCCGUCUUUUCGCUAGUUAUUUAUAAAGAAAAUGAAUAUUCUUUUAUGUGAUUCCAAGUAUCCUAAUUGAUAAAGGUACUAACACAGGUCAUUGCAUUGUAUACUCCCUCCGGUUGCUAUUAUAAACAAAAUUUAAUUUUUCAGAUACAUUGAAUAAUUAAUGUAUCAUGUCCAUAACAAAGACUAGAUACAUUAAUUAUUCAAGACUAGAUAUAUUUAAGUGAAGGGUGUUUGGGUUGAGUUACUAAUUUAAUACUCUAAGUUAAGUGAACAUGUAGUUUGACUUAAUUCAGGUUGCAGUAUAAAAAUCGUAAACUGAACUGAAUCGCAUUGUUGAAUGAAAAAUUGACCUAAAUACCACUAAACUAAACAGAAGUUUUGCACUUUUUUUUAUUGCGGUUUUCUAUUGAAAUGGUUUGAUUUUCGACAUCCCAUGAAUUCCGAAAUUAAACAAUGAUAAAAGAAAAUUUGGUAUGUUUUGUCAAAAUAAAAAAAAAUUGCUAUGUCUUCCUUUUUUUUGGUAUGUUGUCUAUAAAAAAAAAAUGGUUAUCCCCGUGAUUAUCUUUUUCCUCCAAGAAAAAUAAUUACUAAUUAGAACUCCAUCCAUUCACUCUUAUCUUUUAAGUGUGAUUUUGUAAUUUUUUACACGUACCAAAGAUAUUUAAUAAGUAUGGUUAAUUUUGAUAUUAUCAUUUAUAUUUUACCUAUAUUAUCAUUAAUCAUUUAUAUUUUAUUCCAUCUAAUUUUCUCUUUGUAAUAAAUUGUAAGGGUAUUUCCCUAACAAGUGGCGAUCAGUUUGAACUCUUCAGAUCAAUCAAUCCUUGAAUCAGAUACCAAGUUUAAGAAAAAUAGUAAGGGUAUUAUUGAUAAGUUAAUUAUUAAUAUUGUAUUGAACUUUAAAAAUGACAGUUAAAAAAAAACAAAAUUUUCUUUCAAAUAUGACACUUAAAAAAGAAACGAAAGGAGUAAAAUAUUUUAUAUAGAUCAACGAGGAUUAAGACUAGAAGAAGGGGUUAGACCGUCACAUCAAAACAAAUUAUGACUUAGAGAUAAGGUCGCAAUUAAUAAAAUUAUGGCUAAAUUGAAUUUUUGGUCCCAUAACUAUUUUGCUAGUAUCGCUUUGGUCCCUUAAUUAAAAUUUGAUGUAUUUUGGUAUCUUAAUUUUCUAUCGUUACACAUUUUGAUCCUUUAUGUUAGUUUUAAUUCAAAAACGUUAGGUUUUCUUAUGUAAUUUUUCUUGGAUUUUUGUUGUUGAAAGGUUGAUGGAGAUGAUAUGAAGAUGAAGAAGAGGAGAAGAAGAUGACCCUAACGUUUUUGAAUUAAAACUAACGUAAAUGACCAAAAUUUGUAACGAUAGAAAGUUAAGAUACCAAAAUAAAUCAAAUUUUAAUUAAGGGGUCAAAGCGAUACUAGCAAAAUAAUUAAGGGAUCAAAAAUGCAAUUUAGCCUAAAAUUAUCUACAAUAUGGAACAUGAGAAAAAAAUGUCAUAUCUAUUAUUUUAUGCAACAUUGAUCAAAGAGAAUUAGUUCAUGGAGGGGUAAAAAAACAGUGCAAAAAGUUGAGAAAAAUCAACUCUUAAGUUAUUAGAAAUCUCACAUCUAGUAUAUAAAAGUGUUCGAUGUGAUAUUUAAGUCAUGCGACUCUUUGAUUUAAUGUUCGAUUUUUGGUUUGUGUUCUCCUCGCACGCCUAGGUCAUAACAAUCGAUGACUUCAUUGAGAGGUAGACCAAUGAAAGAGCAACAACACAAACAAAAUUUUCUUUCAAAUAUGGCACUAAAAAAAGAAUCGGAAUGAGUAAAAUAUUUUAUAUAGAUCAACGAGGAUUAAGAGUAGAAGAAGGGGUUAGACCGUCAUAUCAAAACAAAUUAUGAGUUAGAGACAAGCUCACAUUUAAUAAAAGGGUCUUGUUAACGAGUGCCCCCGAGACACUCUUUAAGCAUCCCAAAUUUAACAAUAAUUCUUUUAAAAAGUCAACUAUUACAAUUUCCAAUGCAUUCAAUACACAACUUUUCAUUAAAAACUUUCCAUUUAAAGGUGCUUAAAGAGUGUAAGGGGAUACUCGUUAACAUUUCCCUUAAUAAAAUUAUCUACAACAUGGAACAUGAGGAAAAAAUUGUCAUUUCUAUCAUUUUAUGCAGAAUUCAUCAAAGAGAAUUAGUUCAUGGAGAGGUAAAAAAAAAACAGUGCAAAAAGUUGAGAAAAAUCAACUUAAAGUUAUUAGAAAUCUCACAUCUAGUACAUAUAAAUGUUCGAUGUGAUAUUUAAGUCAUGUGACUCUUUCAUUUAAUGUUCGAUUUUUGGUUUGUGUUCUCCUCGCACGCCUAGGUCAUAACAAUUGAUUUCAUUGAGAGGUAGACCAAUGACAAAGCAACAACACAAACACAAUUUUCUUUCAAAUAUGGCACUUAAAAAUGAAACGGAAUGAGUAAAAUAUUUUAUAUAGAUCAACGAGGAUUAAGACUACAGAAGAAGGGGUUAGACCGUCACAUCAAAACAAAUUACGACUUAGAGACAAGCUCCCAUUUAAUAAAAUUAUCUACAAUAUAUAGAACAUGAGGAAAAAAUUGUCAUUUCUAUCAUUUUAUGCAACAUUCAUCAAAGAGAAUUAGUUCAUGGAGGGGUAAAAAGAACACUGCAAAAACGUUGAGAAAAAUCAUCUCCGAAAUUAUUAGAAAUCUCACAUCUAGUACAUAAAAAUGUUCGAUGUGAUAUUUAAGUCAUGCGACUCUUUUGUUUAAUGUUCGCUUUUUGGUUUGUGUUCUCCUCGCACACCUAGAUAAGGUCAUAACAAUUGAUGAUUUCAUUGAGGUAUACCAAUGACAGAGCAACAUCUAAACUUUGAUUAAAGUGUUCAACCAAAUAUUGAUAUCUAUGUGAAGUCUCCAUAAAUAAAAGAGUUAUCAUCCAAUCAAUGUCGGUUGACGGAAAGCCAUCAUAAACACCGACUCUUAAUGUUAAAAGUCCGACAUCGAUUACAUGAAAAUAUUUAAUGUGAUACUUUAAUUAGCUCAAGUUCUUCCACAUAAGGAACUAUUCUUUUGGUUCCAGACUCUCCCCAUUUUCUUCUCUAAAAAAAAAAAAGACUCUCCCCAUUUUCUUAACAAAAUCACAUGUGGAACUAUAACAUCGAUCAUUUUCAAAAUGACCAUUAUUAUUUUCGGACGUCCUUUUUCAUGCUCAAAAUAUCAUAAUGAGUGAUACCACAGUCGAUGUUUGUAGGAUGUUGACAUUUGACAUGCAUAUGGGAAAAGGGUAUAUAUUAUAACAAAAAUGUACUAUUAACUAUAGAGUGAAAUUCAAGCUCUGCCAAUAUAUCAUGUCCAACCAACAAGAUGCAAAUAGUGUCACUCCAACUCACACGCAAUUAAGAAGAAAACUAUGAUCUCAAAUAUUGAUUCUUGUUUGUUGGAGGGUGGUGGGGGUGACCCUCCCUGGCCGUAUAUGGAAAGAGAUAUUAUGCAAUAUUGCAAUGCAUGCAGAGAGAGAGAAGAAGAGAGAGAGUAACCAUUCCAAGACAUAUUUGCUGACAUGAAAUGAUUAUACUUUGCAAACCAAAAUCUUGGCCCUGCCAGCUACUACUACAUAACAAUAAUAUUGUCAACUAUAUAGACAAAUUCUAACUCCCUGUCAAAAUAUACGUCGACCUAACUAAAUUAUGGACCGUGUCUCCUAUUCAUGGUAAAUGCAGUAACAUUUUUUGAAAGAAAUUUUAGUGAAUAUAAUAUUUUUACGUACUACGUUAAGAAUAUUAAAUAGAUUUACAUGCUACUCCUAAUAAUAACAAAUUAUUAUGCUUGCUUGAAUUUUUCAAAACAAUGGGAAUAUUCUUGUAACCGAAAUAUACUUGACAAAUAUAGACAAAAAUCAUUCAAGGGAUUGAUUUUAUUGAAUGUGAAAACCAAUCUCAAGAGGACAAUAAAACAGGCAAUGAAUGGCACUGCAAGGGAAGAUAUGAUGGCCGCAGGCAACGUUUAUAUCAUGACUCGUCUAAUCAAAUUAUGAAGACCACUGAAAAAGGAGUACUAAAUUAGAGCUAAUAAUGUCUGGUGAAGUGGUGAUGAUUUACAUAAAUCAUACAUAUAUUGGGGGAGGUUAGGUUAAUCAAUGCCUUAGGAUAUUGAUUUACAUUAUAUGAAAAAAAGAUAUUGAUUUACAUACAAAAAAGUAUUUUUUUCUAUAGGCAACAUCAAAGUCUUUUUUAAAUGGAUGUAUGAAAAUUCACUUUUAAAUAAAUUAUAUUAGUAUUUGUUAUAAAAAUAAUAAUCAUAGUAUUCAUAUUUGUCGAAAAAAAUUAUAGUAUUCAGAUUAAUAUAUAUAUAUAUAUAUAUAUAUAUAUAUAUAUAUAUAUAUAUAUAUAUAUAUAUAUAUAUAUAUAAACAAAUUAUAAAUAAUAUAGAUCAGUAGUAUAUCUUUAUUCUUUAUCCAUUUUUGAAACAUUUAUUUAUCUUCUAAAAGUAUAUAGUAUAAACUUCAACAACUUAUGUAUGGUUUGGAGGUCUUUCUUUUUUUUCUUUUUCCUUCCUAAAUCUUAACCGUCAACAUUUUCCUUCUUCCCGAUCAAUUAAAUAGAGGUGAUUUAGAGUCAAUUUUGAUCUAAAAUCACCUUCCAAUUUUUAAAAAAAAGUUAAAUAAGUGAUUUAUACAUAUUUUUAGUCUUAUUUCGUUUGUUUUUGUGAGUUCACCGUCUUAACACAAUUUUGUUUGUUUUGAUUUCUCGUAUUUGUGGUAUAUGUUUUUGACUUCAUGUCAUAGGUGUUUACUUGAUUCAAAUUAAAAGAUUAAUUUUGAUCAAAUGUAGAUCCAAUCAAUAAUUUUGGUGCCACAACGUUGCAGGUCCACAAGAUAAUAUUGUAAAAAAAGAAUAAUAAAAGUAUGAAUAUACAUUUAACGUCACUUUUUUUUAGUAUAAAUAUUUAGUGUUACUUGCUUCCCAAAAAUCGUAGUUACUUCGUUGACGGUACAAUUGAGCCUAUAACCGAGAGGAAAAUGUUGUUUAGACAUUUACAUAUUAAUUAAACAUUUUGUGAGAGAGUCUUAUGAGUUUAACUCAGUUGAUAAAAAACAUUGUAUAAUAUAUGCAACGAUUGAGAUUCAAACCUAGACGCUACAUUUAUUUAUCUUAAAAUUUGAAUUUCUAGUCACUAAAUUAUUUAAUUGAAAAAAAAAAAAAAAAAUCUUUAGCAAGUGAUAAAUAGAGAGAAAAUGUGAUAUUUUGAUCAUUUGAUAGAAAAAACAAAAUGAAAAAAAAAGUGAUAUCUUGAAUGAAUAUUAGAGAGUUAAAGUGGCAAAAUAAUAUACCAUUGUUAUUUAUUUUUAUUUUUUUAAGAAACCAAAAUGAAAUAUUACUCAACAAGAGUUAUUCAACUCGCACAAGGUGUGCAGAAGAGAAGUACCCAAAAAGAAUAUAAAGUUAAGAGUCUGUAGACAUAAAGCACAACGAAAAUAAACCAGAAGAAAACUACUCCCUAACACACGUACAUAAUAAAGGAUGCCGCCAUCAGUCAUUAUAACUGAAAGCAGAAGUGAGCGACCUAGCUUUUAACCAUAAAAAAGACAUAAACUUGACGUAGUCUAAUAACUUGACCAAAUCAUGAGCUUUUUUUGUUAAAAAUCAUGUUGUUUAUUUCCUUCCAAUUAAUCCAAACACUAGCAUGCUAGGUCACUUUGAGGAAGGAGUGAGUAAAUUGCGGUAAACCCGUCAAAUGACAAAGUGAUGAAGAUGAUCGCCAACCGACUCAGGAGAUAUGAAAGAAAUAUCAAUCCACUGAUAAAUAAGGUGCCACGAGCUACCAAAGAUGUCGCAACGGAAAAUGAAAUUAACCGCCGUCUCCGAGCAGUCGCACCCUCCAACACAAGCGGUGUCGACAUGAUGAAGGACUCUUAUGCGAACAGGGAUGGCAAAAAAUCCGCACCCGCGGAUAAAAUCCGCCACGGACACAGAGCAGAUACUUUAAUGGAUAUCUAUGGAUAAAAUAAACGGAUAUUUUAACUACCCACUAAUUAAUGGAUACGAAUGCGGAUUUAAUAGUAUCCACACCCGCAGAUAUCCAUAUUCGCUAUUAAACCAAGUAAAUUACAUAAAUAACCUUAAUACCUUUCAACUUCCUAAACAAAAAUCCUCGGUACUAUGAGUGUUAUUAGUUAUUACAUGACUAUUCAAAUAUGUGCUUUGCAUGGAUAUUAUGUUUGAGAAAUGUUAGCAACACUCUCUUUUGAGCAUUAUUUCUAACAUUCACAUUUUAUUGGGUGAAAUCAAUGUAGGACCUAUACUUUAAAAAUGGAACCCACAUAAAAUGGUGAGACAUAUAUUGAUUUCACCCAAUAAAUAAGUGAGUGCUAGAGAGAGCGUUGAUAGCAUUUCUCAAACAUAAUAUUCAUGCAAAGCACAUAUUUGAAUAAUCAUGUAAAAUACAUUCACUUUAAAUACAUUUCACUUUAAAAUUGCAAAAGUUAAGUAAUUUUAUAAAUCAAGCAAACGAAAUAUAAAGUUUAAUCCCUACAAAAAAUAAAUUGAUAUAAAGUUUAAUCCCAAAAAAAAUUUGAAAUAAGCAACAAAAUAUAAAGUUUAAUACCUAAAAAAUUUGAAAUUUAUUUCUUAUUCUAAAAUCAAUUGAUAUAUGGAGUAUAUAGUAAGACUAAUUUUUAUGACAUCAAAAUUUAUUUACUUAUAAAAAUAAAUUACAGUACUUUGAAAACUUUAUGUUAGGUAGCUGGCACAGUAUCAUCAUGCUUCGUACUGUACUGUUAUAUGUAUGAUUAUGUUAGUCAAACAUUAUUAAAUGAAGUUAAUGAAAGGGGUGAGGCAAGGUGAGAAGGGAAAGCGAUGAAAAAGGGAAGGGAUUUGAGUCAAAUGUAGAAAUGAAACAAGGGAAAAAUAAAAUAAAAUAAAAUAAGUGAGUGGGUGAAGAAGGCAGAAAGGAAUAAAGAUAGACACAGAGGAAAAGAGGGAUUGGUUGGGGGACAAGAAAGUGCCAAUAAAACUGAUUUUGCCGGAUGGUGGCCUAGACAAGGGACCUCCCAUUUCAUUCAUUAUUCCGUGUCCAUCAUUACUACUACUUACUACUCUUUUCUUUUUUAGUUUAUCAAAGUAACUAUCCUCCCUAAUCUCUCUAAAAUAAAUUAGGAAAAAAUGUUAGUGAGUAAAGAUUGGUUCUUAAUGCAUUGAUUACGUAAAUAUUUUAAAAAUCGUGGUUGAGUUUAACACAACUUCAUAAAACUGGUUUAUGAGAUGAGAAUUACCCUCAUUUAUAAACAUAUUGUGAGGUUAUAUCUUAUUUGAUUUGAGACUCUUUAACACACUCCUCACGCUCAAGAUUGGACAUCUUACCAUGGACAUAAGUGGUGGGCGGUUCGAUAAUGAAAACCUGAUAGCAGGUGGCCCAACAGAUCUUGGAGGAGGAUCUGAUACCAUAUUAGAAAUCGUGGUUGGGCCUAACACAACCCCGCCAAAUUGGCUUGUGAGGUGAGGAUUGCCGCACUUAUAAACACAUUGUCAGACCAUCUCAUAUCUUAUGCGGGACUCUUAACACACCACCUCAUGACUAACACUAUUGGGCUUGAUUCGUGGACAUAAAUGGGGUGGCCCGAUAGCAGGUGGCCCUAUAAAUCUUGAAAAGACUGAUAUCAUCUUAGAAAUUGAGGUUGUGUCUAACACAACUUCCACAAAACCGACUUGUGAGGUGAGAAAUGUCCCCACUUAUAAAUACAUUGUCAGACUAUCUCUUAUCCGAUGUAAGACUCUUUAACAAAAUAUUUAUAAAAAUUUACUAUUUAAAGAUCUAAAAGAGUGCUCUGGAGAUAUACAUUAUCAUUUCCCUUACAGAUUUUGUUAACGCGUGUUUUAAUUUAAGUAUAAUAUUAAUUUCUAUUUUCUAUUUGUUUAAGUAUGAACCAAUUUAGAUAAAGAAAAUGACUCUUACAUUAAUAUAAUAUUGUAGGUACCAAAUAAUUAAUAUAAUGUUGUAGAUAUCAAAAGAAUGUUAUGUGAAGUUUUUUUUUUUAAGGAAAAGAAUGGUAUGUGAAGUUGAUGUGUUAUGGAAGUGCACGCGAUGAUAAAAAUGAGUUUUAUUAAAUUGUUGUUUAAAAUAUAUUUGAAUGAAGUUAUUAUUUUUCUUCUUAACUCAUUAGAAAACGUGGUUGUCGAUUUCUUCACUUUGAAAAUAAUCAAAUAUGAAGAAUAAUUUUUUAUUAGUUUAUUUUAAUAGUUUUCUUCAAGAUGUUAUUUUAAUAGUUUAUUUUGAAAACAAAAAAACCUCAUUUUUCUACGGGAUGAAUAUUUUGAAAUAAUGUCUCGGAUCAAAAUUUAGGAUGUUAUAACUAUCAAAAUAUCCAUGGUUUCAAUUUUGCAAUGUUGGAGAAACAAUGUUGGAACUCUAAACCAACCUGAAUGACGCGGUCUUUCGAAUUUUUAAAGUUAAAUACUUUCCGAAUGUGGAUAUUUUAGGAGUGCCCUUGGGUAGCAUAUCAUAUGGUUCUAUCGAAUAUUGUUGAAGACAGGUUACUCGUGGAGAAUUGGUGCUAGUUCAAGUAUUCCAAUUUAGCACUCUCUUUGACUCUGAAAUGAGGCGACUUAUAUUAAGUCAACUCCAACAAUUCAACAUGCAGCGAUUGUCACUGUAAGUCAUUUAAUUGAUCCUCAAUAUGGGUCUUGGAAUGAACUGUUGAUUACGAAUAAUUUUAAUUUGAGGGAUGUUGAUGAAAUCCUUAAAAUUUCUUCACUUGAUCGUGGGCAAAAUGAUGCAAUUAUUUGGAGGUUUGAUAAAAAAAAAAAAAAAGGUGUUUAUUCGGUUCAAAGUGCAUACCGUGUUUGUGUAGAUGUGUUGAUUAAUAGAGAUGAUUGAAAAGUAGAGGAUGAUUGGAAUAAGUUAUGGUCUUUGCUGAUUCCUUUAAAGGUUAAGCAUGUUAUUUGUUAAGGGUUAAGUAUGUUAUUUGUUUAUAAAUGUGAUCGGAUGGAGUAAAUUUGUUAAGGAUUCGAAAUAGGAAAUAAUUUAUAAGUUUUUUGUAGAAAAAAAAAAAUCAUUUUUAAAGUUCUAAUGUGUUGAAUACACAAUUCUUCAAAUAAAGUUUCUUUAUUUGACAUCUUAACAAAUGUCCAUAAACACUUGUUAACAUUUUUCAAUAAAUUCUUCAAAAAAAAAAACAUUUUUCAAUAAAUUAUUUCUUUUCGUCUUAUAUACAAAACUUUUAUUGACAGUAUUAUACUCCUAGUUUAUCCUUGAUGCGUAGAUUCAUUUAAUAUGACUUUUAAUAUUCAAAAUAAACAAUUCUACUUUUAAAGUAUUAAUAAGAGAUAUAUUUAAAAAUAAAUAAAUAUAUGUAUUCUGAAAUUUAUAAAUGAUCUUAUAUUUAUAUUUAGUGACACCCAAAUGUUUCAAUAGUGUUUUAUAAUUAGGGUGGAGGGAUUAUAAGCAAAAGUUAAUUAAGUUAAACAUGUUAAAAUUUUAUUUGGCAAUAUCAUAUCUUGAGCUUAUAGCUUAUAUAAUAAUUUUUUUUUUCACGAGUUUUUAACUUAUUUUGAUAUGUUUAUUCAAUUAGCUUAUAAUUUAAUUUUUUUUUCCAAUUUUAUCUUUGUCAUCUUACUUGAAAAAAAAAUUAAGUAUUUAUAAAGCAUACCUUUUUUUUAUGUCUUUCAUAUUUGAGCAUUGUUAUUUGAACAUCCAAAAAAACAACAAUUAUUUGACAACCAGUAUAAAAGUACAUGAUUUAUAACUAGUGAUGUGACUAUAAGUAACUAAAAAUUGAAACAGUACUUAUACAAUAUAAUAGAAUAUGGUGUCGGAGGACCAAAAGAUUGUCAAGAUAACAAUGCUCUUGAUAGUUAUAAGCUAAUUCAACCACUAAUUUUUUUUUUUUUUGAUAAGGCCAAAGCAUAAUAACAUCAAGAAAGAGAAUCUGUGAUUUCUCAACUAUACUCUAAUCUUGUGUUAAGAUCUCAUAAAUAUUAUUUUAAAAAAAAAACAGGGAGAACAUAAACCUAACCCAGUAAAAACACACAAACAUGCAGGACAACCCAAACGAGCAUUACAAACAUUUUAAGCCAUGCAUAUAAUCCAACCUCCAAUGAUGAAUCCUAAAUAAACCAUGGUCAACUAUCUGGUGUAUGAACCAACCGUCAACACAAAAUUGUCCAAGAACCAACAACUCCCUGCAGUGAGGCAACAAUCAUCAUCGACUCUUUCGAAUCCAAUUAGUUCAAUGUCAAUCAUACGAAUGACCAGGAUUCCAAAGCAGUCUGAAGUCAGCCACAAGGACUGCGACAGAUAUUCAAACAACAUCGAUGCGUCACCAUAUCUUUGAAACCUGCAGAACUCAACAGUUCCUUAUAAUAAUCUGAGAAAUCAAAGGCAUGACCACACAUCAAAUACCAAUAAGCAAAAUUAACCAAAAUAACCCUAAAGCUUUAAAAGAGUCAAAUUUAAAACAUCGGAGAAUAAACAAUCCGCCAACACGAAACAUACCCAUACACCACAACUCUCUACUUCUAACACGAAAACACUUAGCUCGUGACCGUUUUGAGUCUUGCCGUCCGAACAACCGAGUCAAUGGUCAGAGCUCAAAACCACCAAAACAAGGCAGAGAACCAAACCAUAUCGUACAAAUUCAAGAUCAAUAUCAGUAACAACACACAGACGCGAAUGACCGCGUUUUUGAAACCCAUAACACCACCAAUAGCCACCGUCGUCGUGAAAGAGGCGGUGCUAUAUCAAUAACAACAAGGCGCGAACAAUCUCCAAGAAACCGACCCGCAAACCUUCGAACAUACCAUAUCCUAAUCUAGAUCUGAACAAAUAACUAUCCAUGAUAGGAUCUGAAACACCUGGAUCGAGCAACAAAUAGAUGCACAAACCAGAUCAUAAAACAUAAACCAAAUCCAAAUCCAAAGCAAAUUCAGAUAGAGAAAUCCAAAAUAACAAGAACACAACCACUUUAGAGGCAGUGUCAUCGACGGAAAAUAGACCCUUGACAUGUGGAACGACCCCGAUUGUGGUUUGAUGGUGGUGCAACUAUAAAAAGAAAGUGCAACACUGAAGCCGAAUAUCUAUAUCUUGAUUGUAACAAUUGGAUUUGAGGAAGGUGAGGGAGAGCAGAGCAGUGGAGGAGAGGUGUUGCGUUUUUAGGUUAGAGAGGGAGAGUCAAAACACAUUUUCCAACAAAAAAUAAUUCAUUCAACCACUAAAUUUACCGAACACUAAAUUCAAAGAACUAUUAUAACUGUUAUAAAUUAUACGUAAACUAGAUAAUAAGUUAUUUCUAUAAAUUCAUCAGCUAUCCCUUAUUUUUGGCCAAACAUAGCCUAAGAAAUGAAGUCCAUUAUGGACGUGUUUGUUUUAUAUUUUUUAAAAAGUCAACUUUGACGUUUUUGGAUAAGCUCUUUUAAAAAAUAUUUGAUUUUUAGGGCCCGUAUUUAAUUUGUACAACCUCUUCUUUUUAUUUUAAUCUAUAAAUAAAAGGGCCUGUAUUUCUUUUAUACACUCUCAAUUAAAUUAAAUAUAUUUGCUAAUUAGCCUAUAUUACCAAUAAAUUGGAUCACUGGAAUUAUAAAAAUAAAAUUAAAUGAGGGGUAGUCUUGAGAUAUCAUUUCCUCCUUCCCUAAUUACAAGUCUAACUUAAAAAAAAACGUUUUGUCCAUUAAUAUAAGUCUUUAUGAGAACUGCUUAUUUUAAGACUACCCCUUAUUGUUUAAAAAAAUCCCUUAUUAAUAGUACUAUUAUAAAUUUAUCAAUAGUUUUUUUUUUUUUCGAAAGAAAUUUAUCUUAAUAGUUGAAAAGUUAAAUUUAGACUCAUUAAAAUAAAAAGAGUACUUUUGUUUCAAAAAAUAAAAUAAAAAGAGUACUUUAUAAAAUCUACAUGCAAACUGGACAAAAAAAAAGUUAUUAUUUUCUCUAUUAAUAUAUAUGAAAAAUACAAAAUGUACUUAUAAAAAGUGACGGAAGAAGUGUCAUUAAAUAAAAGAGAAAUUAUUAAGUUUUAUGUUGAUAAGUGUCAAAAUAACGUUUUUUAUCAAUAUAUUUUAAUUACCUGUUAACUUAUUUUGCAAGAAACAUUAUUAAAACCUCCCAAUCCAUGUGAGUAUUAAAAUGUUAAGAUAAAUAUGAAUUUUAUUGUACUAUUACAUUUUUCUUUUAUAUUUUAUAGGUAAAUAGAGUAAAAAAUAUCACCUCCAAGUGUCCUCACAAAAAGCCGUCAUCAAAACUUUGUGUUUUGGUCACACUUGGUUUGAGAUCUAAUAAUUGUGUUGGUAUUUUUAUCAUUUUCUUUUGUUUUUCUACUUUAACCGUGUUCUAUUGUUAUUUUUAAUAUGAUUCAAGUUUGUACUUCACGUAUAUAAUAAAAUGUUCGAGAAUGACUCAUUUUGUUGUCCCCAUACUUUCAGGAAGGAACUUAUUGUGGUUAUCAUCAUAUAGUUAUAUAUGAAUUGUUUGAUCUCUGUUCAGUUGUCAACAUAUAGUUAUAUCUGGAUUGUCUGAUCUUGGUUCAUUUGUAUCUCCUCUAAUUCUAAGUGAUUGAACCAAGCUAAAAAGUGUCGCUCGACCAACGAUACUUGCGGAAAAGUAUUUUUUUUAGAAGCGUGAAGAGUAAUGUUCUGAUUUGUUUGUUGUGACGAUCAUCUUACACUCACAUAGUAUGUUCAAUAUUGUCGUUCUUAUUAACAAUAAUUUGUUUGAUCUUAAUUCCUUAACAAUUUGUCAUUUGAUAGAACUUUUUAACCACUUGAAUCAAAUUGCUUGAUUAUUAACAAUACUUGAUUCUAAAUGUUUAAGGAUAGUGCUCGUUAUCUAGUGUAACCUCAUGAUCAAGUUAUGCAUUGAUAUACUAUAGUGUUGAAUUCAAUAUUCUAUGAGCUAUUGUUUUGUCAAGAUAUUCUAUGAACUUUGUCAUGUUCAUCACACGGUAAUACAACAAAUAAUUUUUUUUUCUCGAAAUAAAUGUCUCAUGUUAUGCUUAAGAGUAAAAUACAAAUGCAGUUCUAGAUAUAAAUAUAGAACUAUUACUUUUUUUCCCUUAUUUAUUUCUCACGCGCCCUAUAAUUUUUAUAAAAAUGAACAUGAGAUUUUGAAUUAUAAAAUCCGAGCACAAUUUGGAUGUGUUCGGAUUAUAUAAUCCAAAAUAUGCUUAUAUAUAAUCAGCAAUCAAAAUCUCUCUCAUUCAGUAGUUUUGAAUUUUGGUUUUAAAAAAAACCAAAAAGUAAAGUAAAAUAAUGAUAAAACCUGUCAAAUAAAAUCAUAAAAAUAUAAACAUACCACCAAAAAACUCUAAAAACCAAAUGAAACUAAUGCUAAUUUUUCGGAGAAUAUGAUACCUUGAAAAAAAAUGAAAAAUAGGUCUAAACGAUAAAAUUUUGGAUUUUGAGGGGCAUAGUCCCGUAAGAAGACAUUCUACGAGAGUCUUGAUCCUUAAUUUUUUCUUUUUCUGAUUUUUUUUGGUGAAAUUUCAGAGCAAUUUGAUCAAGUAACACACUAUUUUUUGAGGUUUUCGGAUUAUAAAAUCCAAAUUGUUGAAAAACUCAUUUUUUUCACCCCAUAACAAAGGAAAAACUCAAUUCGGAUUAUAAAAUCCCAAAAUCACAUGAACAUUUUUGUAAAGAAAAUAGGACUUGUGAGAAAUGCAUAGGGUGGUAAAAGUAAUAGUCAAAUUAUAGGGCUUUCUUCAAUCCAGAAAGUGCCCAGCCCAAUUCGGUCUGUUUUGUUAAACUAUGGGCUGCACAGGUAGUUAGUCUAUUAACUUGCAUAAAUAUAGUAUGGGAAAUUCUACUCCCACCCCAUGCAUCUAUCAAAAUCAGCAAAAAGCCUUACCAAAAGUUGGAUUUUGGUAGGCAUUGUGAAGGAAAUUAAGGUUUCAAUAAACAUGUUAACCAUAGCUUCUACUUGGUGGGGGGAUUUCGAGCAUCAUCGGAGGUGGAAUGAGCUGCGCCCGUAUAGUACUACCAGAUGAAACGAUGGAUCCUGCAAAACCCAAAUCCUAGAAUAAGCACAAAAAGCCUUCUAUUGAAAUACAAUAUAAGAAUUUUGCCUUUUCCCCCCUCUAAACAAGUUUGGAACUCCGGAACAAAUUUUGUGUGUGUACGUUUGAGGAGAUAUAUCUCAAUCGUUGUUUUAUAGAAUUAAAGAGUAAAUAAAGUGGCCAAAAGAGGAUUCAUCCAAAUAUAAUUUUAGAUAUAACAUAUGUUUCUGUGAGCUUAGCUCAGUUGUUAAGGAUAAUGCAUAAUAUUUGCAAGGUCCGGGUUCGAACCCCGAACACCGCAAAAUCUUAUAUAACAUAUAGGGGAUUUCUAUUAAAAAUAUAAAAAUAGUGCUUAAGCUGACAAUUAAUAGUUACCGAUCCUUUUUUUGGAAGGGAAUAGUUAUUGAUCAUGGUAGAAUUAUUAGCAAUGUAUGUGUUUGGCGACAUUGGUUAUUGGUUUGCUACCUAUUAAUUCGAUUUUAUAUAUACCUAAGAUUAUGGACCAUUUCCUCUAAAAAAGGUUUAAGGACCAUUUAAAUAGUAAGUGAGAUAAUAUGGGUUAUCAAUUGGUAGUAAAAAAAAUCUCAAACUUAAACUAGGAAUUCACAUGAUCUGUUUGAAAACACUCCUUUCAAUCAUGUAAGUGUAGGGUGGAUGAUCAUAAUGAUCAACAAGAAAGAAAACAUAUGACCAUUCACGAGGGAGAUAUUCAAAUAAAGAUUCAUAUAGAAUGAAUAUAGAUUGAUAGAAGAUAAUGAAAAUCAGAAAAUGGUACAAUAAGUGCUCUUAUAUAUAAGGAUUAUUGGGAGUAACUAACUCUAACCAAGCUUCUCAAAGAUUCUAACUAACUAUAUUGUAAUAGUCCUCUUCAAACUAAAAAUGGGAAAUUUACCAAUUCGAAAUUGGAAUACAAUGAAAAUACAAUACAAAUGAAUGAACAAACAAAAUAGGUAAAAUGUAAACCAAAAAAAGGUUAUCAAACACUCUAACUAACUAAAGUGGUUAUCAAACAUUCAUUUUAAACCAUAAAAAAAUUUACAAAUUUUUAGUCCAUAACCAACAAGAGAGUUUCUAAGGUGUAGUCAGAAAUUUGACAUUUUUGAAAAAGUUAUUUUGUUUAGUCAAUAGUAUAAUUGUCGAUAUCAUGUUUGCUAAUGUCAUGUUGGUGGACCACUCUAAAACUAAGCUUUAUCUUAUUACAAAUCAGUCCUCAUACAAAAUAUAAGGGGAAUUUCAAUCUUAGUGUACAAAAGAGAAUCUAUGUUCAAUCUUAGUGUACAAAUGCUUAAUCUAUGUACCCAAAUAUUCAAUGAUUGGUCAUUUAACUUCACCAGAAAAGUCAUUUUCAUGACUUUAUCAUAGAAUUUUCCGACAAAUAGGAACAUGACAAAAUUCAUGAGAUAUAUAUUUCAAUCCGUUGGCAUGACAUUGAUAUUUCAAUACUUUAUACAAAUUCCAUUGAAGGCAAAUCCAUAGAUGAUAUUAUCAAAUCUAAUCAACUACAUCGUUCAAGUGACGUCUGUUAGUUCAUAUAAGUCUAAACAUCCAUCAUCAUUAUUUCAAUAAUUCACAUGUAUACACAAAAAUAGAAUAUUGCACUGGCAAUAGGCCACAAAGAUAAUGUGUUAUCAUUACUUAUGGAAAAGUAAAUUCGAGAUGAGUCAUUAUUAUUUAUUGAUGCUCAAGGUUUCAAUCUUUUUUUCAAUAUGCUUGUGAGUUGUGACUUGACCUAACAAUUGUAUGAAGAAAAGACAAACUUAACAGGCUAGUUUCAUGAGUUAGUUUUUUAAUAAGAUGAUGGGCAGCACAACGUAUCCUAAAGCCUAAGAGUCCGUUUGGUUCAACGGAGAGGAGAGAUUUUAAUGGAGGAGAAGGAAAGGGAGAGGAGGAGAGCGAAAAUAUUUCAAUUAAAUAUAUGUUUGGUUCAAAAAAGAAAAGAGAAUGGGAAAGAAGUAACACUGACUUUAUGCUCUUUUCAAGAUCGAUUAAGUUUUGACAUUUUAUGGUUAUUAAAGUUUUUGGAAAUUUUAGACCAAAUUUUGAUUUUUAGCUCAGGUUCUUGUUAAUGAAUUUUGUUUUAGGUUUAUUUGGUUAGGUUUCUGUUUCUCAAAAGAUAAUGUUCAAAUUUGAAUUUGGAUUCAAAUUUUGCAAAAAGUGUAACAUACUUAGUUUUCAAAACUGAUUAAUAAAAAUUGAUUUUAGUAACAGAGAUAUAGUUACAAAUACUAAAAGGAUGAAAAAUGAAAUACUAAAAAACUUGAGGUGUUACAAAUAUAGUUAACGUAAAAGCAAGUGAUAAUGUUUUAUUGCAAGAUUACUUAAUAUGAUUUUGGAAUCAAGGUGAACUAUAUAUCGUACUUGCAAUGAGUAUAAUAUUAAAACUAGGAUUUAAUAUCUGAUUUAAGUUAUGCUCUGGGAAUGAUCCUAUGAGUGUUACUUAAGUUUUUUGGACCUUCUCUUCUGGCGACUUACUCCCUAAGUUACCUAUAAUAGGGAAAAUGCAUAAAUUACUUUAUUAGCCGAUUAUUUUGACCGAAUAUUUUGUCUAAAGGUUCGACUGCUCGGGCCUGAUGGUUUUGGUGGAUAAGUAAGGGAGGAUGCCCUCACGGGCCUAGGCGGCUUGUCUAGGGCUAAUUGGAUAAUGAGAUCAGUUCCCACAUUUAUCUAUAUGGUCAAUUAUUUAAGAUACGUGUCCAAAAAGUGAGUGUUUUUUUUUUGUCAAGUAACAUAAUAACUAGAAAUUCACCUUUUUAAGGUGUCCGGGGUCGAACCCAACCCUUACAUAUAUUUUACGAUGUCCUUAUCAACUGAACUAAUAUCUCAUAAACAAGUGAAUGAGUCUUUGAAGAGUAUUGGUCUUGGCAUUCAACUUGAGGAUGAACAUAUAAGAAAUAGAAUACAUGAUAGUAAGGUAUUACAUCGUUCUGGUUCACACUUUGGGCACACAAAAAAUAACGGUGUUAUUGGCAUUGGUUUUGUCAAUGGAGAUCAUUUGGUUCAGGUGAAAUUUCUAACUUAAGUUUAGGUAUUGGUUGCAUAUAUAUUUGCAUAGUGCUAAUUUAAUUAGUUUUGUUUAGGUAAAAUAUAGGAUUAAUAGGCCUUUACCCCUGUAAUAUAAAUCACUUUUAGUUUUCUCCUGUAAAUUUUUUUUGUCAGAUUUCGUCCUUGUAAUUUUUUUUUGUUUUUGGAAUAACCCCUAGGCUAGCUGACUGUGUACUUUCGCUGAUGUGGCACGCUGAGUCACCUUUUUCUGAUGACGUGACGCGCUGACUGUAUAAUUUUUUUAUUGUGCACACGUGGCAUUUGUAAUUUUUUUUAUUAAAAAUAAAAAACGAAAAGAAAUCUUAAAAAAUACCGGAAAAAUAAAAAAAAAUCUGGAAAAAUUAAUAUGUAUCGAAAUUUUCGAAAAAAAGAUACUUAAUUAAGUUCCUGAAAAAUUCCAAAAAAGAUCAAGUUCCUGAAAAAAAAUUUGAAUUUUUUUUAAAAAAUUUUGAAAUAUAUUUUCUUAUUAUUUUAAAAAAAUUCGAAAUAGUUUAAGUUGUCGAAAUUUUUAUAAGAAGUGUUAUUUUUUAUUAGAAUUUUAUAAAAAAAAAGGUAAAAUUCAGGAAUUUAAAAUAUUUCAGGAACUUAAAUUCAGAUUUUUUUUUAUUAUUUUUUUUGACAAUUUCGAUAUAUAUUAAUCUUUUCCUUAUUUUUUUUUAAAUUUUUACAGAUUUUUUUCUAUUAAUUUUUCUAGAAUUCUUUCAUUAUUUUUCAUUUUACCUGAUUUUUUUUAAUUCAUUUUUUAUUUAAUUUUUUCCAGAAUUUUUUUAAUUUUUUCCGGUAUUUUUUCAGUAUUUGUUUUCAUUAUUUUUCAUUUUUAUUAAUUUUUCUAGAUUUUUUUUUAAUUUUUUAAUUAUUUUUUUAAAAAAAAUCACAAAGCCACGUGUACACAAUAAAAAAAUAAAAUAAUAAUAAAAAUUAUACAGUCAGCGUGCCACGUCAUCAGAAAAUGGUGAUUCAGCGUGCCACAUCAGCGAAAAUGCACAGUCAGCUGACCUAGGGGUAUUCCAAAACAAAAAAUUUUACAAUGACGGAAUCCGACAAAAAAUUUUUACAGAGAGAAAAUCAAAAGUGACCUAUAUUUUAGGGGGCUAAAAGUCCAUUAAUCCUAAAAUAUAAGCUAGUUAGCUAGAACAUUUGUUAAGCUAGUUUUCUUGAUAAAUGAAUAAAAUCCUAUUGUUUUAUUUUUUAAGGAAAAAUCCUAUUGUUUAACAUUAGUUUCAUGGAAUGACUUUCAUUGUGAUUAGUAAUAGACAAAUUGUAAUUUUAUCUGAAGUGAAUUUGAUUUGUACUAACUUAGUAUUACAUUAUCAACUGAGAUAAUUUGAUUUGUAUAUACCAAUACCAAAUUUCUUUCCGUUUGACAUUGGUAUCUCAACUAUAUCUUUCUUUGUAAUUAAUCUUCAUUGUUAUGGAACUUAUUUUUUAACUAUUCACCUUUUUGGAUCUUAAUUUUUGCCUUAUAGUGGUAGCUUGCCUGCUUGAUGAUACAUUUUAGUUCAGCAAUUGAUCAUAAAGAUGGCCAAGGCUAGGGUGGGAGAGCUUGAUAGGUCUUCCACCGUGGGAGAGUAAAAAGAUUUCUUUUCAGCCGUUGGAUAGUGAAAGUUCUAUGAUUACUAUCAUGCGCUAACAACACUAAAUACAUUUUAUCUCAUCUCACGUUUUCUACUCUCUCCCCUCUUGGUUCUUCCUUGUCCAAAUCCACCCUUGUAGAAAUCCACCCUUGCUCUGUUGAAGAUUUGUGGAAAGAAUCAUUAUGCUAUCAGCUAAGAAACAAAUCUAAAAACAUCUUUGUCACCCUUUCAUGCUCCCAUUAUUUUCGUCGCCCUUUAUUGCUCAUUCAUCAAUUGAAGAAAAGGAAACGUCUUUGUGUCCGAUUUUUUUUAGAGUUACUUUUAGUUGAAGUUGUUUAAUUGAAUUUUAAACAUUUCUUAUUCUAACUAUGGAACUUUCUUUGAACAUUUCAAUUGAAUUUGAAACUUAUUGUCAAAUUACCCUACUGUUACUUUCCAGUAAAGUUCAGAUUCAUACUUCUCUUGAAGAAACAAUUUUGCUUAUUUGAUAAUAUAUAAUGGGUAUCCAUUUGAAGUUUAGAUCCAUGGUUCUCUUGAAGAACCGUUUCUUAUUCCAACAAUAGAAAAAGUUCAAAAGAUUUUUGGCAAAAACUUAAGAACUAGAAAAAUUCUGGAAAAAUAAUGCAGUAAUUGAUAUAAAAUGGUUAUGUUGAGAACUGUGUUUGGAAAACAUUUCCAUGUGUUGCUGGAGAAAAAAAAACAGGGAGAGAAGUUGAAGGAUUUACAAAGGAGAGAGAACAAAAAUUGAUAGGGUGUGGGAGGGUGUACGAUGCACUUGCUGCUUUUUCACUCACUCACGGUGAGAGACCUAUUAAGCUCUCCCACCCUAGAAGGCGCCCAUAAAGAUUGACUGUGAUAACUAAUUUGAUAGGGCACGGGGAAUUACGACUCUCUCUUUCAAAUAAAUAUUUUGAGAAAAAUUUGAUUUAACAAAAACCGUACACUUCAAAGUGUAGCAAUUGUACAUAAUUCAUCACAUGAAAAAUGUAUUUGUAUUGGAAGAUAAUAGGUGUUUUAGUUAUAUCGUAUUCAUCGUAUUAUACUUUUCAAUUUUCAACACAGUGAGGUUUUAUCACUUUACUUAUUUAUUUAAAUUUUUGUUUAAAAAUUGAAUAUUUACACAAAAUCUUAGUAGUGUUAACAUGUAGAAAGUAUAAUAUUUUAAAAAUAUUAAGUUUGAAGUUUUUUUUUCUUUUCUUUUUAUCAAAGAACUAAAAUAUUAAAGAUAUAAGAUGUCUGAACCAAUACAACAUAGUCACGAAGUGGAUAACAUGUGAAAAGAAAAUCUAGAUUUAUUCCUUGAAAAGAAAGGUCCUAAGGAAAGAGGUGACUAAUUCUACCAUGGUACAGAAAAGCUAGGCAGAUUAUGACCAUUCUUGGCAAUAACAAUUGCUACAAGACUACCCUCUCUAUGAAAGUUUGUACUAAAUUAUUGAUAUUCCUAGCCAUGCUUUAGCGAUUGAACCAACUAUUUUAUAGUUGCCAAGAUAGCUUUUGAGGUAUCCUUUUGGACACAUGUCCUCAUUCCGGCUGAGUUAAAGUUAACAAACUUCACUUUGAUCACAUGCUUCUUCUUUUCUCUCUCUACCUUAGUGCUCUCAGAUAGACUUGGAUAAUGUUGUUCAAAGCAUGAAAUGUUGGCUUCAACAUUGUCCUCUUCCACCGUAAGUCUCUUGUCAUGUUGGCUUAGAGUGUCCUCCUUCACCUCUUCUACUUCAUCCCUCUAAAAUUUGGAAAGAAUCUACACACUCUUUAGGGCUGCAGCAGAAUGGAGAGAUGAUUUGGAAGCAGGAGCCAUGGUUUGGCAUGAAGGGAUCUUUUCACUUGUCAAACUAGCAUAGUUGGUAGUUACAUGUUGCGGCAUAGGAACAAUUUCAUAUUCAUUUGUCAAACUCAGCAGAAUGGAGAGAUGUUGCAGGCUGAUGAAAGGUAUUCAUAUUCAACUGUUUCUCUGUGGAUCCACCCACCAACUCAGAGGGCCUAACAUCAUCAGAAGCAGAUGCCUCUAGCAUAUUGGGGGUCACCGCAGAAGCAUCCACAUCAAGGGUAGUUUUGGGAGGGCUUAUGGCAUCAACAUACAUGCUUGCAUAAACCUCCAAAGCACCCAAAUCUUCAGAUAAAGCCUCACCAUCUAACUUUUUAUCAUCACUGCAAAGCACAUCAAAAGAGUUAUCGAGCAUAAGAUCUUGGUUAGCCAAGGUAUCUUGGUUCCUAGCAAUGUGUGUUGUUAUCAUUAGUACCAUGAGUAUCAAUUCUGACAAGGCUAUCAAUAAGCACAAACUCUUCAGUAUGUCUCAAAGUAUCAGUAGUAACUUCUUCUUAGAAAUUCAAAACUGUAGCUUGUGCAAUAUCAUGAGGGUCAAGUUGUUCAACUUCUACAGGGGAAGGAUGAUUCUGAUUGUCAGCCAAGUUACCAGUCCGAUUCUUGUCAGGACAAGAUCUUUUUCAUAAGGGGUUUCUUCUUACCAAAGUCCUUGUUGUCCUUAACAUGAUGAGUUGCCAUUUUCGUACAUUGCUGAAUGGAAUAGCCUAAAAUUUAUAGUGCGAGCAAAAGAGUGGUUGCCUUUCAUACUGAAACUCAACAGGGAAGUCAAAUCAUUCUCUUUCAACAAGAAUAAAAUCAAACAGUUUACCAGACAUAUCAACAUCAACUAGGAUUCUAGCAUAAAUUCCAAACAGCCUAGACUUAGUGGCAUCAUCAAUAAUCAUAAGGGUACCUACCCCAUAAACAAUUUCAAAAAGUUUUUGUUUCCUCCAAUAUUCUUGGGGAAGGUGCAUCAGCCUAACCCAUAUUUGAGCGUGUGUAUGCACCUUAGAGUGAGGAUUGAAAUCAGGUGACCAACAAAAAAACCAUAAGAUUCCAGGUUUAAGAUUGAUAACCCAUUGUCCUAGAAUUUUCCUCAUAUCCUCGAUUGAAUUAAAUUUGAACUCAAAGCAACCUUUUUUAAGUAGAACAACAUACCAAUUACUCAGAGAGGGCCAAAGUGAUUUCAAUUUGAGCUUUAGAGAUUGGGUUGUUAAGGGCGAAUCAUUUCUUUGCAAUGUGACUCUACCAUGAAGAUUUGUGCUACAAUCCCUAAUUCUAGCUUCAUAGUUAUCUUGGGAAAUGUUGAAUCUAACUUUGUCACCAAUUAUGGUUUUGGUAGGAAGUUGAGUUACCUAAGAUUCGCAAGAAGCCGCCACCGCCUGUGCAAAAGUUUUCAUAUGGUUUUCCAGCACCACUGUCGCCCACGGAGCUAGGAAAGGAAACAAGAAAAAAUAUGUACCCAUCAGAAGAGGUAGCAAGGGAGACAAGAAGAAACCCCAUCAAGCAAAGAGACCAAACCUUCACGAGAAGAGAGGAACUUCGCCGGAGAAGCAACACCCAAAAUAGAACCGCCAGAAAAGCCAAUGAACAAUGUAGAAGAGGAGAGAACAACAAGAUAGAAGAGAAAGGGUGAACAAAAUAAAGGAAAAACCAUCAUCGAAGCUUUAACAGAGAGUGGUUAAGUCACCAGAGCAAAACAGUUACGGGGAGAAAAGAGAGAAAUUUGGCGAUACAUUUUUUUGUUGAUUUUCUCAACCCUGGUUCAAAAGUAAACAAAUACAAUAAAAUGUAAUCUAAAAAAACAUGAUAUUUUAUAAUAGAGUUCAUCCAAUUGUUCUCAUGCAUCCGACCGUAUAGUGCUGCGAUAUAUUUAUCUUAUAAUUGGAAUUUUAGGGUUUACAUAAUGAAAGCUUAAUCACAUGUUCACUUAUGAAUAAACUAGAAAUCGUAUCCAACAUAAUGAAAUAUGGGGGAUGGGGAUGCUAAAUGUCCAUAUGUUUGAACUUCAGAUAUUUUAAGGUGUGAUGCUAGCAUGUGUGUUGUUUGUGGAAACUGUAAAUUGUGGUAAUCGUCCUUCACAAACUCAUGGACAACAAACUUUCCAUUCUUUGAACUAAGUGCAAUUCAUGCUUUGCAAUCAGUUCUUGUUUCAGCUGUAGGAUUCUUAACUAAAUAAGAUCUCUUGUCCGACAUCUGAUGACCCUGCUGUAGGUGACAUAAAAUUGAAAGUUGCAGAAGAUACAAAAUCGAUAGCCGAAGUAUGAAAAUUGGAGCCCGAUUUUUGCUUAAUUUUGAGACUUUCGUGUCGGCAAAAAUCGGCACUAUAAAUAUAAACCUUAUCAGAUGAAAAAUUAGUAGAAAAACAUGGUUUAGAAGGCAACAAAUAAACUAAGGUUUAUAGAGAAUUCUUUUGGCAACAAACACUAUGGUUAGAACUGUUGUUAUUCACCUUGAACAAAACACUAUUAGGAUAGAGACUCUUGGUCACGAGAAGAGAUUCUGGACUUUGGUAGAAUUAAGUUUGAAGGCUAAUUCUUGUAAUCCUAUGAUAUUUCUUUGUAAAAUAAACUUGUGAUUGUAGUGGAACGAAGAACUUCUUUCUCCCCCAAAGUAGGUCAAUAUUGGACCGAACUAGGUAAACACAUUCUUUUGUGUUCUUCUUCUUCUCUCCUCCUUACCGUUUAAUUUUUGCUUAAAUUAUAUUGUCAACCACUUGAUUUGAUUGUUUGGUUUAUUUUCUCCACACAUCAAGUUUUAUUGGUGUGAUUUUUACAACGAAUUCACAAAAGACCCCUUGCAACAAACAAACUUGCACGAUCUAAUGGAGUUGUCUUUAUUUCUUUUGUUGAAAUAAUCCUUUCUAACACCAAAGUCAGUUUCUUUACCAUAAUCAACCCAAAACUGCCAAGCUUAUUUGAAAAACCUAUCUAUUUUCAACACAAAAACAAAGCAAUUCACCAACAUAGCUUAUUUUAAAAUUACAAUACACACGUUCGUUCGUUUGAAAAACAUAUAGCAUAUAAAUAUACAUCAAUAGUUUUAUUUGAAGAUUGUUUAAUUUUUGAUAAAUACGUCUAGCAAGAUUGUUAUGUCAUGCAUCAUAUGUAAAUUUUUUAUUUUUAUUUUUAACAAAAUAUCUUCCCCCUCUCUCAUGUGAACCGUCGCCUACAACUCUAGUUUAUUCAAUUUCAUCCACACUAAAGAGGGAUAAUUUAGAGUUAAUUUUAGACUGAAAUCAUCAUCUUAAUCGAUUUUUCUUCUACUCUUUUAUUUAAAUAAGUGAAUUUUACAUAUAUUUUUCUUUCAUGAUUUCGUUGUCUUAGUGUGAUGUUGUUUUGUUAUUCUGCCUUUGCGCGACUAUGUUUUUCUUUAUUGUCUUGUAAUCACGGUGCUUGUUCGGUUUAAAUUGUCGAACUAAUUUCGAUCAAAUGCAAAUUCAAUUAAUAACUUUGGUGUUGUCAACAAUAACAUUUUUUAGGCAACCUACAUUAAAAUUAAAAUAUAAUAAGUCUAUAUUUCUGAGCAACAUACCUUAAGUUUCACCCUGUGAUUCACUAAUAUUAAAUUUAUCAAAAUAUGAAUAUGAUAGUACACAAUAAUGCACAAUAUGAAUAUUGUUCGGCACGUCAAGAGUUUCAAUUUUGAACUACUUCCUAGAGUUUAUCAAAAUUUUAAGUUUUUUAUUCACAAGAAAUCAAAGAAUAGCAUAAAAUUAUUGAUGACUUUAUCAAUUUUGUUCUUAUGGUUUUAAAAUAGCCCUUUACUUGAGAAAAUAACAAAUCCUCAAAGUUUCCAAGGAUUUAUCACUUGCUUGAUCGAUGAUAUUCCUUGUUGUGAGAACUUGGAGUACAAAAGCAAACGUGGCAUUCAUUUGAGACAUUUUCAGAUAGAAGAAGCAAAGAAUAAUUGGGCAUAAUAAAACCUAAAAUACUAAAAUUGCCAAAGAAGGUCCUAAUUAACAAAGAUUUAAGAUCUCCAUGCCUAACCUAAUUAACAAAGACGGUAUGAGUGAAGCUUAUUUUUUGUUUAAUUUUAACAAAACCACAUAGAAAAUGCCUUUUUUCAGCAUAUAUACUUCUAAUCAAGUGAAUGCUUUGGCAUCUUAAAUUAAUAUUUUAAAAAUUAAACUGAAUUAAAAACUAGUUAGUUAGAAUGUCACCCAAAAUAAAUUGGUUCGCAAGUUUUUUAGUUUGGAUAUUCUCCGCAUAUAACUAAAAAAAUAAUAAAUCAAGUUUGAUCUCUAAAAAAAUAUAUAUCAAAUUUGAUAUGAUUAGAUUCUCUUUCAAAGAAAAAAAAAAUUUCUCUCAAAAUUGUUAACAUCAUCACUGCAUUCACAACUAUGAAUUUGAAUCCAAUAUUUUUUAUUAAAUUAAAGAAAUUUGAAACAUCUCUUUCAAAUGGUCUUAAUUAGCUAAUUCAUAUAUUGGUUCAAUCUUUUAUUCCAUUUAUUAAAUAUUUUAGCAUUUUUUUAAUCAUUCAAUUUAGUCUUCUUGAAUUGUCAAACGAUUUUCUAUUUUACAAGUUGAAUUAUUCAACUAUGACUAAAAUAUCUUUUGCUUGAUUUUCGAUUCAAUUUUGAGAAUUUUAAGAUUUAAUUGUACUUUUUGUUCUCUAUGCUAAUGAAAAUAGUAUAUUUUUUAAUUGAAUUAUUUUAUCACUCAAUUAUUAAUAUGUUUGCAUGCAUCAUCAUCCUCUACCGUAGAAACUCAAUCUCCUUCACACGGAAGCACCGUAAACUACCACUUCAUAUCUUCACCGAACAAAUCAUAAAUAAAUAAACAUACCGAAAUUUCAAUCAAACUAAAAUCGUACAAUCUAACAAUUUUAACAUUAUAGUUGACCUAUAAUUUUACUGACAAGUGAUUCUAAUCCUUAUUUCUCCCCUAAGAAUAUUCUAAUUCUUAUAUAGAAGAGACAAAUGAUUGCCGCAUUAGCUCGAUAUGUAACAUGACUGAUCAGUGAUCACUGCAAAACUAAAGUUUAUCUAAAUUAUCUUCUCUUUGUAGUAAGUUCAACGAACCUAAACUUUGCUUUAUUUAUCCUUCAUUUUUUAUAUACAUCUACUAGCAUAGCACUAUAUAAGGUUAGGUAGGUUAAAGUAAAUUAACAUUAACUAACACAUUCAAUGAUUAAAUGAGAAAAUUUAAUGUAACUUGCCAUAUCCGAUUCUGACAGCACUAAAAUAAUAAAUAAAAAAAAAAAAAGCAUGUGAGACUGAGAUUUAGGAAGUUGGGAAAGGACAGAAUAAAAUGAAAUAAAGUGGCCAAAUAAAAACAGCUUUUCAUGCUUUCCAAUAGCCGUAUUUAUUUUGUUUUUCAUUUUAUCUUCAUCGUUCAUGUUUCCACUACUUUCUUGCCUGCCACUCUUCUUCAUCUUCCUUUUUUACUUUUUCUUAAUUUCCAUAAUCACUUUUUGUUACCACACUUAAGUAAGAAUCUAAAUCACUUGCACUCCAAGCAAACAUUUCUAAAAUAGAUUUUGAGUCAGAUUUUUUCUAAUUUUUCUAUUUUUUUUUUAUAAUUGUAGGGGCUAAAAUGAUGAAACUCAUAAAUGAUAAAAUUCAAUCGAAACAGUAUCUCUAACUAACCAUAAAAUCAACACAUUAAUUGAUUGUCUUCUUGAAAAGUAUGAUUUGCUUUCACCGUCUAAUCUUAAGUCAACAUCUUUUUGAAUUGUUGGACUUGGACAUGACUUCUAUCACUAGAAACAUAAGCAUGUAUUCACACCUUUCAAACAAUCCACCACAAUUUUCAAGUCUACAUUAAACUCCAUCAAACCGCGGCCUCUCUUCUUAGCUAACUUAAGUCAUUCGUCAGCAUGUAAAACUUGACUACAUACACAGAAACAAAACACACUAGUUUAGAGUAACCACCAAUCUAUCGAUCAUCUUCUUGAUAAGCGACAUUCAUCACGUCCACUUCAACCAAUAACUCCAUCUCGACGAAGGACAUCCACCACAACCAACAACUCCAUCACCAUAAUCAAUGAGAAUUUCUUUAACCUUUUCUUUUAUUUUAUUGAUAUUUUCCACGACUAACUUUUUAUUUUACAUUUUUCUUUUUCACAUAAGACAUCGAUAUCGUUUAAUCAAAAUUAAAUUUUAGUUCAACAUAUUGUGAUAACUCUCUAAAUUUUUUAAUAGGUUGGUACAACUAAACAAUUUAAAAUCAUUUAGUACCAAGUAUUUAAUUAAAAAAAAAAAUAAUUUCUUUGAUAUUUAUUUGAGCACGUAAUGGUUGUCAACAACACUUUCUCAAGUACUAAUUUCAACAAUCACCGAAACAAAAUUGAAAAACAAACACCAAACAUGGACCCUACAAUAUUUCCGUACUAUGGGCAGGACUUCACAUGACAUAAGAUACUAAACAACUUAACAACUUAAUAUCCCAUCUUUACACGUAACUACCCAAUCCCAUUUCCAUUUAUCUCUAAAUUUUCCAUUUCCAUACUCUAUAUAAAUACCUCACCAUCACCACCAACACAAACACACACUAUACCCUCCAAAUUCACAUUCCAAAAGUGAUUCCUUCCCUUCUUUUCCUUCUUUGUGUUCCUCAAACACAUGAGUGUAAGAGGAGCUAGAGAAAACAAUAACAAAAACAAAAACAAAAACAAAACACAAUGGAGAGCCAAGAUCAUCUUACACCAUCACACGUGGAUGCAUCUCGACCAUCCCUUGGUUUCCCUUUGGGCACUGCCCUUCUCUUGAUCAUCAUUUUUAGCUUGAGUGGUAUCCUCUCUUGUUGCUACCAUUGGGACAAAGUUCGUUCCUUACGCCAAUCUUUUUCAGAUUCUGAUCCUCAAAGUCAUUCAUCAAAUAAAUCUAAACUUUACUCCACCGUACGUAUUAAACAGCCCUUUUAAUUAGUUCUAAUAUAAAUUUAAUCCUCUGCAUUCGUUACACGGUGUAUAAUACUGCAGGGUUACUAAACCUAAAUUAGUAACUCUGCAGUCGAUAUUACACCAGUGUGGCUGAUGCAGAGGAUUUAAAGUGAAUUUUUUGUUAGAAAACUUGUGACACAUACUAGAAUAUAGUUUCUAAUGCUGUUUGAUGGAUUGAUUAUAGGAAUUGAAGCAAAACAGAGGAGAAAGUUUUUCAGUGAUGAUGCCAGGGGAUGAUGUGCCAAAGUUCAUAGCGAUGCCAUGUCCGUGUCAACCGUCACGGCCGGAAAACAUUGUUGUGACUGUCGAGAAGCCGCCGCCACCGCUAAAGCCACCGCAACUACCGAUUCCUUUGUAUUUGUAAAUAAUUAGUCGUGUUGUGUUACAACUCUUCUCAUCAUAUGUUGCCACCGUUUUGUUGUAUCAAUGUAUCUAUGUUUUUAUCAUUUUCCUAGGAAAUUGUUUUUGAGUAAAAAAUGGUGGUGACAUGUUUUUUGUGAAGAAAAUGGUGGUAACAUUUUAUGAGAAUUAGAAGAGCUUGAGAAGAAAAAAUGAGCAAAAAAAAAGGGAUAGGUUAGGUAGAAGGUCUUAGUAGGUUUUGAUUACUAUUACAUUUCAUUCUAUUCAAUCCUUGUGUUUUGGUAUGUAAUGUAACUAUUAAUUAAAGAGCUCUUAAUGAUUUCUAUAUUUUAGUUUCAGCUCUAAAUGGUUUUUAAAUUUUAGUUUUUUUUAUUGGGACUUGUUAAUAAGUGUUUUAAAAUAUUUUUUAGAUUUUAGUCUUUUGUAUGAUGGCUAAAUUUUAGUUUAUCGAAAACAGAAAUUCAAUUUGUCUUUCUCUUCCGUGUGACCCAUUUGAUUUAAUGGGGUAGGUUUGUCAAUAGUAUCCGUCAGAUAUUGAAUAGAGUGAUGUUAUUUGAUCGUAAAAGGAUUUACACCAUAUUUAACAUUGAAUACAGAUAAUUUAUUUAUAAUUAUCGGUGUGUUUUGAAGAAAAAAAGACAUUUUUUUUUUGAAAUUUCAUCUGCACCAUAAUAAUUUGAAUCCUCUAAAAUGAUUAAAAUAUAAAAUUAGAAAAUCAAGAGUUGUUGUUAUUUUAACAACUAAUAUAAAAAGAAGCAAUAAUGUGUACAUAUUUUUUUUUGUUUCACAAUAUAAUAUAAUUAAUAGAUUUAUUAUCUUAGACAUUUGGCAUCACAUGUCAAUUUUCUGUUUUACUUAACACAAUGCAUAAAUUGAUACUAAUUGGUUUUAUGUUCUAAAGCAUUGAGAAAGAACAAAGUUGUACAAUCAAUUAAGAAAUUUGGCUCCAUUCCUUAUUAAUUUAUUCUUCAUUUUUUGGACAUGGCUUUGAAAUUUUUUUUAUGGAUAAAUUUUGCUUUUUUUGAACAUUAUAAAUACAGCUAGCAUAAAAAUAUUAUUUGGUUGGUGAUAUUAUUUAUGAGAAAACAACUAAAAAAAUAUUAUUUGGUUGGUGAUAAUAUUUAUGAGAAAACACUCUCAUUGAUUAGGAUGUUACUCUUAAGGGUUGGUUGGUUAGAUUCAUACAUAUUCUCCACUUUUUCCCUUCCACAGUUUUUAACCAACAGAGAGUAAAUGGAUUCUCUAACGACUGAUGAAGAUGGAACAAUUGAGAAAGUGAUUUUUCAAUUUUAUCAUGGAAAUUCAUGUGUCCUAGCUGUUAAAAAAAAAAUUCGUGUGCCUUAAUAAUUGCAAAUUGGCGAUGUUCCUAAAUAGUGCAGACCUAUGUAAAGCAUAAAGGGGACAAAUGUAACAAAUCAAAAAGGCACUCAUUUGCGUCCCUGAAUUCAAAUCAAUUAAUUAUUUUUUUACCAUAAAUUGUUAAUAUCUAUAUGGAUGUAUUUUUUUUUAUAUAAAAUUAGGAUCCAGUCCUAUCAGGAAUAAGAAGGUGCACUCAAAAUGAUCGUGUAUUGGAUGUCUAGAAUGUGCCACCGUCUUGUUGAAAUCAUGAUUGAUUAAAUUAGGUGGUAACUAGUAACUAGUCAGGCAUUCCAUCAACAAUGUCAACUGAAAUAAUGGGAUUUACCUAUUAUGCAAAUAAAAAACUCGAUUAACAAAAAUGUGAAAAUUGUUAGGUUUGAUUUAUGAUUAAGAUUUGAACUUAUGCUCUGCCAUUUAACUUUAAGUGUUUGACUUUAUAAUGCUAUUUUUAUUUUGUAUAUCCACAAAAAAAAAAAUAGAGGGCGCGAAAUUUGACUAGUCAAGUAAAUAGGAGUAAAUUUGAUGCCGAAAGAGUUGAUAAUAUAUGAUUAGAGAUGGUUCUGAGGUGGUGACGGAGUAGGUGGCGUACUACAAACACUUUGAUGUUCAAGUUAGUGUUUGAUUAAAUAGAAUGAGAGGUGUAUAAGAACAAAAUAUGUGCAUGUCUUUGGCUGUAUGUGUCAUUUGAUAAGUGAUAUCAUUUCAUAUGAAUUAAUUGGUAAAUAUUAUUGAAGUGGUUGAGUGAUAACACAAAAUCUAAGAAUUUAAAUCGCUAUGAACUAAAAUGUUCAUUUGGAAUUAUUAUGAACACUAUAUUGAUAUUUAAUUCAGGGACAUGACACAUACCUAAUAUGGUGACAGUGAAUAUACUCACAUGAUGGAUUAAGACGUCACAUAUCAAUUUUUAAAAAAUCCAUUUUUUCAUAUAGAUUGAGAUAUAGGCUAAAAUGUCCCAAUUUUAUUUUGUUCGGACUCAUUAGAUAAGUGAUCAAUUAUGGAUUCUAUGACUUUUACGUAUAAAAAAAAAAAAUCUGAUUAGGAUGAAAUAAUUCCUCUUCUAUGUAUGCCUAACAAAAAAACUCUUCUUAUAUCUCCAACAAGUUUUCAAUAAAAUUAAUCAUUUUCAAACAAUGGUGUACUCUUGUGGCUAUAAUGUAUAGGAUGCUAUGUUAAAAGUAGAAAAUAUUUUUUUAAUGUGGACCGUCAAUAUAUAAUUAAGGGCACAACACUCUCCAGAAGGGUCAAAACAGCCUUAGGCACGUUCUCUUAUGAUCGCCGCCUCAAAAGGCUUUUAAAAACAUCUAGAACGCUAUAAAUCUGACUUAGAGUCCAAGUUGCUUGGGGUCUAAGUCACGGAAAUACAAGCUUAAGAAAGAUUAUAAAUACCCCUCUUAAGAUCAUUCUCAAAGAAUCGUAAAAACAGAUUAAACCUAGUUUCUAAUACCGUACUCACUCCAAGUAUAAAAGAAAACAAAUUAUCGAGUUUUAAAAAAUUGAAUACACAACUUUUUCAUAUUUCCUUAUACAAUAUUUUUUAUAUUAAUCUCCUUAACUAAUGUUCUGGAGAUUAGUUAGCAUUUUCUUGAUAAUAAAACGGAUAUUUAAAGCCAGUGGGGAAUUAAUGUUGGCCACUUAUACGGUCACAAAUUUUUAAGACACCAAAGAAAGCUGUAGUAGUUCAAAAAAGUGAUGAUAGAUUAUGACCCACUUAGAGUCAUCUUGCAAUAGGACACUCCAAAUUGGCUUAUCAUGACCUAAUUUCACUGUGGAAGUGGGUUUCAACUUGAAUAAGCUUCAAGCUAUUUUGAAUCUUGAUAUUGUUUGUGCGGUACCAUAGUCCAUCAUAAGUGUGUACCUUUCCGUGAUUGUUGCCAGUACAUAACACUUUUUACAUUCCUCUCAAGUAUGAGUAGGGUCCUUAGACAACAUGUCCCUACCAUCCAUCAAUUGCUUUUCAUUACAGAUAGAUAAUGCGCCCAUAGAAAACUAUGUUGCUACCUAAGUUUUGCUUGAAAAAAGUAAGUGACCUAAUUUUAUCUUGCUGAUUCAGGGGUGUUUUUGUUUCCAUUAGAUGCUAAAAAUAUAGUGGAGGAUUAAAAAAAUUAAAGAAAGAAACAAAAUGACGAUUGUUUCGAGUUAGUUUCUCUUAUCAAAUGAUGAGAAUAGAUUGAGUCUUCUCUUUUUUAUAUAUAUAAAAAAACACCAUACUUAGAAUUUUUGGGUUGUUAGUGGUUCCACGCUAUUUACAUUUCAAAAUAAAUAAGUUAUCAGCCAAGAAUGACAUGUUACCGAAUUUAUGUUCAACUGAGUUUUUUUUUAGUCAAAUGAAGGUUAGUCGAGGAAAAACAGUCAAUUAAGAGACAAUCGUCUCUUUUUCAAGUUCACAGAGCUUCAUGAAGGUCGUGAGAGUGUUAAAAUCAAUCAAAGUUGAGUGGAACUUGCGAACUUUACAUUUUGUUUGUAAUAUGUUUAUAGGAAAACUAACUUAGACGACUAUUUACAUGGGGACACAUUCAAAGAAAAGAAAUGCAUGUAUGGAUAUUGGAGGAAAUAGAUUACAUUCCGAAGGAAGGAUAAACGAGCUAAACAUAUUUGGAAAAUGGGAAGAAUCACACACCUUUAUACUUUAGGGUUAAUUAAGUAAAUGAUCCCUAUAAAUAUUCAGAAUUUUGUUUUUAGUCCCUACAAAAUAAAAUCACACUUUUUAGUCCCUAUAAAAUUUUCCAUCAACAUUUUUAGUCCCUAUAAAAUUUUCUAUUAGCAUUUUUAGUCCCUAUAAAAUUUUUCCAUCAACAUUUUUAGUCCCUAAAAUGCUUAAGGAAAAUGUCACAGAGACUAAAAAGUGUGAUUUUAUUUUGUAGGGACUAAAAACAAAACUAUGAAUAUUUAUAGGGACUAAAAACUUAAUUAACCCUAUACUUUAAGCCACUGUAUUUUGGUCACUAGGACCAGUGUUUCCUACAAAUAUCACUCUUGUAUAUAUUUUUAUUAAACUCAUUCAAACUAUAAAUCAAACAACUAUUUUCGUAUUUUUGUCCUUGUGCCUUUAUGCUUUACAUUUUACUUAUUGAUGAAACAAUAUUUAAAAAUAGUUAAAAAAAUUAUUUUUCAGCUACCAAAGAGAUUAUUGGGAUGAAUUGUGGAUUAGGUUGUUCUCCUUAAUAUUUUUUGUGACAUUGCUUAAAAUUGUGCAUACAGACUAUCAACCACGACGUUUUCAGGAUAAAACAACCCAACUACAACUGUAUCAGAGUCCUAUUGCACUAGAGUCUGUUCUAAAAAUACACCAUCAAAUAUGGUGUUAAGAGCACUCUAUAUGAUACUAAGACCUCUAUAGUACGGUACUAUGACACUAAGAUCUGGUACUACGACUACUUUAAUAUGAUAUCAUGACCACUCCUUAACUAAAGGGACAAUGAUCCUAUAACCACUUUAAAUUUGUACCAGAACUUCUCAUAAUUGAAGGUACAAUGGUACUAUAACCACUUUAAAUUGGUACUAUAACCACUCAUAUAUCGAAGGGAAACAUUUCUUUGAAGAGAGAAAAUUUUCUAUAAGAGAAAAAUUAUCGUGGGAAAAGAAAAGAAAGGGGAGAAGUAGUUUGAAAGUGUGUUGAGAAGAAUAAAGAAAAGAGAAAACUUGUAAAUUCUUAAAUCUCAGGUGCAUUUAGGAAAAAGUCAUGAUCGCUCCUUUUAUAAUGUUGGAACUAAAUAAUGCAUGUGUCUAAACUAAGCAAUGUGAGGCUUAAGUGAUUUCGAAUUACAUUCACUAUUCUAUUCUACUAUCCAACAUGGUACUUAUAGUUUUGAUUUUCAAUUCACACACAGUACUCUAUGUUUCAACAUAUAUGUAUUUCUUAGUUUAUUUAGUAGCUAAUAAAAACAAAAUUCCGCACUUAUCACUAUUUACCUAAAAAAUUUAAAAUUGCCGAAAACUCAAAAGAAACCUAAUUCUUCAUUACCUUUAUAAAAAAACUCAACAAAAUUAUCCAAAAAUCCAAAAAAUUCAUCCCAAAAACUCAAAAUUCAUUCUUUUAUAAUCUCGUCCUCUAUAUUAUUCCUUUCUUUUCUUCCCUUCCUUCAUAAUCAGGGUCUUAAAAACACAAAACUAAAUACAACAACAACUAUGUUUUAUCCCAUUAAGUGAGAUCAAUUACUUGGGUCAAAUUAUAUCAUAAUAUUUUAUUAUAGAUCAUAUUUUGGUCUAACUAAUUAACCUUUAAAUAUUUCUUAAUAGUUCCUUUUAGAAUUUUUAUAAGUCUUCCUCUGCCUCUUGUGAUCUGACUAUCCUUUAUCUGAUAUACUCUCUCAUUGAAGGUCUUUACUCUACAUGUCAAACCAACUAAGUAUAUUUCCACCAUCUUAUCUACUAAGCGUGCUACCCCAAAUCUCUCCAUAAUACUUUUGUUUAUAAUUCUAUUACAUACAGUCUUAUCACACAUCCAACACAACAUCCUUGUCUCCACUACUCUUAUUUUAUUCUCAUGCUGGUUCUUCUCCGCUCAACACUCUAUGACAUACAAAUUGUCGAACUUACAACUGUCUAUAAAAAAUUUCCUUUCAACUCCAGCUGGACUUUCGUAUCACACAAAACACCUAAGGCUCUUGUAUGUUUCAAUCACCUAACUUGAAUUCAUUCACUACUACAUAAAUGACAUUUCACAUCAGUGGAAAUUGACAUUUCACAUCGGGUCCCAACCGAUGUCACUAAAGGUGAUGUUGUAUGUCAGUAUCAUUUCCCAUUGGGUACGAACCCGAUUCCGCGUUCCUUCCAACUGAAGUGGAACCUCUUUUUUUUCUAAAUCUGAACAUGUAUUUCACAAUGGCUUAUUUAAGAUCCCCGAAGUGAAAUCUACAUAUUUCACAUCAGUUAUAAUUGAAAUAGAUGUGAAAUUUGUUUUUUAUUUAAAAAUUAUAUUUUUAUAACUUUUUUUAAUCUGGAGAAAACAACAAAUAUAUAUAUUUUGGUACAACUUCUGUUUUGGUGCAUUUUUUCUUAUUCAAACAACCCUAAUUUUUCUCUCUAGGUUUUCUCUUCCAUUUUCUUCAUUGAGGGGGUGAUUUUGGGUCAAUUUUUGACCUGAAAUCACCUCUCUUCAUCUUUUUCUCUCUAUUUCAAUCUAAAUAAGUGUUUUUUCACAUAGAUCUAGGUUUUCUCUACGCGAUUUCGUCAUUUGAGUGUGGCGGUUUGUUGUUCGUCGUCUUGUGCGGCGUUGUUUGAUUCCUCGUAUUGUUGCGGUGUUCAUUUGAUUAAUAUUGAAAGAUCAAUUAUUCAAUCAAAGAUUUGAGCGUCAACGUUGCAGAUCCGGAGGCAUGGAAGACAUGGGUAUUCCGGUCACUUUAAUUUUAUCAUUUAUUUUUGUAAGCAUUAUGCCGUUAUAUUCUAUUAACUUAGAUGCUGUGAGUUUGUUCACAGAUUCAUCCUUUACGUUUUUAGCGAUGUUGAAUGACGUAACCUAUCGAUUUGAAUGAAUGAAUAUCAGUUUGUUUUUGUAAAAAAAAAAUAAAAUAUUUUUUGGUACAACAAAUAUAUUUUUUAUUAAAUGACUUCAUUUUUCUGAUGCGAUAAAAGUCAUAACAUACAUUCAAUGAAAAAUAAAAAUUCUUUUAUUUACACACUCAACUACAAGCUAUAAUACCCCGUAUAAUUUUCUAGAAUUUUAUAUAGGAUAUUACAAUCUAAUACUAGAUAAUAUAAAUAUAUGAGUCGAAUUACAAGGGUAAAUAAAAUAAUUUGCCUUGCACAUGAGUGAAAGGCACAGUUUCCAAGGUAAAAUUCAUCGGUAUACAUAAAUAGAAUCUACAAAAAUAAUCUAGGUGUUCAUUCUUCAAGAGUCAAACUUUGAGCCCACACUAUCCUUUACCUAAAAAAUUAAAAGGAGUGGGAUGAGAUAUACUUAGAUAUACUUAUAUAUCAGUGGAUUCUCUAACUAUAACCAUAAUUUUGCCACUAAUUAACUAUAACAUUGUCUAGUCAAUGCAACAAAGUAUUUGCAUGGUCAUUGACAGUCAUCUGCCAUAAACUUGAACCAUGUAAAUUUAAAUACCAUCAUAAAACAACAAAUAUGAAUCAAUAAUGAUCGGUCUUGAACAGAAAAUAAAGGUGGAACACAAAUUAAUUAUCUUGGUCAUUUUUAGCUUAUGUGAAUACUAUUGAGCAUGAGGGUACUCAAUAGUACCCACCUUAACAAAUAUGACAGUGAGCUGCCAAUCGAUGGACAAGAGCUCCAAUCCUUCAAAUCCUCUUCCAAUCAAGGCACAUAAUCAUGAAACAUCAUAUAUUUGUUCCUGAUACUUUAGCAUGUUCUUAAUAACGCCAUACACGCAAGAAUGGUAACAGUAUUGUAACAACACAUGAUUAUACACUUAAUGAGUUCUUUAAUUUCUACCACAAAGCAUGCAACUGUACAGUUCAUGUGAAACAACUUCGAUCGUAAAUAAAAACAAAAAAAAUAUUCAAUCAAUGUACUUAAAUGAUGGCCUAAUAUUUUCAUUGUAAGCACAUUAUUCAUAGAUCUUCAAAGAAGACAAAUUAAAUAUAUUGCUUGUUUGUACAAGAUGUCUAUCUUCUACGCUUACUCUAAAUAAUAAAUUCUCGAAAUACAAUGGUUAGAAGCAACGUAUAAUGUUUGAGUGAGUAUGUGCAGAACUUUUUGUUGUAAAGAGACAAUAUUGAACCAUAACUAAUACUAUCACUAACACUGUCAUUUUGUUUCAAUCAGCAAACAAUUUAUUAAUCACCAAAACAGAACAAACCAGAAAUCAACUACAACCAACACAACCCACCCAAACACAAGCAGCUACAAUUGACCACCAAAUUUGGGAGACGAGAGAGCCUACCUUGAGACCACCACAAGUGUCUGCAUUUAUGAUUUAAGUCUUUGCAGCAUUUGCAAUGCAACUGCCACUACGUACAUUGCUAACUGUGGAUCAGAAUCAAUGUCAAUAGUCAAAAGUAGAUAUCCUUUUCCUACUCCUAUGUAAUCAUAGUCUCAUACUCAAACACUACAUGAAAGACAUAACCUUCAACUUAUUUUAUAUUUGGCUUGCAGUUAAAAAUAAGAGCAGCAAACAUACUGAUGGAUUCUUCAGAUUUCAAUAGAAAUAGCAGUCUCGCAAAGAAUACUUAUAGUUACCCUUUGUUGAUUGACCCCUGCCAUCUGCAGUAACCAAAAUGUAUCCCUUGCGAGCAAAUAUUUUAACACACAUUAGAUAAGGGUUCACUAAUAGCACAAAGUUAAAGUAAAAAAUUGAAAGAAUCCAACCUUUUGUUAAGUAAAAGAGUAAGAACUUUAUGACUUAUAUGCACAAGCCUAAAAGUACAAGUCAACCCAUGAAACCAACCUUGAUUACUAGGAGUAAUCCUUUGGGUCACAAUAUUAAUCAAAUUGACAAAAACACUACUUAAGAAGUAACAAAGAGACAUUCAUGACCAUGUGAAAGAAGUUGACACCUAUAUUUGUGCAUGAGUAUUCAAUUUGUCAAACACAUGCAUGACUCCUCUUUAAGAAACAACAAUGAAAAGGUUAGAAGGAUGAACUUAAUACCUUGGAUUAGAAAAUUGUACCUCCUACAAUUGUUUCAAAGCAUCCCUGCCAUUAUAGGAUAAUUAAAUUGGGAAUUGGAAAAAAAAAAAUAUAUCGACACCAAGUUCAUAUACAUAUAUAAUAUCAAAUAUGCUCUGCUUUAUACUAGUAUUUUCUAGUUUUCUUAGUUAUAUACAUGAAAUGGCUCUCACACAAUCAGGAACAUAAACAACAACACACCAACACCAGUGCCACCUAUAUGGUUUCAACACACAACUAAUUUCAUCAAACUCACCCCAAUCCAAACAUUCAAUCAAAUAUAAUUGAAUAACACGUCACAAAUCCCAAAUUACUAAUAAUUUUAUAUUAAACUAAGGCUCCCUUGGAAGCUAGUUAUAUAUUGAUCUAAUAAGCAUAUGAACAAUAGGCUUCCUUGAAGAUAGUUAUAAAAUCUUAUGAACAAGGCUUCAUGUAAGCUAGUUAUAGACUUAACUAAUAAGCAUGUACACUGAAUUAUAUGCCACCAACUUAAAGCAAAAAAUCUAUGAAUAUGUGGAUAUUUAUUGUGAAAAUAAGAUCAUAUGGUAACUUUCACGUACCUCUUCAUUGUUAAAAAGCUAUCACCCAUAAAAAAGUAGUCCCCUGCAAUUAUAGAGAAUCACAAAUUACAUAACAAAAAAGUUAUAACUUACUCACAAAAAGUAAGAAAAUUUAAUAGUUGUCCACGUAACAUAUAUCUACAAAAUUAAGCUUAAUCAAAGACCCAUCUCACAUAUUUACAUUUAAAUAAAAUUACCCAUCAUUAUUCAAAAAAUAAAUCACAAAAAUCUUAUUAUUUUUUCUUCCUAUCCAAAAACACAUAAAAGAGUAGAGAAAAAAAAAUACACGGUCUUUACCUUCUUCUUUCUUUUGUUCCAAUUAAGCAAUAUCACUUCCUUCAAGUAAUUUAACCUUUGUUCCUGAAAAGGUCAAUCAUUAGGAAUACCAGGAUCUUUCUCAACCUUCUUCUUAUUACUUAAUUUUGAAAGGGUGCGCUACAUCAUGAUAAAAACAAACGCAGAUCUUAUCAAUGACGAGCCAAUAUUUUUUCUAGGCACUCUAUUAUAUGUUUUCUACAAAUCAAUGAAAAUUAAGUGCAAUUGCUUUUUAUCUGUUGAUAUAUCUCUUGCACACAUUGUAGUAAAUAGAUUUCUUCCAUGGUCGACUUCCCAACAUAAAAUUAAAUUGAUUAUUAGUAACUUGAGUCUCUUUUCUUAAUCUCUGUUAGAUCACUCUUUCUCAAAACUUUAUAGCAUGAUUCAUAAGUUUGAUCAGCUAUAAUUUGCACAAUUUUGUGUACACUGUUAUUCUUAUAGAUCAGAAUUAAAAUUCUUUUUCUCCACUCGUCACAUUUAGACUAUUGUCAUGUUUCAAUGCCCUUAUCUAAUUAAUCUUGUGGAUGCAUCACCUUCCUUUGUUUCCCAAAAAGGAUGUCGCUUGCAUAAAACAAUCAAAUUAGAACCUUAAGAAUAGCAACUAAAACUUUAUAGAAAAUUUCAACUAUUUCUUCAUCAUUUACUCCAUUUUACUUGAUCUUACCUAUUUAUCAAAAAAUAAAUAAAAGUAGUAAAAUGUCCCUAAAAAUAUAAUAAAAACACAUACUUAUUUAAAUAAAAUAGGGGUGUCAGAUACAUAUAAAAAUAUGUUACCAGGGUGAUCUUUGUUUAGAGAGAGUGAAGUGAAUGAUUUGAUUUGGUAUCAGUUAAAAUGUAUCUGUAGCAAAGAUGGCUAGAUCGGGUGGGAUGUUGGAGGGAUGGAACAAAUUUAGAGGAUGGAAUUUUUGUGUGGGAGGAGGAUAUGUUCUUAUAAUAUUUUUUGUUGGAUAAUAAUUUUUCUGACAAGUGGUCUUGGAUAUGCAAUGCAUGAACAUACAUAUAUGGGAAAUUGUAGAGGAGAAGAAACUUUGCAGCAUUUAUUCUUUGAAUGUGAAUUUUUUGGGAUUAUUUGAAAAUCAAAUGGAAUUGGUUGAGCAUUUCUGGUCUAGUAGUAAGGCAUCAAGACAUAAAUUUCAAGUUAUGUAGUUGACUUGCAUCUAGUUUAUAAUUAUAAAGAACACAAUAAUAUAUUUUAUAGUCAAAAGGAAGCUAUUAUGAUGCAUAUGAUUUAUCAAGUAAAAUUUCAUACAUGGUAGUAUUGGUUUCAAGCAAAUUUCUCUGGUUUUGGUUAUGAACUAAAUCAGUUGGACUAAUCCUUCAUUGAGAGUCUUGUUUUAAUGGAGUAUUAUUGUGCAUUCAAUAUCUUUAGAACACCGUAUCUAACAAAUAAACAAACAAUCACUACUACAAUAAUGACUUUUAGUAACAAGGUGAUUGCAACACUUGAAAAAUUGUUAGCUGAUAUAGUAAUAUAGUAACAAUUGAGUAAAAGUGUUACAUCCAAUACAACAAGUACCAUCCCCUCCUUCAAAAAAAAAAAGAAAAAGAAAAAGGCACCAUCCCUAAAUAAAAAAAAUAAAUACAAGUAUUAAAAGAGUAACAAGUACCCAUUCAUUAUUCAUUCACGUGUUAAAUUUUUUGGUCAACAAUAAUCAAAAUAAAAUAAAUAAAAAAAGUAUUAUAAACCAUUGAGAAACACUUUUCUCUCUCUUCCCUCAAAAAUCACUUUUCUCUCUCAUAGAGAUCUAACCACCGUGAUUCAGCAGAACCACCGUCAAGCUUCACCACCAUCGCACACCUUCGACCACCGACACGCUCACACCAUCAACCACCAUCAAGCUUCACCGACGAAUUUGUCAUUCUGUCGAGCUUCUCACGCAUUCUCAACCACCGUCGAACUUCUGUCAGAACCACCGUCAAGCUCCACCGUCACGCAUUCUCAUUCCGUCGAGCUUCUCACGGAACUGAAUCUCACCGUCGAGCUUCACACUUCACUGAUCGAGCUUCACAAAUCCUUUUUCCUCUUUCGCUCACGCAGGUAAAACUCUCGAAUUCUUCUUCGGUUUCCCAUUUUUCGCGCAUUCGGUUUUGAUUUCGCUUAGAUUUCAUCGCAAUUAUCUUAGAUUCGUGCUUUUUUUUUUUUUUUUUUUUUUUCUGUUAUGAAUCAUCUAUUUCGUUCACAUUGUUUGAAUUUUGUUUUGAAAUUCUAUGUGUUUAAUUUUCGUUUCACAAUUUAACUCAAAUUCUUCUUGUUCUGUUUGGCAUUUGUGAUUUAUAAUUUCUUUGAAAUUCAUAUGUUUGAUGUUGCCAAAGAAUAAGAAAUUAUCCUAGAGUGGAUUGGUGGAUUUGUUAUAAAUUGAAAUUUAACUCAAUUUUUUGAGUUAUGAAUCGAAAUAAACUUCACAGUCGCUGCAGAUCCAUGAUUUUCAUUCGCAAUUUAACUCAAUUUUUGUUCCAGUGGAUUUGUGAUUGAAAAAAAAGUUGUUUAGAAUUUGCUGAUUACUCUUCAAACUCAAUUUUGUGAUUUUUUGAACUGAGUUUUUUCGAAUUUCGUAUGAAUAAGAAAUUGAACUGAUUUUCCUAACAAUAAUUAGGGAGUGGAUUUGUUAUUUUGCUCACAGUUUUGUAUUUUUUUUUAAAUCUGCGUUUGAUUGAUGUUGCCGCGUGCGUAAGUAUAAGAAAUUUAACUGAAGUUUUGUGUUGAGAAGUAGUAGUAAUUAAUGAGUAGUGUGUCGACAUGUUAGUGUUUGUUGUUCAUAGAAAUGAGUUUGUAAUUUUAAGCUUUGUUACAUGAGGCAGAAAAUGAAUUAGUUUUAGAUAUAGUGAUGAAUUGUUCUAGAUUUAGACUAUGGUAUUAAGCUUUGUUACUCGGGUUACCUCAACAAGCUUCUAUGCCAAAUCUCUAGUUUUCCAUUGAGAUUCACAUCACUCGUUUUUUCAGUGCAAACCACCAUCCCGACAAAUGGGUUGCAAGCUUUCUCUCAAAACAUUAAAACUUUAACCUCUCUCACGCGUUCCUUCAUUGAAUCUAUCAAUCGCACUGACCUGUUCCUCAUUGUUGAUUGUUUCCUAAAUUUACAGCUACUUGAUUUGAGCCAUUGCAAAGAUGUAUCUGAAGAAGGUAUUGUUCAUGUUUUAAUGAUAUGUUGUAACAUUAGACAUUUGAAUUUAACUCGUUGUUCAAGACUGAAGCUACAUACAUUGAACUUUGAAGUUCCCAAACUGGAGGUGUUGGACUUGUCAUUUACAAGAGUUGAAUAAAUCACUCUAUUGGAUCUCAAAGAGUUGUAGCGGGCUUUUGCAACUGUCACUUAAAUUUUGUGAAGGUGUCACAGACAAAUGAGUGACGCAUGUGGUUGAAAAAUGCACACAACUGAGAGAGGUCAAUUUGAAGUACUGUGAUAAGGUGCUAAUAAGUCGUUGCCUCGCAGCUCGGUAUCGUUUUUAAUCUCAAAGAGCGGAGACUCUUAUCACAUCAAGGAUGUCUUGUUUGCUAUGAAGUUUGAAUUGUGAAUUUAUAAUGUUUUUUGUUUUCAGAUUUACUUCUAUGAGAAAUUAGAAAUUAGAAGUAAUGGCUAAUGGGGAAACCUGUUAGUGAAACAUUGUCAUUCAGGUAUAUGAGUGCAUAUGCAUAUACUUUAUUGUGUUAACUCUCUCUGUCUGUUUAAAUAUUAACAUAUGUCACUUGUGUUUUAUUUGUUAUAGUGUUUUCACUCCAUACUAUAGUGAAACUGUGCUUUAUAGUACAUCUGAAUUGCAAAAGGAGAAUGAAGAUGGAAUAUCUACUCUAUUCUAUCUUCAAAAGAUAUUUCCAGGUAUUGUUUCUUUUCUCUUUGAUCCCCUUUUACAAUAUUUAUAUAAUUCUUUCAGUUGUAACAGUUAGUGUUAGUUGAAUUUCCUCUAAUUUUUUGUAAGCAUUAUUUAAAUAUUGUACUCUAUCACUGAAAGAAUCAACAAUACAAUCAUUUCAUUCGUCACAGAAUUGAACUUUGCUCUCUUCACUCAGAAAAACACUAAUACAAUGUUAUAUUUCGGUAAGCAAAAAUUCUGAUACUCAUCAUACUGAUAUCUAGUAUUGUAACAGCAACAUUUGAUUCCUAGCUCAAAGCCACUUAAUUAUCUUUGGUCUAUAUUUCCAGGAAUUUUUAAGGGAACCAUGACAACGACACAGUCCUAUUCGAAUGAAACAAGACGCAAAUGUUCAAACAUAUUUCAGAGUCUCUUCCACUCAUCUACGAUUCAUUAAAGGUAUUUUAUCUUUGUUACAAUGUUAAUUAUGAGGUAUUUUAUUUUUGUUUUUAUUUUUAAGCUUUUUUGUUGACUUGGACUAUGAUAAUCUCAUUUGGUGAAUAUGAACUAAUUCCAUUUGUUUACUUCUUGAAAGAUUGUGUCACAAACAACUUUUGAAAACCGUAAAAGAUAACCAAUCAAGUUAAUUUAUUUUAUGGAAUAGUUGAACAUAUUUGCCUCGCUGGUAAAAUUUUACAAAAUCAUAGUUAGAUGGUCAAACAUGCCAAUUGCCAUCUAUGUAGAAAAUACAUAAUGCAGGGGUUAAUGCUAAGGGUGACGCUUUGUGGCUUGCAAUGAGUGUGUCUUUCAACUUAAUUUGUAGAAACUCUUAUUGAGUGUUGUGGGAUUCGGGAUAUAGUGAGGGGAGUGUUGCACAACAUGCUGAAUAGCUCCAAAACCCUAUGACAGUUAGAUGUGUCAUCGGCAUGAAUUUCACGAUGGGUAGUUGUUUCGUAAGAAGUGUAAUAGGGAGUAUCAUUUAGUGCAGAUUGUACAGUUCACACUCUCUAUAGUGUAGUCUUUAGACAUCAAUUUUCGAGAAAUAGGGAGUAUACACUGAUGCAAGUCCUAUGAGCCAUUUUAUUGCGACAGUAGAACACCAUAGCUAUUUAGCACAAUUCUUUUUAACAUGAGUUCCUCAAAUAAAAAGAUGGAAUUGGACAUAGCAAAUAGUUGAAUGUUAUUCAUGUGACACCUUAAGAUUAGUGGCCACUAGGAAGACAUCCUCCACUGAAUCUAUGACAGCCACCAAGUUCCUUCAAAUGUGUUCCCAGUGCCAUAUAUACUUUUCUAUCACUGUACAAUGUUUGAAUUGAUAUAUGAUUUGAAUUCUAAGAUUAUCUCUAUUAGAGUUAAACUCCUAUCAUGUUCAGAUACAAAAGCUCAUGUAAUUUGGGGAGUUUAUUCUAAUUGAGUUCUGUCUCCACUAUCUAUGAAGUCUCUGUUGAAUGCAAAUUUCCCUGCUGUUGUUUAUUCUAAUUGAAUUGUGAAUUCUAAGAUUAUCUCUAUUAGCUAUUACACUUGUUUUUCUUAGUAUCCUUGUUGAGCAUGGUAUCAACGUUGCAGCUUGGUAAGUUUCAGUUUUGCCACAUUCAAUUGAUAAUGAUUUUCAUGACAAAAUCGUCCUUUGCAUUAAAAUUGUUGCACAAUACUGGUGAUGAGAUAAGGAAGGGAUGUCUGCAAUCUUGCAGGCAGAACAUUAUGAAGAUGAUUGCGGAUAAGCAACGACACAAGACAAAGGAGAUUAAAGAGAAGGCUUGCAUUUCUCAUGUGCAGCUUGAUGACCUUAAAGAGAAGGGGGGAAAUUGUAUUGGAUGAAAACUUAAUUGUAAUCAUUUUUGUAAGUAAUUCAAAUUAUGUUGUAUAAUUCAAAUUGUGUUGCAUAGUUUAUUUUCGUAAUGCAAGAAUAAGAACAAAGAAGAGGGGAACUUUUAUAGAGUAUGUAAUUCAAACUAGUUAUUAAAACUUGUAUCUAAUAUUGGUUAAUUCAAAUAUGAAUGAAGUCUAAGCAAAGACAAAUUUGGUAAAUUAAAAAAAUUAGUUUAGACAAUUUUGCGACACUUUUUACAACUCCUCAAAAAUUAUAAAUGUAACACUUUUUUAUUGUUACAAGUGAUACAAAAAGUGUUACAAUAAGGUACCAUUUGCGACACUUUUUGAUUGUUACAGUACUAUAAAAUGUAACUAAAACACUUUAGUAACACGGGCUUUACCUAACAAUUGUUCAAGUGUUGCUAAAUUUAAUUAGUAACAUUUUUCUUGAUUUAGUUACAAUUUUCAAGUGUUACUAAGUGCCAUUAUUGUAGUAGUGAAUGUUUUUUCACAAGGUUAUGAAUUCAACUACCACUACCACUGCCAUCCUUUCAUAGAUAAGGGUCUCGUUGAAAACUUUCAGGGUUUGUAUGAACGGUCAAUGUGGAUGGAACCGUGCUGCAACGAAGUGCGGUUCAUCUAGGGGUCGUGUGGGUCAGUGUGGUUCUUAACUUGGCCUGUCUGGGCGUAAGUUUGAGCACCCCCUACCUCCCUCAAGGGCAUUGUUUCCUUCUUCCCGCCCUCCUCUUCCCUACUCCUAUGGUUUCCCUGCAAUAGGGAACCUAUUGCUAUGUCAUAUCACAUAGCAGUGGUUAGGCUCUUAGGAAAUUAGAAUUAGGCUCUUAGGAGAUUAGAAAUAGAUUUAGGAUCUUAUGUAAUAAGCUUAAAAAGCUUGAAAAUUAUUGUAAUGUAUUGUUCAUAUAUUAAUAAAAAUGAGUUGUUUUUAUGUUUGUGUCUUUUUAUUUCUGUUUUUUUUUUAUUUGCAUUUUAUUUUACGAAUUGUAAAGCUUAAAAUUGUAAAGUUCUGGAAAAACACUAUUCCGGAUUUUAAAAUCCAGAUACAUCUGCAAAAUUCUAACAAUACAAUCCAGAAAACGAAAUCCGGACCAAGGGGUAAAAAUGAAAAAUAAAAUAAACAAUAGGGCGCGCAAGGAAAGGCAUAGGGUGGAAAAAGUAAAACACUUAAUAUUUUCCUUGAUGGAUCGGAAGCUUUUAUGGCCGAUAAGUAGUAUUGUUUGAAAAUCGCUCUUUUACAACAAAAAACAAACACUCCCAACUGAAUUAACUAAAGUACCUCUGCGUGACUUAAAUCACGCUAGGUACUUUCAACAUGAGUUAACUUAUGCAGCGUGAGUAAACUCACGCAGGUUAACCCAAUGUAUAAAGGGGGAUACACAUUGUAAGUGGUCCGCCAAAUACCUCGUUAAUUUGAUUAAUAUUAACCGUUUGAUUUUUUUUCUUCCCAAAUGACAACCAUUAGACAAUGCAUAUCUAGUAGAUCUAAUAGUGCACCACCAACACCUUACUUUAUUCACCUUUCUUCAUCUUCUUCUCUCUUUCUCUUUUUCAUCUUUAUCCCCAUCUUCAUACAUUCAAAUCCAUAAGUAUGGAUCAAGUUCAAUCAAGUCCAACAAGACCAAGUUCAACAAAUCCAACAAGCACCAAUUAUGAGAUGUGACUUUUUUGGUGAGGUCCAUACAAAUGGUGAGUGUAUACCUAAAGGAGGGAGUAAGGAAGCCAACUACAUGGGGAAAUACAAAAAAGGGAACCCUUACUCAAAUACUUAUAAUCUUGGGUGGGCACAACAUCCUAUCCUCAAAUACUUAAACAACAACACCUUGAAUACACUUAUUCCCUCUCCUCAAAAACAUAGGAAACCUUUAGUACUUGAAGAGUCCUUAACCUGUUUUGUAAAAUCCGCUCAGAAUAACCAUAAACCCUAAAAAUAUCAGAACAUCUGGUUACAUAUUUUAACAAUUUCCCCCUCAGAUGCUUCAGAACAUGUGGUUACUCAUGGAAGUAAUUCAAAUAUCAGAACAUGUGGUUACAUAUUAUAAAAAUUUGUUUUGUACUAACUUUGUUUUGAAGGAACAAUUGCUUGAUGAAGAAGUUAUCCCUCAUUCAAUCACAGAUGAAAUCAAAGUUAUGCUAACAAUGCUUCCUUCUCACAUUGAAAUCAGAGAUGUAGUUUUUUUCCUCAACAAGGAUAGCUCACCAUGUUCUCAGGUGUUGGCGCCUUUUUCUUCCAAUUUUUUUUUUGGAAUAUUGUCAAAGAUGAUGUUUUCAAAGCAGUUUUGGAGUUUUUUUUUCUACUGGUUGGAUUCUUCCUGAUUUUAAUUCUAAUACCAUAGCCUUGCUUCCAACAACUCCUAAUGAUAUUUCUAUGAUCAAUAUAGACAAAUUUCUAUGGCCAAUUUCAAAUUUAAAAUCAUUACUAAAAUUAUAGCAGAUAGACUGGCUACAAUAAUACAUUCAAUAGUUUACAAGGAGCAGAUGUUGUUCAUUCAUGAUAGAAACAUAAAAGAUUGACAUUAGAAAAGCUUUUGAUACUCUUGAAUGGUAUUUCCUGCUAAAAGUUUUUAGAAGCUUUGGUUUCAAUGAAGCUUUUUGAAAAUGGAUUCUAGUUACUUUAAAAUCAUCUUUUCUCUCAGUUUCCAUUAAUGGGAAAUCUCAUGGUUAUUUCAAUGCUACUAGAGGGUUCAGGAAGGGGGAUGUUGUGAAUUCGAUGAAAAAAUCACACCAAUAACAACUUGAUGUGUGGAGCAAGGAAUAAUCAGGCAACCAAAACAAAGUGUAUGGAACAAUUAUAAUCACAAGCCACAAGUAGAAAACAACAGCGAGAGAAAAAGAAGAGAGAACACAAAAGAAUUUGUUGACCCAGUUCGGUCCAAAUUGACCUAGUAUGGGGGAGAGAGCAGCCCUCCGAUCCACUAUAUGAUGAGUAACAUUACAAAAGAGAAAUCAAUGGGUUAUAAGAAUAAGUCUCCCGCCUAAUUUUACCCAAAGUCCCAGCCUCUUCCCGUAACCAAGAGACUCAAUCCUAAUAGUGUUUCCCAAGGUGAAUCAACCCACAAAACCUAGUGUUUGUUCCAAAGAGACAAACUCUAUACAAACCCUAGUUUUGUUGUUGCCAUUCUAAACCCUUGUUUCAACCCACUCUAUCUCAAAGUUUACUAUGAUACAAGGUCUAUAUUUAUAGUAAAAGUAUCGCUUAAAAUUUGGAACAAAUCUGCACUCAAAAUACGUUUCUGUUUUUCGCUGCCAACGCACCAUCGUACCACGAUGCGAUCCCAUCGUGCCACGAUGCGAUCCCAUCGUGCCACGAUUUUUCCAGUGCUUUGCCUCAAACUUGAAACCUCCAAUCGUACCACGUUGCCUAGCCAUCGUGCCACGAUUCCUGCAGAUCCUGAUUUUAAGUUAACUCUAACAGGGGAUUCUCUUUCCCUACUUCUAUUUUGCUUAGUUGAAGAUGUUUUAAGUAGAAGCAUAACAAAGCUUGUGAAAGUAGGCAAAGUAUAGAGAAUCAAAGGGACAAGGAACAUCUGAAUACAUCUCUCUCUCUUUUUAUGUUGAUGAUUUGAUUAUAUACUACAAAGAAGAAAGCUCAGGUUUGAAUUCUCUUAAGGAUUUAUUCAACAUAUAUGCUAUGAAAAAUUGCUAUAAUUUCUUUGAAGAAGAUAUGUAGACUUGUUGAUAAAGGUUGUCUCAACAUCAGAUCUCUAAUUAGGCUCAACAAUGCAAGUAAUUUGAAGUUAUCAUGGAAUAUUCUGCAUUGACAUCUCUUCUAACUCUCAUCUUAUUUGUCUUUAAAUACGAAUAAAAGUAUUAAAAACAUAACAAAAAAUAUCAUAUGAUGCUCCUUCAUCACAACCCCCUAAUCUGUUAGGUGAGUUCUCACAACCUAACAACCCAAUACCUCUAAAGUCUGUUAGAUUGAACAAAAUUACUAGAUUAAAUUCAAUAGCUAUGACUAGUAGUCAAUUGAGAUUUAAGUUCAUUUCAUAUUUGAUCAAGAUACAAAACGCAUUAAGCACAAGUAAUUCUAAAUAAAUACUAGAAUUGUAAAGUUUAUACAACCACAUAGUUCAAAUAGCUUGAUAUAAGUUCGUCUAAGACCUAAUAAAUGAAAACAUAGAUACUCUUCGCUAAAGCACUAUUAUUUGGAAUUCUUGCAUUCCGCCUUCGCACUCCUUUUUCGUUUUUGCGUUUAAUGCAUCAAAAGCUCCUAACCGAUGAAAAUUUUAAGAUUCGAGAUUGUAUGAUGGUUUCAAUUUGUGUGUUGUGUUAUUAGAUGGAUGAAACUUCUCAUUUAUUUUUGUAUUGUGACUUUGACAUCAGUUUAUGGCUAUGGCUUGGUUCCAAAUUGAAUUGCUUAUUUUCUUUCUCAUCCGUAGCUGUUCUCCUGGAGUGCAUUCCCCUAGUCUCCCUACUUGUGUGUGUGUAUGUAUGUAUGUAUGUGUGUGUAUAUAUAUAUAUAUAUAUAUAUAUAUAUAUAUAUAUAUAUAUAUAUAUAUAUAUAUAUAUAUAUAUAUAUAUUUUUUUNNNNNNNNNNNNNNNNNNNNNNNNNNNNNNNNNNNNNNNAUCUUUUUUUUUAAUUCUACAUAUGAGUUUACUUAAAAAAGGGACCUGAAGAUAAAUUUUUUUUGGCGAACCAUAAGUCGAAGAAAUUUUUUAGAAAGACUAAAACUAAAUGUUGACAUAUUUAUAGGGACCAAAAAUAUAUUUAACCCUAUACAAAAUAAAUAAAUAUUUAAUAGAAACAUUGCAUUAUUUUGGGUAUUUAGAAAAUACACAUGAAUUUUUAAAAUUUUAUCAUACCAACUUUCUUAUAUAAAGACAUAAAAAUUUACUUCAAAAGAUACAUGAACACAUAAAAAUACUACAUUAAUGUUGAUAAUUUUUGCAUAUAAAAUAAACAAAUAUUGAAUAAAAAGUCUACAUUAAUGUUGAUAAUUUUUAUUUAAUAUCUUUAAACAUUUCAAAUUACUAACAAUAUAAAAAAUGCAUACGGGUGAUUAUGUGUCAAAAAAACAUCCCUGCACCACCUCUUUUCGGUGAAAGACGAGGAUAAACUUAGAGAUAAGAUGGAUUUUAGAUGAUUAAUUUAACAUAUUACCCUAUUGUUCGAAAAAGAAAAUAAAAAAAGUCAACUUUUAUAUAUAUAUAUAUAUAUAUAUAUAUAAUAAUGCAAUAAUAUUAAUAGUUACGACAAAUCUCAUUAAAUUCAGAAACCGAUAUUUGGAAACAUAUAAUUAGUCCAAAAAGAAAAAGAAAAAGAAAACGCAUCAUAAAGGGAUUGAGACACAAAUGGAAGGCAUGCACCGGAGGAUGCAUGAAUCAUGACAAACUGUAAUUAGUAUUCAUUAACUCAUCAAAUUUACUUUUGCAUUAUUAGAGUUGGAUUCAAUCCCAAGACCUUCAAUUAAGCUUAAAGAGAUCCCUUACCAUCUUAUUCAUAUGCUCAUGUAUGACUCAUCAAUUUUUAAAUGAAUGAGUUUGACACAAAUUAAUAAACAUCUAUGUUUCUUAAACAACAUGCAUAGGAAAUCUACAUUUGUUAGAACAAAUGAAAACUAAUACACAAAUAGGAGAUAUCACAAUCUAAUCAACUAAAUAUGUGAUUUACUCAUGAUUAAAAAGACUUGUCAACAACACUAACAACAAAGUCUUAUCCCACUGUGUAGGGUCUGCUACAUGGAUCAAAUUACACCAUAACAUUAUAUCAUAGACUUAAUUACACUUUUGGUCCUACCAUUUUGAUCAACUCACGAAAAUGGUCCUAUCUAUUUUAAAUUGAACAAAAUCGUCCUUAAACUAUAUGUUUUUUUGCAGUUUUAGUCCUAUCUCCCUAUUUCCAACUCCAGAAACGCAUAGAAAUGACAUUUUUAGUCCAACCACCUAUGCUCAACCAUGAAAUAAACAAAGAAUAAAACAUGUGGGUACAAGGAAUCUACUUUAUUAAGCACACUAACCUAAUUUCCGAGACAUGUUACAUACCUGAAACAUGUCUUAGAAAUUAGGGUUUUUCUUGGUUUGUGUGCUGAACGAAGUAGAUUCCUUGUACCCACAUGAUUUAUUCUUUGUUUCUUUCAUGGUUGAGCAUAGGUGGUUGGACUAAAACUGUCAUUUCUGUGCGUUUCUGGAGUUGGAAAUAGGGAGAUAGGACUAAAACUGCAAAAAUUAUAUAGUUUAGGGACGAUUUUGUUCGAUUUAAAAGAGGUAGGACCAAUUUCGUGAGUUGGUCAAAAUGCAAGGACCAAAAGUGUAAUUAAGCAUAUAUCAUAACUGAAUUUGGAUCAACUCAUUAACCUCUAAAUCUUUCCAAAUAGUUUUUCUAGGUCUUCCUCUACCUCUUUUUAUCCGACUCUACUCCAUCAGAUUAAUUAGACUAAUAAUAAUUUUUUUUCUCAUUAUAUAUAAUAAUAAAUGAUAGAAAAUUAGUAAAAUAAUUUUAAAAAAGAUAAGAAAUAAUUUAAAAGUUACAAUCGUCUAUGGAAAUAUCUAUUGAGUCUUAAACUUGUUCACACUCCACCAUCAAAUAUUUUUCAUUAAAAAUAUUAUUUUUCUUAUUAUAAAUAGCUAUUAAGUCUUCAACUUAUUCACACUCCACCAUCAAAUUGCUUGCUCCCCUCCCUCUCAUGGAAAAUGAUGAUUGGGAUCUCUUUUCUAUUGUGCGUAGCUGCAAAGCUACCAACUUUUGUGAAACUGCAACGCCAACCCUACCAAUCAGCACCAACACAAUCACAAAUAACAUCAUAUCCCCUCACAACACCAUGUCAUAUUGCUUCGAUGAUUUUACACUUACCCAAGAAAAUAGCACAAUCCCAAUAUCCCCACUUAAACCAAAUGACUACAUCGAACUAGAUAAAUUGAUCAUUCGUUCCAAUGUCACAAAAAUUAUCCCUAUCCCUACUACAAGCGAUAUCCCAACCCCCUCAAUCACUACCACCACUAGCCCCACCUCGUCGACCAAUAACACAAUUAUCACCACCCCCUCAACCAUUACCAUCCCUAAUCACAUCACAACUGAUACCAUCACUAACACUAGUUCUCAUGGAUCAGAUCAAAAUUCUACAUUUUUUUAUUUUCCAACACUCAUUGAACAACAACAGAUGCAACCAAGUGAGUUCACUGAGUUAGAAAAAUGGAUACUCCAAUUUAAUCCCACAACAACUAUCCCGAUCUCCACUAUCACUACUCCCAACCCCACUAGUAGUACCCCCAUCACCUUCACUACCCCCACAACGACUAUCAACACCCCAAUCACCAUUACCACUAUCAUUCCUACCACCACCACAACCACAACCAUGACUAACUAUGAGGCAAAUGGAAUCAAUCAAUAUUCAACCGUUUCUAAUUUCCCAAUGCUCGUCGAACAACAACAGGUUCAAGCAAACCAAAAUAGAGUGUCUGUUUUUGACUCUAUUUCCUGCAUUAAGACUACAACGACCAAUUUUCACCCUGAACUCAACCAUCCAUUAGUUCCAGAAGAACCUCAGAGAAAUCAUAAUCAACUACCGAUUCUACUACCCCAAACCAGUUCUACGGUGUUACUAAGUACAAAUCCGAAACAUAAAAAAUUUAAAUCAGGAAAAAGGUAAAGAAUUGAUUCCUACUAUUUAAUAUAUUUUAUAUUGUAAAUAUAUUUCAUUUUAUUAAAAUUAUUAAAAUAUUUUUACAUAACUCAUGUUUACCGAAAAUCAUCUUUUUCUUGUAGAAAAAAUAAUAACCAAGUGAUAUUGGUGAGCUAUGUGAAGGCAGAUAGGAUUUCAGAAGAUUCAUGGAGAUGGAGAAAAUAUGGACAAAAACACAUUAAAGGGUCUCCACAUCCAAGGUUUUUUAUUCAUAAAAAACUCUAACAUUAUCAUAAUUUUCUUUUUUCUAAUAUUAACACAAUGGUUUUAAUUAGUGACCACAUGCAUUUUGAUCAUUCCAAUUGAAAAGAGUUUUAGUUAAAUGUGACAAAUAUGGUCUUGAUAGCGGUUGCGUUUUCUUUUCAAUUUCGAAAGAAUAAAAAAUUGUUACUCUCUUCUUUUCAAUGAGAGACACAUUUGCAAAAUAUAUAUAUUUUUUUUGCAAAGUAAAUGUCACUUUUAAUUUUCUAUGUAACGAGAUUAGUUUUUACUUUAAUAUAUAUUUUAAGACUUUGCAUAUGUAUCAUUUUUUUGCUUUUAACCUCUUCGAUUUUUUGUUUUUGUUUUUGACUAUCAUAAAUAUUCCCCCUUUGUUCUUUAAUGCUUGAUAUUUUUUUAGUCCAUGCAAUUUUGUUUUAUAUUAAAACUGGUUCCUUUAAUAUUAAUUUUAACCCUUAUAUAAUGGGUUAAAAUCAAAUAUUUCAACAUGAAUAAAUUUUGCAGGGACCAAACAAAACAACAAACACUGAAAUAAAAAUGUGGUAUAUUUGAAAAAGCUAAACAAAUUAGAAAGACUAAAUUUUUAAAAAUUAUAUAUUUUUAGGGAAAAAAAACAUAUUUAAAUCUCACUUAUUUUUCAGAAUUGUAAAAUUUAAUGAAUAUUAAGUGCAUCAUUCACAUGUCUAUAUCUUUCACUUUAGAAUUGUAAAACUCCUAUUUUCCCUUACAUUUACAACAUUUUUUAUUAUGUAUUAUUUCACGUAUCGUGGGACGGAGUCGGAUUUUAAAUAUUUUUUUGAAAGCAUCGCCUAUUUAUAUAUGUGUCUAUAUGAUUUUAGAUAUUAAAAUGUUACGAUUUAGUGAUGUUUGAUAUAAAAAUAAUCAAUCAAUGACUUUGCAGGAGCUACUUCAAAUGUAGUAGUUUCAAUGAUUGUUUAGCAAAAAAAUUAGUGGAAAAAAUAAACACUGGAGAGGACACUUAUGAAGUGACAUAUAUAGGAGAACACAAUCACAAAAAACCAGCAAAUAAUCGGAAUUCCAUUGUUGGUACCUCCUGCUGGAAUAUCUCAUCAAAUUCAGGAUUAGAUGUUGUUCGAGAAGUUGGAUGUUGCUCAAAUGUUAGAAACUUGCAGGGUUUUCCUGGUGAAUCAAACAUGCCUUAUCUCAAAAAUGAAGUUAUCAAAAAUGCUGGAAAAUUGGAUUCAUCUGACAUGAUAAUGGUGCCAUUUGAUGAGCUAGAGAGAGAAAAUUCUAAUAUUUUUUUAGAUGAAUCAAAAUUAAUUGAAAGCUCGAAUGAAGACGACAUUUUGAUACCAAACAUGACAAAUAUGUUAGAUGAUUUCUUUUUGAAUGUCAACAACAUCAACAAUGGUUCUCCAUUCCGCUAGUUGGGUUUAACCCAAAUAGUUUUUCCGGUUUGAGUAUAUUUAGUUUUGAGUCAUCCUCUAAAUAAUAUAUGAUUCAAUAAAUCUUCUGAGUAAUGUAAUAUGACACAAAUUAAUAUAUGAAUCAAUAGUUUUGAGUCGUCCUUUGCUUAGUGUGAUCAAUCGCCAAAUUUAAUUUUAUUAUUUAAUUUAAAUAGUUUCAAUUAAAUAAUAUAAUAAUUGUGCAGGGAUCAAAAAUAUUUUUUUUUUUACAGGACUAAAACCAAAACGAGACAUAUUUGCAGAGGUUAAAACCAUAUUUUAGCCUAUAUGAUAAACUAGGGAGGAGUACCUAAAUAACUAAUUUUUGAGGGAUCACCCCUCGCUGACUAAAAAAUGAAGUGAAAUAUGUAUUUCAAUGCACUAGAAAAUAUUCCUCAAGAAAGAUUAAUUAUAUAAAACAAAUUUUUAUACUAGCAUCGAAACUUGGAGUUUUUACUCAAACAUGAGAAGAAACUGUAUGUUCUUGAUGGGCCAGUUCCUGAUGUGGAACCACCCACUAUACUUUAAAGGAUGCAAGACAUGCUUAUAAGAAGCAUGUUGACGAUGCUCUAGAAUUUAGUUGUAUCAUGCUAGCAACUAUGAACUAUAAGAUUCAGAAGCAACACAUGUGACACCUCAAACCCUAAAUAACAUAUUUAAGGUUUAUAUAUAAGUAAGAUAGCAUAACGAGGAUAUAAAUACGAGUCUAAUUAUUUUUCAAAAGGUAAAUGAUAUCACGGCCCAUUUACAUAAUCUUCGAUUGAAGAUUUCAAAUUUCAUUAUAAUAAAUUUUGGCUUAUUUAUAGGUACACAUGUAAACUACAAUACAUUCAUUACAACCCGAUGUCACCUACUAGAGCAAACAAUGUCUUAAUAACAAAAGAGGAACAUAAAAUAAUUUUUUUAAGAGAUAACCUGAAAAAAAACAGCGAUUUUGCAAUUGAAGGUCCAAGGCAAACAAAUAAAAAUAACGAAAGGGGUGAGUUUCAAAAACAUAUAACAAUAUCAAACAACUGAGAAGAACAUGCAAGAAAUAAAAUUGAAAACAUAUCAUAUUACAAUACAAUAUUUAAAAUCUUAAAGAAUAUAAUAUAUCACCUAAAUUCACAUCGGUCAGAGAACCAUCAAAAUAUAACAUUCAAAAUUUUCAUGAAUAUAACAUCAUAUUUCAAUCCCAAAUAGUCAAAAUAAAAUAAUUAAAAAAUAACAUUCAAAUUCUUCUAGAAUAUAAUAUCAUAAACAUACUCACAUUAUUUUAUAGUUCACUACAAUGUUGUGUAUGACCUAUAUUCCAUACUUCACUAUUUGGUACCAUUCUACUAUGAAGUACUAAGUUAGGAGUUCGGUAGUACUAUGCCACCACAUGGGUGAACCGACAUUUCAAGAUUUGACCAAUCCUUAUGAACUAUUCACAUUGGCUGAUGGACGAAUUGGCAAGUACACCAAAUCAUAACAAGUAAUAAAAUGAUAAGUUUGUCGUCUUCACAAGGAUUGUCGUUCAACUUAGCAAUAAGAGGAAUAUAUUAGAAGUAAAAGCAAAUAAAGGGAUAAUGGGGUUUUUAGAAUUUUAAUUGUUAUGUCUAAUGCGAGAUUAUGUUGUUAUGAUUCAGAAUUAUAACGGUGAUUAGAGAAUCCUUGAAUCCCCUCUCUUUUCUUUGUUGGAAUUCAUGCGGCUAAUUACUAGUUUAUGACCAGUCUUGGAUUUAAAAAAGUAGGAUAUGACCCCGUGAUGUAGCAAUGGAAGUUUUAAUUUUAUAUCGCCGCAAUUUAACCAGUUAUAAUUGCAACGUUCCCUUAAGAUGAGUUAAAACUCUAAAUUCAUACUAAGAUUCGAUUAAAAGAAUUUAAUGAAGAAACUAAGGAAUUUACUACUGUAGGGUUUUAAAUCUUAUAAUCCAUCUAUAGAUAAGUUUCAUUGUUGGUUUGUAAAAGAAUUAGAAACAAACAUAUACAAAUUAAAUUUGACACUUGAAUCUUAAAUUGAAUAAAAAACUUUAUUAAUUGAAUCUAUCAAAUAAGAAGAGGUUCAUCCUAGAACCCUAAUCAAAGGUUUAGUGGCACGUGACAACUGACAUCAUCAUAAAAUAAUAGAAAAACAUACCAUAGAGAGAACAAGAGGAGGAGGACAAACAUACCCUGCGUGAAUUUUGCAUUUUUCGUCUUUUUUCGAGCGUUCUUCCAUCUUGAAAUGCAAUGGAACUUGAGAUGAAUUUUUCCCGACUUGUAUUAUCUUCAAAAACUUUAUAAGAACUAUUGAUCUUCAAUAUUUGAUAUACUUGAUCCUCCACGUGAUGUCUUGUUUUGCUGAUUUACAUGAUUUCUCACUAAAAAGACUCAAAACACCUAUGGAGUCUCAUGAUUUAGGAUAAACCUAAAUUACAACGACUAAAAUGAAAAUAAUACAAAAUGUUCCACCAACCAUUGAGAUCAACUAGGAUUGGAGUGUUAUACCCUGAUUUUGGACCUAAAAAUACUUGUUCAAAUUUCUCUUCACUGAUAUUUGUCAAUUCUCUGUUAUUUUACUCUGAAUCUUUACUCUCUUUUUAAACGUAUUUUACUGCCUCUGUCUGUCUUUUCUUGCAUUACAAGUCAUUUAAGAACUCUCUGAAACAUCGUAUUACAUUUUCUUGCAUUUUAUUUCAGAAAUCAUACAAAAGGGUAUUUUGGUCAUUUCCUGCAGUGGAACCCAUUUUAGUCCCUGUGUUUGCCUCUGAGUCUUUUCAACUUGCCUGUACGAAUUAUUGUUGAGUCUUUGUUUAAAAAAUCAUUUCAAAAAUUGCAUCUGAGUCAGUUUGAGUCAGUUUAGUCCCUAGGGGCAUUUUGGUCUUUUCCNNNNNNNNNNNNNNNNNNNNNNNNNNNNNNNNNNNNNNNNNNNNNNNNNNNNNNNNNNNNNNNNNNNNNNNNNNNNNNNNNNNNNNNNNNNNNNNNNNNNNNNNNNNNNNNNNNNNNNNNNNNNNNNNNNNNNNNNNNNNNNNNNNNNNNNNNNNNNNNNNNNNNNNNNNNNNNNNNNNNNNNNNNNNNNNNNNNNNNNNNNNNNNNNNNNNNNNNNNNNNNNNNNNNNNNNNNNNNNNNNNNNNNNNNNNNNNNNNNNNNNNNNNNNNNNNNNNNNNNNNNNNNNNNNNNNNNNNNNNNNNNNNNNNNNNNNNNNNNNNNNNNNNNNNNNNNNNNNNNNNNNNNNNNNNNNNNNNNNNNNNNNNNNNNNNNNNNNNNNNNNNNNAAACAGAAAAAGUCUCAAGAACAAAGAAAAAACCCUAGAAAUUUCCAGAGCUAGAAUCCAUUGAAAUGGCUUUGAUUCUCAGAGAUUCGUCAAGGAAUCAUCAUCAUUGAAUCGUUGCUCUGCAAUUCAAGUGCGAGUCCACCACUGAAAGCGGCGAACUCAAGCACGAUCGCAGAGGCUUUCCCGGAGACGAAGAAGAGGGACGAAAAUCAACAUAUCGAACCUGUGAAGAAGAAGAGCGGAUCAGAACAGCAGGGAACCAAACCAGAAUCAACGGAACAAGAUUAAAAUCAAGCUUUCCUUGAAGAUCCGGUUCGGAAUCACCAAGAAAACCACAGGUAAAACUCAAACUUCACCUUUUUUUUUCGCAAGAACAGAUAAAAAAGGAGAAUCAAGUGUAAAUCUGUAGGAUUCUAGAAGCACGUAGCCAAAAAGCACAAAGAACAAAGAAAAACUUCAUUCAAAACAGCAACUUCAAACUCAGAUCUACUCCGGUUGAAAUUCUUUUUCAAAAAACUAAGCUCAGAUUCAUGCAUAGGAGAAAAAAGGAUGUUUGAAAAUGUAAAUUUUUUUUUGAAUCGGAGCAAGGAAAAUUUUCCGGUGGCCGCCCACCGCGCCGGAGAAGCUGAGCAUGACCGGAGAAGACGACCGGAUUCUAGAGAGAGGUCAGACUCUCUCUCUCUAGAAUCCAAAGAAGAGAGAGGUUUUUUUGAGGAUUUUGUGUUUUUUUGUUGAAACUCCUUUUUAUAUACUCCUCUGUUCCCACGCGCGCGAGUGCAUGCUCUUGCUAUGCUCCUUCGUAUUGUGAACCAUCAGAUCUGAAUUGUUCCAAGAUCUGAUGGCUGUUGUGUAUUUGAUUUUGUUUCCUGUGUGUGAUCUUUUGUGUGGAGUAUGUUGCAUCUUCUGUUUGAACCGUUAGAUCUUUGAUCUAACGGUCACUGCGCUUCCUGCAAUUUUACACUAUCUUUUGUGCUUUUUUAAGGACCAUUGGAUCUUUGAUCCAGUGGCUGUGAUGUGAUCUUGGGAGCUAGAUCUGGACCUCUGGAUUCAUCCAACGGUCCAGAUUAAAUCCUGCUGAGCUUUUUUUUAAUUGCUUUUUAAUUGUGUUUUAAAUACUUUUUUUUACAUUUUCUUGGUGUUUUAUGCUUCUAAAAAGUUUCUAAAAAUAUUUCCCUAUCAUUUUAAUUUUUCCUCUAAGUAUUAGAAUUUAUUUGCUUAUUUUUGCAUUUAUUUACUUUACUUUGUUCUUUAAUUUUUGCUCAUUAAAUUCCAUAUAUGUUCUUGAUGCAUUUUUACAUAUUGUGAUAUUUUUGCAUGCGAAAUAAUGUGUGGAAAUAUCCCUAGGAAUAUGAUAUAAUGCUUGGCUUGUGUGUACUCCUAUGAUCCUCACAUUGUAGCUUAAAUUCAAACCUUUCAAAAAUGGCUAUAAUGAGGGAAUUAUAGAUCAUAUGCAUAUAUGAGUGUUAUACCUAAAUUCUAGGUGUAUUUUUUACCACUUUGUUUCAUUGCAUUAUCUUCUUUCUCUUGUGCUAUUCAAUUCUAUAUUGCUUGCAUUCUUUUUUAUCAUUUUGUACUUGUGUUACUAACUCUUAUGCUUCAUAUCUCACUCAUUCCAUAAGCACCUAAUCUUUGUACCCUCAUUGCUCCUAGUUUAGGUCUUCUUUUUGUAUUCAUUUCUAUGCCAAUUGGUUUGUAAUAAAUUUAGUUAGUUUAGUUUAGUUUACAUUCUUGCAAGACCAUAGCAUGUAUCUAGGACUCAAUGUAAAGGACUAUGGACACUAUAAGUGAUGUACACCGACACAAGCACCGACACGCACACACGUUGCAUGCUUACCGUUUAGAUGUAUGCUUAGGAAACGCGAUUUUUAG
rnacentral:lncRNA from 1 species